rnacentral:lncRNA from 1 species
AGCCAACCCCUAUGCAAAUUCUUUGAGAUGCUUCGCCGACAUGACAGUAAUGCUUCCAUAGUUCACAUACACAAUUGAAUUGGGUUCCCUUUUGUUAAGCCAUUCAAUGCAGCUUGUAUCUUCCUUCUAUAGGCUUGGGUUCAUUCACUUGGAGGGAUCGGCAUGUAGGUGCCUGGCAAGCAAAUGAAGUGGUCCUAUUGUAUAAAUUCGAGGAAAUUUGGCAGCGAUGGCGUCUAACACUUCAUGUUCGAACUCUUCAAAUGCGUUGAAGAUUAUUGCUGAAGCUUUUAGGCAAUUUUGAGCUUCGGAUCCGAAAUAAUCAAACAAAAUGUCAUUCGGAUCGUUGGCUUUGACGAAGCUUGAAAAAUCUCUGAGGCGAAUGUUACUCAUUCUAGGGACCCAGUCAAUAGGUUCAUUGAGAAAUGUUUCACCUGACACAACAAAGAGUCAAAUUUGAGUUCCUUUUAGACAAUUUUCUUAGCUAUAAAGUUGAAAUAAUAAAGUACUUACUUUGGAAUAGAAUAAUGCCUCGUUUAGCCAGUUCACUGAAGUGAAGAUAUCCCAUGAAAGUACAUGCUGAGGCAGUCCAAAACUGAACUUCUGGUAUGCCAAGUUGUUCAACAGCCUUAAUAGCAAAGCUCAUAAGUGUAACAACCUGAUUUUUGACCCUAAUCGGAACAGUGGUUUCGGGACCACAAAUUCGAGUCUGAAAAAAUAUUUUAGUAUUAUUUUCUGUGUCUGUGAUAUUUGAAUUUGAUAGUGUGAAAUUUUCGUAAAUUAAUUUGACUAUUUGUGUGUUUAAUUUGAUAAAAGGACUUAAUCGCGUAAAAUGCAAAAGUGGCUAGUUAAUUGUUAAAAGACUUUAUUGCUAUGGUUUUUCUAAUGUGGGGUCCUUAUGUUGAUAUUAUACCAAAUAUAUUGUAAGUGGACUAUUAUAGACAAAUGUUAGUGGAUUUUAAAUGAAUAAAUAAAGGUUAAAAUAGUAAAUUAGGUAUUUAUAUGUAUUAAAUAAAAUAAACCAUGAAAGUGGCCAUGCAUUUGGCUUUGUUUUGCCGAAAAUUGAAGAACAAAGAACACCUUUGGUGUUUUAAACAUUCAGCAGUUAGGAAGCUAAAAUUUGGUAUGUAUUUUGCUUGGCUUUUGAUAAUUUUUACAUUUCUGAGAUCGUUGCUUCGUAUCCUUUAAAACCCAUGUCUUAAUUUUGUGAAUUGUGGAUAAUUUUGAAAUGUACCAUUGAUGAAUGCUUGAGUUUUAUGAUGUUAAUAGGUGGAAAAUAAAUAUAUGUUGUUAGAUUUUCAUUUUAGUAAUUUUUGAUAAAAAUGUGUAUUAAGGACUAAAUUAAUAAAAUAUUAAAUUGAGGGACUAGAAUGUGAAAUAAAUGACAUGCAAGGACCUAUAUGAGAUUAGGAGUAUUCGGCCAUACUAUAGUAAAAUUAAUUUGGAAUAUUUUGUGUUUUGUGCAAAAAAGGACUAAAUUGUGAAAAAUGUAAAAUGUUAGGGGCAAAAUUGUAAUUUUCCCAUUUAUGUGAAUUUAGGCUAAAUUUUAUGGAAUAAUGUUUAAAUAAGUUUAAUUUGAAUUUAUUUAGAUCAAGAAUUAAAGAAGUCGAAUUUGGAUUGGGGAAAAACAAAAGUAAUCGAAUAGUCGAACGUCUCCGUCUAUAUCCGAGGUAAGUCUAUUAGCUAUUUAAUGAUAUUAAAUUAGUAUAUAUGUAUGUAUAUCGAUUGUAGUUGUUGUUGAGCUUUAAUUUUAAAGUAAUUUGAUUGAAUAAAUUAGAAUUAUAAAUGGUAUAUAUAUAGAUAUAUAUAUAUAUAUAUGCUUAUAUAAAUUUUUUAUUUAAGUUAAAGUAGGAAUGCUAUAAAAGCAUAUAUAUAUGAAUAUAUAAUGUAUUAAUAUUUAUAUAUGUAUCUAUAUGAAUAUGUUUAUUUAAAUUGAUUGUUUGNNNNNNNNNNNNNNNNNNNNNNNNNNNNNNNNNNNNNNNNNNNNNNNNNNNNNNNNNNNNNNNNNNNNNNNNNNNNNNNNNNNNNNNNNNNNNNNNNNNNNNNNNNNNNNNNNNNNNNNNNNNNNNNNNNNNNNNNNNNNNNNNNNNNNNNNNNNNNNNNNNNNNNNNNNNNNNNNNNNNNNNNNNNNNNNNNNNNNNNNNNNNNNNNNNNNNNNNNNNNNNNNNNNNNNNNNNNNNNNNNNNNNNNNNNNNNNNNNNNNNNNNNNNNNNNNNNNNNNNNNNNNNNNNNNNNNNNNNNNNNNNNNNNNNNNNNNNNNNNNNNNNNNNNNNNNNNNNNNNNNNNNNNNNNNNNNNNNNNNNNNNNNNNNNNNNNNNNNNNNNNNNNNNNNNNNNNNNNNNNNNNNNNNNNNNNNNNNNNNNNNNNNAUUUAUAUAUACAUGAAUAAGUUGUGAACUUAGGUAAAGGAAAGAAUGUGUAUAUAUAAAUUCAUAUAGGUUCGAAUAUAAAUAAACAUACUUGUAUGGGCUUUUAAUUUUUAUUUAAAAGGUAUAAAUGUUAAAUAUGUAUACGGGAGUUGAAUAUAUAUCUAUAUGUACAUUUGUGUACAAGUUUUUAGAUUGAAUUAAAGACAUAAAAGUUUAUGUUUUUAUAAAUGAGGUUCGAAUAUAUAUUUAUAUGAUUAUAAGUUAUUAGUACUUGAAUUGGAUUGAAAAUAUGAUUUGCAAACUCAUUUAUGUUUGAGCAUGGACUACGGUGAAUAUGUGUUUGCUGUUAAUAAAUAUUUGAGGAAUUAUUCUGUAUACGAGAAAUUGAGAUUUUCAGGUUUUAAAACCUAGCAGACUAAGUGCCGGUGAUCUAAAUCAGGUUAUAAGCCUUGCAGGCUAAGUGUCGGUGAACUGAAUCAGGCUAUAAGCCUAGCAGGCUAAGUGCCGGUGAGCUGAAUCAGGCUAUAAGCCUAGCAGGCUAAGUGCCGGUGAGCUGGAUUAGGCUAUAAGCCUAGCAGGCUAAGUGCCAGUGAAUCUGUUUAAAUUCAGUGAUUAUUUGCAUUAGGUAUAUAUAUGAUUUUGGUUAUAUGUAAUGGAUAAAUAUACGAACAUUUGUUUCUAAGUAUUUGAUGAGCAUAUAAACGUUUGAAUCUUUGUGUUUAGUGAGUAUAUAUAUGUUGGUUAUCAUGAAAUUGUUGGAUAUAUAUAUGUGUAUGCACUCGACAUAUGUGGAUUAUAGUAAAAAUAUAUAUGUGCAUUCGGCACAUGUGGCUGAUAAGUAUAAGUAUAUGCUUUUGGCAUAUGUAUUUGAAUAAUAUAUAUAUGCAUUCGAUGAAGUGCAAGUGAUAAGCACAUAUAUGCAUUUAGAUAUAUGCAGGUGAUAAAUACAUAUAUACAUUUAGUUAUAAUAAGUGUAUAUACAUUUGGAGCUAAUAUUUGUUAAGCAUAUAUGUAUAUAAGCAUUCGGCUAUUCAUGUUUAUGGUGAAUUUACAUUCGGUUUUAAGAGUUGAUAAUUAAGUAUGCUUUUGACUAUAUGUCAUAGUUAACAUAUAUAGUAUUUGCGAAUUCAUUAAGUGUUUCAAGAAAUUACAUAAUUAUUUCAUAAUUUCUGUUAUGCUAUAGACUUACUAAGCUAUAAAAGCUUACUUUGUUUGUUUAUGUCUUUCUGAUUUUUAGACAUAAGAUCAAGCUUCAAGCUCGGAGAUCGUCAGCAAGUUCAUCACUCUAUCUACUGUCUCGGUAUUAAACUGUUUUAAUUUUAACUUUGGCAUGUACAGGCUAGAUAAAUGUUUUGGAAAGUCGUACUUUGAUAUAUUCUAUAUGAAAUUAAUAGCCAUACGAAAAUGGCUUAUUUUCUUAUGGUUUAACGGGAUCAAAAUGUUGUGUUUUGUUUUAAAAAAGUUAAAGUAGAAUUUAUAAUUAUACUUACUUAAAAUUUGGCUAAGCUUAAUAAAUUUCCAUUUAUAUAUAUAUAUAUAUACAAUGCUUAUAUUUUGAUUUAGAAAUAGUUGAUUUAAACAUGUAUUCAAACAAAUUGCAUAUCAAUGUUAAAUUCUUGAAUUCUAUUGAACAUUUGUAUUGAGGUGUGUUUUGUUCAGUAAUGCCUCGUAACCCUAGUCCGGCGACGGAUAAGGGUUAGGGGGUGUUACAAUAAGUCCAUCAGAGAUUAUGCAAGUAACAGUUGGCACUUGGGGCGAGGAGUUUAACUUAGCUAGUAGCUAUACGAAUGGUGCCAAGCAAUGCUUUCGUAUCGAAUCACACAGAACUCGAAGAUCCUGUGUUGCAUUUCGAUCGGACGAUGGCAGCCCUUCCGAUAUUGUUUCGAACUGGAAAUCAGGCAGACCUUUAACGAAGUCAGGGCCUUUGGACCAGACCAAAUGCCUAUGGUUGAACUCAGUGUUAACAAAGGUUAUGAAGAAGCCUCUAGAGUGUAAGAGCUUAGCAAGUAGCAUCAUGGGGUUAACAUGACCUUAUGCUGGAAAUGGGACGAUUACAAUAUGGGGUUUACUGGUUUCAAGUGAACCCAUCUUUGCAAGGCAAUAACAAAGUUGUAAAAUUAAGGUGUUUGCGGAGAAGCUUUCCUUGCUUUCUAGCUUCUCUAAAGCUUGACGAGUAGCAACAUGCAAUAUAUAGGAAAAGGAUGGUGUGAAAGAGUUACGCUACGUCCUUUGUAUUCCUUUUUCAAUAGAGAAACUGUGGGAAAAUUGAUUAUUUUUAAAUUUUGUUGUUUUAUUUUCAAUCUAAACCAUACAUUUAUAAAGAAUUUUAUAUUUUAUUCUCAAAUCAAUAUAUAUCUGUUGGAGAAUUUUAUUUAUAUUUCUUAUUAAAUGAGAUAUUUAAAAUGAUUCGUUUGACUCGAGUUCUUUUUAAAGAUAUUAGCUUUAAUGUCACAUGCGUUGCAUGUAAUUUUACUCAUUUAAUAUUUAAAUGAUUUUUAAAAAUAUUGUACUUAAUUACAACAAUUAGCAUAAAAUAAUAUUUCUUAUUUGAAUUUUUGAAUAUAACUAAAAUAUAUUAACUUAUCAAUUCAAAUAUAUAAUAGAAAAUUUUCAAGUAAUAAUUAAAGCAUUUUAAAGUGGUAAUUAACAUAGUUAACUCUAUUAUUGAUUAAGUGAUAAUUAAUGUGCUUAGAAUUCUAUUCAAAUAAUAACUCUAUUUUACAUCAAGAAAAUUAGCACAAUUUAAAAAAAAUAAUAUUAGCAUAAUUAUAGUUAUCUGUAACGUCCCAAAAUUUUAUUUUUGGGUAUUGUGAAUAUGAGACCCAAAUAUCUGCUUGCUUCAGUAGUUAAGUGUUUUAAGUGUGUGUAUGAGGUCCCAAGUUCAAGCCAUGCCUUCGGCGAAAUUUUGAAAAUAUUUUCUGAUUAAAGCCUUAUCCUUGUUCAGUUGGCUUAAGUUUACGAGUUGGAGUGUUGGAGGUUUUGUGUUCGAAUCUUUGCGUGAGUAAGAAUGUUAAUCUUUUUACUCUGUUUCCUGGAAGAGUUGUGUAGAAGAUGGAUUCUGAGUAGUGGAUUGUUAGUGGGUAGUUAAUUGAGAGAAGAUAUGAGAGUUAUCAGGAUUAUUUUUGUUUUUUAUCAUUAUUAUUUUAUUCUUUUCAAAAUUCAUUUCUCUUUCUAUCUCUCCAAAAUUUUGACGUCGACUUUCUUCUUCACUUUUCUUCUUCAAUUUUUCGCGGCUUCCUGUUGGAUUUUUCGCAGUCAAUCAUUGCUCUUGCGUUCGUGGCCAUUUUUCAUCUGCUAAGUGAUCUCUUUUGGCCUUCUUCCUUUGAUUUGGGGUCUAGCAACGUCAGUUUAUUGUAGUUAAUCGAUGUAUCCUGUGUUUAUGAGAAGAUCAAGGUGCUGGGGUUUCCCAGUCGGCGCUUUAAACAUGCGGAUGAACGUUGCUCGACCGAAGGUAAGAUUUUAGUCGAUUUAAGUGGGUUGUCUAUCACUUUUGGUUCGAUUUAAUGUCAUUCUAAGUGUUUAAUUCUGGGUUCGUUUGGUCAAUUUUAGGUAUUGGAGUUCUCGGGAAUGUUUUUGCAACGAAACAAAACCAGGUGUGUGCCUGAAACACAAAAAUAAGGGAUUCGACGAAAAGCUAAAAUUGCUUGCUGUUUGGACAGCAGCAGUAGGCUAAAUUUGAAAAAUCACCAUAAAUUAUGGAAAUCGAAUUAGAGGAAGAAAAAAGUAUGGGAUUAAAUAAAUUUGAGUCUAGUUUCUCAUAGAAGAAACUAAGUAAGCAAAAGAAUUUCAUAUUAUGAGAUAUUUGAAUUUUAGUGAGACAGGAUCAGAAUAAUUUCAGAAUCCCCUAUCCUGACUUUGGAAAAUUAUUAAAAAUUUUAUAAAAAUAAUUAUGGGUUAUAAUUUAUAUGCUUAAAAUCCUGAAUAAGUUUAUUUUCAAGAGAAAUAAACAAGAACAUCAUCUGGAUUCUGUAUGAGAAGAUAAUUAAUUUUUAGUGCAAAAAGGUUGAAACUAUUAGACAGCAGAAUAGGAGAAACUUUAAAGAAUAAACUAUACGUAUUGGAUUAACCAAAAAUUCUAAAAAUUUUAUGGUAAGAAGAUAUGUGAGUUUAGUUUUAGGGAAAAUUUGCAGAUCUUAAUUCGGAAUUUUGCAGCUUAAGAUACAAAUCAUUUAGUAACAGGGACUCAAGUUGAAGGAUCAUAUGAGUAAAUAGUGGAAACACAUAUGAAUAAUUAACUAGCACGGGUUACAUUAAAAUGGAUCACGAGGCCAAUGCCAGUUUGGGUCAUGUGGGCCACACGAGCGUGUGGGACAACACAGGCGAACAUCAUGGGCUUGUAGGCCCAUUUUCACUGUUUGACUGAUAAGGUUGCAAGGGUCGCCAAAUUUGACUGUGAACUUAUAGUAGGGUCGGUAAGCUUACCUAGACCCCUAAUUGACUGAAAUGACUGUAUGACUAAUAUGAUUAAGCCUGAUGAUGCCUCACUGAUUUGAUACUGUAUGGCCUGUUUACAUGCAUGAUAUUAUGUUAUAGCAUGCCAUAUUUGUAUAUUACAUUGCAUUGGGUUGGGGGAUUAUAAUGUUCAGAGGAAGUGUACUGAAAAGCCUUGAGCUUAAUUUAUUAGCAGCUCAGCUGCAAACUACUGUCUAGUGUCGCCUUCGGUACUACUUAGAGUGUAGGAAUGAGUGGGUUGAUUAUAUCCCCACAUGGAGUGCAGGGUUGGUGGAUGGGUAGGAUUUUUGUGACUGCAUAUCUAUUACUGUUACUGAUAUUGUGAUGGGCUAAAGCCCUACUACAUGACUGUUUUUGUACUGAGGUGGGAUAAGACCCAAACAGGACUGAUACUGAUACUGAUACUGAUACUGAAAAGGGUUUAAGCCCAAACUGUGAUUAUCUAUUUACUGUCUAUUCAUUUGUAUGGGGAUUACACACUGAGUUUACGUAAACUCACCCAUUCUGUUUAAUCUGUACAAGUAAUCCCCAGAUUUAGGCAGAUCGGUGCGGCGGAGGACUCAAUGGUGGCCACACGACUUCUAUUACACUGUUUAUUACCUAUUUAUGAUUUUACUUUUAUUUGGGAGUAUUUUGCUGUAAUUAUGGCCUUUAUGGAUUUUAGUUUAAAUUUAGUUUUUAUACGGUUUUAUGAUUUAAAUCUGCUAGUGUUAGGUAAAACUUGGGUUUUCAAAUGAAAUUAAUGUUUUAUAAAAAAUACCACGAAUGUGCAAAUUGUUUAAAAGCUUCCGCAAUAAGAAAAUGUUUUGACAUUGAAUAACGAUUUGUAAAUGAAUAAUGUUUUGGAAACGAACGACACGAUUUGAAAUUAACAUAAGAUAGUGAAAAAAAAGGUUAAAUAGAAAAGGGUAUUUAGCGACGACAUAUUUUUCGAAAAGCACUACCUUGUGACAUCGUCAGAUUCGGCCAUAACGUUUAGGCUGGGUUUGGGGUAUUACAUUAUCACAACUUUUUGCGCUAUAUUUUAUGCUUAGAGUUAUUUUCAAGUAACCAUUUUUAUUAAAUUAUAAUUAUUUUUUAAAUGUAUAAUUAUCAAAAUUUAUAUUUUAUUUCAACUUUUUUGACGAAUAAUUCUAAAUUAAAUAUUAUUUGUUUUUAAAUGUGAAUUUAAUAAUAUGAUGAAAAAAAAGAUAUUCAUCAAUUCAACAGUUUUUCCAAACUCAUACUUUUAUAUAUAUUAUAUAUAUGAUAGAUGUAAUCUACCUGCUAUAAUAAAAAAAUAAAUAUUUUUAAAAUUAUCGGAGUUGAUUUAAAUUAUUAUUUUAUUAUUGGUUGACUGCAAGUGGAGUAAUAGUACAUUAGUCUUAGACCAUGUUUGGUUCGAUGGAAUUGCUAUUCCAUUCCGUCCCUAUUCUGUGCACAACAGUAAUUCACUAAUUUGGUUCAUUGUUUAAGUGAUUCUGCAGAAUUCUAUUGCACCUUUAUUCCCUCAACUCUUGUAAUAGAAAUUCAGGGGUUGGGGGUCUGAAUUGCUAUUCAAAAUCACCCGUAAUAACAUUUUUCCUUUUUUGGACCAAAAUAGCCUACCUCUCUUAUUCAUCGUUUUCACUUUCACUUCAGCAGAUUUCUUCCUCGACAUUUAUCCCCAAAGUGAACCCUAGAAAUUAGCUCCUUAAUCGACGACAAAUCAAGCAUUCAUUCGCCAUCUUCAUCUUCAUCUUCCUUCUAGUUGAACCUCCUUAUUUACAGUAAGUGCCUUUGAUUCCUAUUUUUUUUCUCUGAUUUUUUAGUUAAAGUUCUUUCACUUCUUUCAACUGUUCUUUUCCCCUUUCAUAUUUGGAUAUAAACUAGCAAAGCAGAUUGUAAAACCAGCAAAGCAAAUUAUUCUUGGAUGAUUCGGUGAUAAGCAACUAUUUUGGUUCCCCGAAUCCUCCAUCCGACAGAAUUUCAUUCAUCUCCCAUUCACAAAAUUAGUCGAUUGGUUGAUCCUAUUAUUUAGGGAAAUUUAGGGUUAGAAAGCUAAACUUGUUUUUUUUUCGAAUUGUUGGGCAUUUCUGUUUAUUUUCAGGUUGCUUGUCUCAAUAGUAAGGGAUUUCAAUUUCAGGUUGGAAUUUGUUGUUUGUGGAAAAUGGGUUGGUGGAGUUUUGGAUUUUGAGCUUUGAAUCAGUUACAGAGUUUUUAAGCAAGAAAAAGAAAAAGAAAACAGAGGCAGGGGAGAUAAGGAAAUCGUUUUACCAGUAAAUUUGCCAUUGCUUUGCUUUGCUUUUUUUUUUUUAAAAUUUUGAUUCUGAAAUGUUGGGCUAGUUACAGUGUAAGAUGAACAAAGCAUUUCAGUUGAGAAAAUAAUUGAAGUUAAAUUAAAGGGAAAUUCGACAUAUGUGCUAAUAUGCUUUGUUUAUUUUUGAAUCUUAAUGCUUAGAAAAUCAUAAGUUGCAUAGAGAUUUAGCUACUGCAUCGGGUUUUAGAUAAAGUUUUACCAGCAUCAUUAGGUUUUCUUUUAAUCUUAUCAAUUAAACAUUUGAUUGAUAAUUUUAGUUUUUUGGGAUUUUAAUUAAUUGGAUAUUGGGUUCGAACGUUUGAUUAGUUUAAUGUAGCUGUAUAAUAUGUGGAAAUAUUUGGUAACAGCUAUCCUGAAAUUUGAUGUAUCAAUCCUUUGUGAUGCUGAAUGGCCUAUGUUGGGAAUUAGGGUUUUCAGUCCUCUUUAGAAAUUGGAUAGAUUUCUUACCUUGCUGCUUGUCCCUAGUUCCACCAAAAAAAUAUGACCCUAUGUUAGGCCUUUUAUGGAGUUUAGAUGGAAGUUUUAGAUGUUGCAAAAUUAGAUUGCUUUUAGUGCAAUGGUUCUUUUUACUGGAUUUUGUUUAAUGAUGCUUUAUUUGAUACAGUUUAAUGUGCUUUUUAGAUCAUAUGUUUCAGAUGAGAUGGAUCAGAGUGUUUAGAAGAAUACGGUGAGAACAGGGUAAUUUUCCAACUGUGUUCUUAACCUUAAAUGCUACUUUUUCUUCCUCUUCUUUCUUUCUUUUUCUUAAAUUUUGUUAGUAUAAUGUUAUAAGUUGAAAGAAGUAAGAGCAUUUAUUUCUUUGUAUUUUCUGCCCUCUUGGAAUGUACCGUAUACAUUAUGUUGUUGUGGUUAACUUUAACAUUUUAUUGGAGUGUUUUGAAAACUAGGAGGAUAGAGGAUUGGUGGGAAGAAUGAUAGAAAAUGAGAGUACUUUUUCAUUCAUAUGCUCUCUAAGAAUGAUUUAGAAUUGGAAUGCAAGAAAAUGAUAUACCUAUUUAGUUUUUGUCUGUAAUCUCGCCAUCCUUUUUGUUUUGCUGGAUUAAAUAUUUAAGGUUUUAAGCUGUAAUUAGAAGAUGUCAUAGUUAUAAUUAAGAUGUCCUACUGCUGUAUCUUGAUUAAAAUGUAAGUAUUCAUGCUGUAAGUAUUUAUGUUGUCUUAAAACAUUAUCUGAAGUGGAUUAAUUGUUGUAAUUUAAACGGCAUUAAUAAUGAAAUUGUGGUAUCUUAAAACGAUAAAUUGAGAGGAGUUAUAGUUGUAAUUUAUAGUGCUUAGGUGUCGUGGUUAAAAUGUAUAACUCUGGGAUUGAUAUUGAUGAUGUGCUGGUAAUGAAUAAAUCGAGUUUAAUUUGCCAAAUGACAUGUUAUUUUAGAAAUACAAAUUGAGUGUUGCUAAUGGUGAGUUUUCUUUAAACUCCUUUAUUAUUUCCAUGCUCGAAAUUCUUAUCAAUUUUACAUGGAUGAUUCGGCGAUAGUUAAAUAGGGAAAAAAAUUGUUCUUUACAAAUUUCAUUGUUGCUACUGUUUUGUAUUGGUUAAACUUGUUUAUUUCAGAUUUAGUUGUUGUCCAAUUAGUGCAAAAAUUUCCUGUAGCUCAAGCAAAGUAGAUGCUGUUGCUGCUCGUUUUUGUACUUUUAAAGCCCUAUUUAAGUACUGCAAUUUGAAGUGUUUAGUAGUUGGAAAUUGAGAUGUUUUAUUGCUGUAAUUGAGGUGCAUAAAUGUUGUUAAUAGAGAUGUUAAAGUGCUGCAAAUUGAAGUGUUUAAAUGCUGUAAAUUGAAGUGUUAAAAUGUAGCAAAUUGAAGUAUUUAAAUGCUGUGAAUUGAAGUGUUAAAGUGCUGCAAAUUGAAGUGUUUAAAUGUUGUAAAUUGAAGUGUUUUAAGUACUGAGGUGUAUAAAUGUUGUUAAUUGGGAUGUUAAAGUGUUGUAAGGUGAGGUGUUUAAAUGCUGUAAAUUGAAGUGUUUAAUUGUUGUAAAUUGAGGUGCUGAAAUGAUGUAAAUCGAAGUGUUUGAGUGCUGCAAAUGAUAUAUGAUUUAAUAACAUUCUUAAUAUAAUUAUCUCAACAAACGAAACAAAAAAAAAAAAAGAAAGUAAAAUGCUACAAACAAAUCAUGUUAUGGUAAGAAUGUAAUGUAUAUGGAGUUUUAGAUUUUAUUUAAAUAAAAAUAAUAACCGAAUAUUUUAAAAGACAUAAUUUUUAAGAUAUUUAACACACUAUAUACCUAUAAUCGAAUUGAGUUAAUACAAAAUAAAAGAAAUUAAGACCUUAUUUUCUUUUCUCAUAAAAAUUAUUAAAUUCAUACUAUUUUUCUUUCCUUUUACUAAUUUUAACCAUUCAAACAAAAUAAUAUAUAUUUUUCUAUUCACAAUUAUGAAUUCAAAUAAAACAUCAGUUAAUUACAAUGUGAGAUGAAUACAAACUUUUUAAAAGGUAAAUUGAUAAAACACUUUCUUUUCUUUUUUUCUUCUUUUUUGAAUUGAAUACAAACUUUUUAAAAGGUAAAUUGAUAAAGGUAAAUAAAACGUCAGUCAUCAAUUAAUCAAAUUCACAAAAACACAUUCUUUUCUUUUCUUUUUUUUUUCUUUUUUGGGUGAUUGAUAAAGAAAUAAAUUUCAAGCUUUUUACUUGCAAAGAUAGUUUUAAUUUCUAUUUUGUGCUUCGUAAAGAUUCUUAAUAUGUAUUAUUCAUUUUUCUUUGAUAGUGUGUUAUUGCUUCCUCUUCUUCUAUGGCUUGUUUGAUUGCUUCCUCCACGUCACACAGUUGAGCGUCUUGUAUUCACUGAAUCACUAUAAGUUCUUUCGCUAUUAAAUUCUUUGAUUUUAUUUUACUGUUAUUGAAAUUAGUAUUGGAGAAAUGUGACCCUUUUACUACGAUUUGAAGAUAUGUAACACUUUAAUAUCUCGUAGUAAUGACUCGUCUGCCUUUAAUAGUACAAAGUGUGAGGCGUAAAAGAAUUGGUCUUGCAUUGUGUAACACCCCAAACCCGGCCUAGACGUUAUGGCCGUAUCUGGUGUGUCACAUUGAAGUGUCUCUCAAAAUUUAGACUUGUUGAUAAAACUCGUUUCUUAAGUUUGGAAACCUCUUUAGUAAUGUUUAACGGAACACUUAACCAAAUGUUUUUCUUAUUAACUACUAUUAUUAUAUUAAGUUGAUUUAAAACGUGGAAGCAUUUGAAAACUCUAACGUUUAAAGUUUGUGUCUUUCAAAACAAUAAUUAUUUUGAAAAUUCGUUUUCACUUAACUAGUAGUAUAAAAUAUGUAAGCAAAAGCCCAAUUAAAAUUUAAAACCCAAAUUAAAGGCUUUAUUACAAAACAAAACCCAACUUAUAAUUUAAAGUAAAAUAAAAGCAAGUGUGAAUAGCAGCAGUUGUGUGGCCACCUCCGAGCCCCUCGCGGCACCGAAUCGCCUAAGACUGAGGAUUACCUACACAGUUAAAAGGAGAGGGUGAGUUUACGAAACUUAGUGUGAAAUCCCCUAUCAGUCAAUCAAUAUACAACAUGCAGUAGCAGUUUGGGCCUAAGCUCUUUACAGCAACAGCGUGGGCCUUAGCCCAAUACAGUAACAGUGUGGCCCUUAGCCCAAUACAAUAACAGUAUAAUGCAGUAAUGCAACCCAUCCCAAUCCAGCCAACACACCACUCCGUACCACCAACACACCAUGUGGGGAUAAAAUCAACCCACCCAGCCAACACACCAAUAUCGCAGCAAAGCUGCCAGUAAUAGUGAUGCAGCAAAGCUACCAGUAACAGUAACGCAACAAAGUUGCCAGUAACAGUAUAUGUGGCAAAGCCACCAGUACAAUAUACUUCCCCUAUAUCAGAAACCCAACCCGUGUAGUAUGUCAUGUCAUAAAUCGCACGUGUAUACAGUAUGUCAGACUCAGUAACAGUCAUAUAUAUAUUAUAGAGCAAAUCGGUCCUACACAUACUUCAACUCCUAAGGGUAUAACAAUCAUUUUACCCUUUGGGGGUAUUUUAGUCAUUUUACCUUGCUAGGGUAUUUCAGUCAUUCUACCCUGCGAGGGUAUUUCAGUUAUUUUACCCUUUGGGGGUAUUUUGGUCAUUUUACCCUUUGAGGGUAUUUCGGUUAUUUUACCCUUUAAGGAUAUUUCGGUCAUUUUACCCUUCGAGGGUAUUUCGGUUAUUUUACCCUUCGGGGGUAUUUCGGUUAUUUUACCUUUUGAGGGUAUUUCGGUUAUUUUACCCUUCAAAGGUAUUUCGGUUAUUUUAGGCCCAUUACAGCCUAAGCCCAUGAAAACGCUCAUAGAGGCCUCUACAAUCUAACACCGUGUUUCGUGGGCUCGAUUUACCACACGAGAGUUCGCAUGCCCAUAUGGUCUCAGCGCCGUCUUUUUUGGAUUUUUGGCUUUUACCGAUUUACAGUUGAGAGAGGGUGUAAUUACACACUUGUUUGUGAAAAUGUACUAAGAUCCACGAAUACCUAAAAUCUGCAUUCAUACAAGUUUUCCAUUAGUUACAAUCAAUAGGGUUAGUCUCAUUCUUUUGCAUCUUUAACCAAAAAAACAAACUAAUACUUGCCUCAACUGACAAAACUGGCUUAGCCCACCUAAACCAUUGACGAAAGUUGACUGCAAUCUUCUUGACGGAUAUCUGCAUUGCAAACGGAUUCAUUAAAUAAGAUUGUAAAAUCAUGUGGUUGAAAUCCGCACAUGAUAAUUUACAGAACCACAAGAACAUUCGGCCUACACCUAGAAGGAAGGCUAGCCUACCUAUUUACCUUGACCGAGUGAUGAGAGAGAGGUUUCGACAACUAUAAAACACUUGAAACUCCUUCACUCUUCGAGGAAAAUGAACCGUCAGAGAACAGUUGUCAAGUCAAAAUAGAAUUGAAUAGAUGAAGAGGGAGAGAAAGGCAAUAUUCGGCCAAGAGAGAAGAAGAAAGAAAGGCAAUAUUCGGCCACAAAGAAAAUAGGAAAGAACCAAAGGCUAUUCGGCCAAAACAAAAAGGGCAUAAAGGGAAAAGCAAAAAAAAACAAAACGAACAAACCCGAGAGGUACUUUGAAGCCUUUGCAAGAUUCGACACCAAAAGAAAAAGGAGAAAACAAAAAAUGCUCACCCACCGAGGCAGACAGAGAGAAAAAUAAAAUAAAAUAAAAACCAAAAACUCCUCAAAAGACAAAAAUUACCCCCAAAACUCCCUCUAGCCGAAUUCUCAAGGUUGAAUAAUCCCCAAAUGGCACAACACUCCCCCUUAUCAAAUUCUUUGAUUUUCUCCUAAAAACUCUCCACUUAUCCUUCCUUGAUUCACUCCACCUAUUUCUCCUAUACUCCCUCUAUGACCAGUUCAAACUCCAUUUAGCAGUGUUCUAGUCCAACUCCACCACCUACCCAGCUCAAGCAGCAAAAUAAAUACUCCCAUGCGUAACCCAUGACUUGAACCUCUGACCUCAUAGUUACACCACAAGCCACCUUGCCACUAGACCACAAGCUAUUUUUGUGUCAUAAAACCAACACUAAUAUUUAUAAGGCCUAUAUGCCUAUGUUCAGAUUCAUUUAAGAGCAAAACUAAAAAUUAUGCAAAAGCCAAGACUUGAACCCAGGCUCCUCAAACACCCCCAUACACACCCAAAUCACUUAACCAUUAAAGCAAGCAAGCAAUUUGUGUCAAAACAUGCAAAAACUAAAGACUUAAAUUUUAGGGCGUUACACAUUGACAAUAUGGUUGCAAAUGUGUACAGUUGCGAGUUGGUUCUUAGUUACAUUCGGUGCCAUCCAUAGCCUACAUACUUAUAGACCAAUGAUUAGAUCCUAUAUUUUAGAUUUUUAUACAAAACGAGAUUAUGUGAAAAAACUUGUAUAUUCUAGUGACGAGACCUGUAUUGAACAAGUUAGGAUGAAUAGAAUUACCUUUUUUAAACUAUGUGAGAUGUUACAAACUUUAGGGAAAUUGAAGUCGUCAAGGAAUAUGUUUGUUGAUGAGCAAGUGGCAAUGUUUUUACAUAUCAUUUCUCAUCACCUUAAAAAUCGAGUUAUCAAGCAUCACUUUAAUAGGUCUGGGGAAAUCGUUAGCAGAUCAUUUCACAAUGUUUUAAAUGCUGUCAUACGCUUACAAGAUGUGUUAUUUAAAAAGGCAGAGCCAAUUACAGCUAAUUUUACAGACCCAAGGUGGAAACGGGUCAAGGUAUUGGAGUGAGUUCUAUAUAUAGCUUGUACAUAAUUUAGUUGAUUUAGAUUUAAAUAUAGUAUCCUAACUCAAGGUUUUAUACAUGUGAUGUAGAAUAGUUUAGGUGCUUUAGAUGGAACCCACAUCAAGAUUAGGGUUCCAACAGUUGAUAAACCUAGAUAUCGAAUGCGAAAAGGUGACAUGGCAACAAAUAUGUUAGGUGUUUGUACACCUGAUAUGCAUUUUGUUUAUGUUCUUCCUGGUUGGGAAGGUUCUGUUGCUGAUGAACGGGUUUCCAGAUGCCAUUAGUAGGAGAAAUGGACUAAAAGUUCCUUAUGGUAAAGUGCAAAAUUAGAGGACUUUGAAUUAAUCUUUAAGAUCAUACUUUUUUGGGAAAUUAGCCAUGACAAAUAGUUUUUUUAUAGGUUGUUAUUAUCUAGUUGAUGCUGGAUACACAAAUUGUGAGAGAUUUCUUGCACCUUUUAGAGGACAAAGAUAUCAUUUGAAUGAGUGGCGUCACGGUUACCAGCCAAGUACUCCGGAAGAAUUUUUCAAUAUGAAACAUGCUUCAGCACGUAAUGUUUUUGAAAGAUGCUUUGGGUUAUUAAAACUUAGAUAGGGAAUACUUAGGAGUCCAUCAUUCUAUCCUGUGAGGGUGCACAAUAGAAUCAUUAUUGCAUGUUAUUUGCUCCAUAAUUUUAUUCAAACCUAUAUGAGUCUUGAUCCUAUUGAAGUGGAGUUGGGAGAAGGAUUACCUAGAAAUGUGAUAGAUGACAAUGAAUCGAAUAUCGUAAGUAUUCAUCCAUCGGAUGCAUGAGCUACUUGGAAGAUGGAACUAGCCAACUAAAUGUUUGGUGAAUGGCAAGCAUCUAGAAAUUAGUUAGGUUUAGGGUAAAAAUAGUAAACAUUAAUUUGUUUAUGUUAUUUCAUGUAUCUAGUUUAUGAAACUUUGGUGGUGUUUGAAUUGUUUUUUGUAUUGUACUAGACUUGUUGAAUUAUAAUUUAUUUUCUUUUGAUUCAUCAUGUGCUAUAAUUUUGUAAAGUGUUGACAUUUUGAUUCAUAAUAUUGAACUUAAUUUUAAUUUGUUUUUUUCUUAAGAUAGUUAUGUCAGGUUUUUCACAAUCAAGUGUUUCUUCCCAAAAUUCUCAAGGAACCAAAAGGAAAUGGGUUCCAGAAGAAGAUGCUGCGUUGGUUGCUUGUAUGGUCGACUUGCACAAUGUUAGAACCUUUAAUACUGAUACGAGAUUCAAAUUUAGUUAUUUAAAUGAGUUGGAAAAAAUGUCAGAAAAAGUUUUACCCAAUGCCAUGUUAAAGGCUAAACCUAAUCUUGAAUCGAGGAUUAGGACAUUGAAAAGGGAUUGGUCAAUCGUUUAUGACAUGCUUAGUGGAAAAAACAAUAGCGGUUUUGGUUGGGAUGAACAUAGGCUACUUGUUGUUGAUGACGAUGCGGUGUGGAACUCAUAUAUAAAUGUAAGAAUUAUUUCAAGUCUUUAUUAUCUUAUUUUGACCAAAUUUAUAUCUAAUAUGAAUUCCUCAUUUUUAUAGAGUCAUAAAGAAGCCAGUCAAUUCAAACAUCGUAGUUUCCCUUAAUAUGACCAACUUACUGCCAUCUACGCAAAAGAUCGAGCCACUGGAAAGAUGCCCAAAUAGCCGCUGAUAUUAUUGAAGAAAUAGAUGUUGAGGAUGUAGCUACUACAAAUACUCAUGAAGAAAGAAACAAUUUCUAUGGAUGCAAAGCUGAUGUUUCUUUGGAAGACAUGGAUCUUUCAGCUACACAACCGCAACCAGCUAGAAACCAAGGUGAUUCAUCAUUUUCAAAGAAGAAAAAAAAGAUUUCUGAUGCAAGUGAUCAUAUUUCUUCUACUUCAUUUAAUGAUGCUGCCAUUUUAUUGGCGGAAAACAGAUGGGCCGUUGGCAUUGAAAUCAGUGGGAGUAUUGCCUCCGAAGUGCUAAUUCAACAAAAGUCAGAAAUGACCAUUCAAGAAAGAGCUCUAAAAUUAUAUCCAACAUUAUGUGAAGUAGAAGGUUUAACUGAGGAUGAGCGCUAUCGCUCAUUGAGCAAAAUUCCAGAUCAUCUAACGCAAAUGCUCAUUUUCUUUAGUUUACCUUCUUCUGUGCGACUGGAAUGGGUAAGAAGAUUUCUUGCUGACCAUUAAAAAUCAUGGUUGUGUUGAUGAUAUUUUGGUAACUUUUUGUGUUUGUAAUAUUUGGAUGGUAUAAUGACAUGAUAGAAUGUCAUUACAAUGUUGUAACUUUUUGAUGUUGUAAAAUUUUAUAACAUAUGGAUUAUGACAUAUAAACUAAUGAAAUCAUGUAACUUUUUGUUAAUAUAUGAAUAUUAUGUUUGGAUGUGAAAUAUAAUUCUCAAGUUAUUUAUUACUUCUAAUAUUNNNNNNNNNNNNNNNNNNNNNNNNNNNNNNNNNNNNNNNNNNNNNNNNNNNNNNNNNNNNNNNNNNNNNNNNNNNNNNNNNNNNNNNNNNNNNNNNNNNNNNNNNNNNNNNNNNNNNNNNNNNNNNNNNNNNNNNNNNNNNNNNNNNNNNNNNNNNNNNNNNNNNNNNNNNNNNNNNNNNNNNNNNNNNNNNNNNNNNNNNNNNNNNNNNNNNNNNNNNNNNNNNNNNNNNNNNNNNNNNNNNNNNNNNNNNNNNNNNNNNNNNNNNNNNNNNNNNNNNNNNNNNNNNNNNNNNNNNNNNNNNNNNNNNNNNNNNNNNNNNNNNNNNNNNNNNNNNNNNNNNNNNNNNNNNNNNNNNNNNNNNNNNNNNNNNNNNNNNNNNNNNNNNNNNNNNNNNNNNNNNNNNNNNNNNNNNNNNNNNNNNNNNNNNNNNNNNNNNNNNNNNNNNNNNNNNNNNNNNNNNNNNNNNNNNNNNNNNNNNNNNNNNNNNNNNNNNNNNNNNNNNNNNNNNNNNNNNNNNNNNNNNNNNNNNNNNNNNNNNNNNNNNNNNNNNNNNNNNNNNNNNNNNNNNNNNNNNNNNNNNNNNNNNNNNNNNNNNNNNNNNNNNNNNNNNNNNNNNNNNNNNNNNNNNNNNNNNNNNNNNNNNNNNNNNNNNNNNNNNNNNNNNNNNNNNNNNNNNNNNNNNNNNNNNNNNNNNNNNNNNNNNNNNNNNNNNNNNNNNNNNNNNNNNNNNNNNNNNNNNNNNNNNNNNNNNNNNNNNNNNNNNNNNNNNNNNNNNNNNNNNNNNNNNNNNNNNNNNNNNNNNNNNNNNNNNNNNNNNNNNNNNNNNNNNNNNNNNNNNNNNNNNNNNNNNNNNNNNNNNNNNNNNNNNNNNNNNNNNNNNNNNNNNNNNNNNNNNNNNNNNNNNNNNNNNNNNNNNNNNNNNNNNNNNNNNNNNNNNNNNNNNNNNNNNNNNNNNNNNNNNNNNNNNNNNNNNNNNNNNNNNNNNNNNNNNNNNNNNNNNNNNNNNNNNNNNNNNNNNNNNNNNNNNNNNNNNNNNNNNNNNNNNNNNNNNNNNNNNNNNNNNNNNNNNNNNNNNNNNNNNNNNNNNNNNNNNNNNNNNNNNNNNNNNNNNNNNNNNNNNNNNNNNNNNNNNNNNNNNNNNNNNNNNNNNNNNNNNNNNNNNNNNNNNNNNNNNNNNNNNNNNNNNNNNNNNNNNNNNNNNNNNNNNNNNNNNNNNNNNNNGUAAUGAUAAAAUUACACUUUGGCCCCCUUAAAAAUGAUAAAAAUUUGAUUAAUUCUUUAAAAAUUAUAAAGAUAUAGACUAUUAAAAUGGUGAAAUUACAUUUUUACUAUCAUAAAGUAUACAAUUUAAUUCCGCCCUGAAAAGCUUUUCUAAUUCCGCCACUGUUUUAUAUUUAAAUUAAUUACGCUUGAACUAGAAUGUCACAUUAUUCUCUAUAUAAUUAUUUUUAAAAUUUUUAGAUUUAUAAUAUUUUAUAUUUAAUAGUAUAUUUUAUUUCAAAUGUUUCAUAUUUAUACUCAAAGUCAUUUAAAUUUUGGGUUUGUUUCAUAAAAUGGUUUUAAAAAAUAUAAAUAUAAAUAUAAAACAUAAAACUUUUAUAAUUUAAAAUUUACAUUUAUCAAACAAUCUAUUUAUAUUUAAUAAUUAAUUUUAAGUAAUAUAUCAAAUAAAUUUUGUAAUUUAAAUUCAAUAUAUGUAAUUUUUUAACACUUAAUUUUUAAUUUAUUUUUUAUCCAUAUUUUUCUUCCCUUAUUGUGGGAGAUUCGGCCCCACCUUUGAAUAUUCAAAUAUUAUUGUUAUCAUAUAAUAGUUUAUAAUUAAACUGUUGUUGAUAUAAUAAAUUUAUGUAUUUAUAUUCCAACUCCAUUAUAUAUUUGAAGUAGAAAGGGGCAUCCAUAUGCAUGUGAGGCAGAGCAAAUAAAACCUUUCUGCCAAUUUGUUUGGCUUCCAACAUGACACGUGCCAAUUAGGAAAUACGUACGUAAACGAAAGAUAGAAAACAACAGGUUGCGACUCUUUACCAUUAGAUCAGACCAUUGCCACUAUGUUAUGUCUUUUUAAUUAAUCAAUUUGAAUAUAUAUCAUAAUUAUUCUCAAGUUAAGAUGGAUAAAUGAUGGACAAAAUCGGCUGUCAGCGUGUUGUAAUGUUCUAUUAAUGCUGAGGCUAAAGUCUUUGUCGUAUUGAUGGAGUUUGUCCUUCAUUGUCGACAAUGGAUGUUUUUUUUUCUUUUCCCCAAAUUGUAUGAUCCCAUUUAUGGAAUAAAUUAAUGAAAUUUUCCUUUCAAAUAAUAAUAAUUAAAUGUAGAGGUAGUUGCAUCGGGUGUAACACCCCAAACCCGGCCUGGACGUUAUGAUCGAAUCUGGCGAUGUCACAUGAUAGUGUGUUUGAAAACCGAUGCUCGUGUUGAAAAACCGUAACUUUGCUUAAAACAUUUUCCGUUUAGAUCUCGUCAUUAUCUUUUAUUAAUCCUAAAAUAGUGAUUUUUAUUCAGUCGUUAGUUUGCAAAAUAUUAUAUGUUGCAGAAGCUUUUUAAAGUAGUUUGUGUCCUUGCGGGUAUUUUGCUAAAACACAUGCAUUUCUUUUAAAAAUCCGUGUUUUAUCUACCUCUAGCAGAUAUAAAACAUAAAGCAAUAUAAAAUCCAAAAUUUAAGCAAAAACUCAUAGCGGCCAUUAUUACAGAAAAAUACCCCAAAUAAAGCUUUAAAAUAAUAAACCUAAUUAAAUACGAAACAGUAAAAAGGAGUCGUGUGGCCACAGCUGAGUCCUCCGCCGCUCUGAUCCGCCUAAGUCUGGGGAUUACCUGAACAGAUGAAUCAGAAGGGUGAGUUUACGAAAACUCAGUGUGUAAUCCCCACAUAAACAAUCAGACAUUAUGCAAUCAUACUUUGGGCUUAAGCCCAUUUCAGUAACAGUUUCAGUUUCAGUUAGGGCUUUAGCCCAUUACAAUACAGAAGCAGUCGUGCAUUUGGGCCUUGGCCUAUUACAGUAUCAAUACUCAGUACAGUGACAGAUAUGCAGUGUCAAAUCCUACCCAACCAGCCUCUACACUCCAGCUCUGUCCAACCCUACACUCCAUGUGUUGAUAUUAUCAACCCACCCAUCCCUACACUCUAAAAAGUACCAAAUGAUGCACUGGACAGUAGUUUACAGUUGAGCUGCCAGUAAUUUAGGCUCAAGGCUUUUCAGUACACUUCUUCUGAACAAUAUAACCCAACCCCUAUGCAAUGCAAUAUAUAUAUGACAUGCUAAAACAUAAUAUCGUGCAUAAAAUCAGGGCAUACAGUAUCAAGCCAGUGGGACAUCAUCAUGCUUAAUAACAUGCAUAAUCGUAUCAGUCAUACAGUUAUUUCAGUCAAUUAGGGGUCUAGGUAAGCUUACCGACCCUACAGUAGGUCCACAGUCGACUUGGGCGACCCGUGUAAACUUAGUAGUCAAACAGUGAAAAUGGGUCGACGGCCCAUGUUGCAUGCCCAUGUGGCCCACACGGCCUAAAAUGGCCUUGGCCGUGUGGAUCUCACGGCCUGGCCCAAUAUUCCUACACGCCCGUGUAGUUCACCUGUGUGGUCCACACGACCUAAUUCAGCUCGGCCCAUGAAUCGUACAUGGCCAACCUCGUCGAUCACACGCCCAUAUUCAAUCACACGGCCUACCACACAGGCGGCCGCACGCCCGUGUGGCGUCGACAAUCACAUUUUUUGGCUUUUCACUAAUUUCUGUUUUCAGAGUUGCGUUUACACACCUGGUUUCUAUUCACUGAGAAGGAAAACACCGAGCCUUUGAAACCUACAUUUGACCAAACAAUCACCAAUUAAUCACUUAUACCCUUACUCAAUCAAAAACACACGAGUUGACCAAGUGUUAACUAGCAACAAUGUUACAUUCAAUCGAGUAAAGAGGGUUCGCCCACUUAAUCACCAAUUAACGAUCCUCCACCCCUCGAAUAACUCCUAGGCACCAACCAAAAUCAGAUAAGCAUUGAUUCAUUAGGCAAUAAGAUAACAAUAUACUAUCUACCCUUACCAACAACGUAAGAAGAGUACCAAUUACGAAGUGCAAGAACUUAUUAGCAAGUAGAGAUUGAUAACCAGAAAGACAGCACAGGAAAAACAGUCAGCUGCAAGGGAAAGAAAAGAAUCGAAAAAAAGAAAUGAAAGGAAAGUAUGAAAAGAGGGGGAAGACUCGGCCAAAGGAAGAGGGGAACGUUUGCUUACCUUUUUUCGAAUAGUAAAUAUUUUGGAAAGCCAAAAGAGAGAGACCACAAGAACACUAAUUCGGCAGAAAGUAAUAAGAACAGAAUCAACACAAUGAGGGUAGAAAAGGAAAUCGGCAAGGAAGAGAAACUAGCAGAAGUUUCAGCAGAGAACUUUCAGAAACAAAAAGAAAAUUUCAGUAAUGGGGAAACAAAACAACAGAGGGAAAAUUUUAAAAAAUGAAAGAGUGAGGGGAAAGUCAAACUUGCAACUACUUUGAAUGCUCUCAAACUCCUCACUCCUUAAUUUUCUCACCAUAUCUCUUAAUCCUCUCCCUCAACCACCUAAUUCAAAUUCCACUCAAACUCUUCAGUAUUUCGGCUAAACUAGAACACCCACAUGGGACAAGCAGCAAAAUAAAACACUCCCUUGCACACACCAAGACUCAAACUCAAGACCACCAACACUUUGCCACUCCAUUUAUCCACUACACCAGCAAGCCCAUUCUAACAUUUUUCACCAACAUUUAUUUAUAAGCCUACUGAUUAGAGAUAGGAGUUUAUUCAUUUAAGAACAAAAAUUUACUCAAGCUAAGGGUUGAACUUAGGACCUCCCAAACACUCCCAGAACACUUAAUCACUGAAGCAGACAAAUAUUUAUGUCACAAACAUACAAAAAUAAAUAUAUAAAUGAUUUUUGGGGCGUUACAUCGGGUAUCCCCGAACUAUGAUUCUCAUUUUAAUUUGGUUUCCAAACUUCAAAAACGCUUUUAAUUACAUAUUCAAACUAUCAAUGUUAUAUCAAUCAUGCCCUUCUAUUAUUAAAAUCAUUAAUUUAAUCAGUAAAGGACAAAUCUUAUGUGACAUAAUUUAAAAUGGAAGUUUUAAAGAAAAGUAAAACAUCACCACAUAAAUUUUUAAAGUUAAAACUAAAAAUAAAGUAAAACCGGAAAAAAGAGAUAGUGAACAAUAAAGCUUUUGUAAAAGUUUCAAAAACCUCAAAAUCAAGAUUUUUACAACAUCCAUUUUUACAAUAUUCAUUUUUCUUUAAAAAUUUCAAUUUAAUCUAUGCCAUAUAAUAUUUGGUAAUUAAUUUAAUGGUUAAAUUAACAAUUUUAGUAAAAGGACCUUAUUGAUAUAACCACAAUAGUUUGAAGAUGUAUUGAGUGUUUUAAAGUUUGGGGACCAAUUUAGAAUAAAGGUUCUAGGUUGAGAAUAUAUGGUAAAAUUAACUCUUAAAUGUAUUAACCUUCUAAAACAAUUGAAGUAUAUUUAAUAUUAUUGAUUUGAUGUGUUUAUUUAUUUAAUUUAUUUUUAUUCAAGAUCUAAACUAUUUUUUAUUUUAGUUUCGUAGAUAUUACAUAUGGGGUAUUAUUAUUAGUUUCAAAACUUACGUUUAAUAUUCUUAAUAUGAUGUAAUUACUUAUUUAAAUUUUAUUUUACUUUCAAUUUAAACUAAUUUUUAUUUUAACUUUGUACAUGUUGCUAUUAGUUUCAAACCUUACGUUUCAUUAUUUAUUAUACAUUAUUUUUUUAACACAUACGCGUGUUCUAAAUGCACAGUUUCUAUGCACAUACAUGUUCUAGGAUAUUAUAAUCGUAUUUAAAUAUAUCGUGUCUUAUUUAUUAUGUUUUAAAGUUUAUUAAAUGUAUUUUAUUUAUAAUUUUAUAUUAUGUUUAAAGUUGGGUGAAAGUACCUUUAAAGUCCCUAUAUUAUAGAGUUUGGAUCAAAUUAAGCCCUCUAUGAUUAAAUAGAUCAAUUCAAUUAUUCUACGAUUAAAAAGAAUCAAAUAAGGCCAAAUUGGAACAAAUUUAUAAUUUAUUUUUUAAAAAAUGACAUAAAAAUAAUUUUUUUUCAUUUAUAGUUCAUCUUGAAACAAAAAAAUUUUCAUCUAUAAAAUCAUAAGAAGCUUUCAAAAUAUAACUUUGUUAAAUAGUAAAUGACAUCUUUUAAACAAUAAAUGUUAAUUAUGUUCCAAUUUGGCCUUAUUCAAUUUUUUAAUAGUACAAAGACUAAAUUGAUCCAUUUAAUAGUAGAGGGACUAAUUCGAUACGACCCCUAUGAUAGAGGGACCUGCUAGAUACAUUUAGCUUUAAAGUUGUGACUUAGCGAGACUAUUUCGAAAACUAGUAUCCUUUAAAAUAAUGUUUCUAUUCCACGAUCUAACUUGAUUAAUUAGUUAACAUGACCCGUCAACUGACAAUAUACUAGUGUCAUAGAUAAAUGAUAGAAAUAUUCAUUCCAAUAAAAAAAUUAAUUUUAAAAAUGAUAAAUACACAAUAGUUACUUAUAUUUAAUAGAAAAUUUAUUGAAUUACUUUUUUUCUUUUAAGAUUAUACCAUCCUUUUAAGGCAGUAGCGGAGCUAAAGGGUUGGCAGGCCCCUGCCCCUUACAGUGGGAAAAUUUUCAUUUAGGCUCUUUAUAAUUUAUAAAAUUUUAAAUUAGUAAUGAUAAAAUUACACUUUAGCCCCCUUAAAAAUGAUAAAAAAUUGAUUAAUUCUUUAAAAAUUAUAAAGAUAUAGAUUAUUAAAAUAGUGAAAUUACAUUUUUACUAUCAUAAAAUAAACAAUUUAAUUCCGCCCCGAAAAACUUUUCUAUUUCCACCACUGCUUUAUAUUUAAAUUAAUUACUUCCUUUUAAGAGCUUGAACUAGAAUGUCACAUUAUUCUCGAUAUAAUUUUUUUUUUUACUUUUAGAUUUAUAAUAUUUUAUAUUUAAUAGUAUAUUUUAUUUCAAAUGUUUCAUAUUUACACUUCAAAUGUUUCAUAUUCAUACACUUCUCGAUAUAAUCUAUGCCAGCCCAUGAACAACAAUCAACGCUUAAUUGAGGAUUCCAAUUAUCAACCUUAGGGUAAGCACACAAACCAGCAACAAAUGCUUGCUUCUCGAUGAUGCAGCAAAGCAAGACGCUCAUCGCUGUGACAAAGUACUGCAGGCUGCUUGGACAAGAAAGAAAAGGCAGUAAAUUGGAAAGAGUAAUAUUGAAAAGAAAGCAUGCAAAUGCAAAAGAGUAAUAUAUAGAUGUUAAAGUGUAAUAAACGACAAUAGUAGACAAAAUUAGAGUAAAAUUCUUUUUUACUUUGGGGUGCCGGCACCAGAAAUUAAAAAAUAUAUUUUUUUUAUUGUAAAAGGGUUGUUGACUACUUAAGUGCCGACAUUAAAAAAUAAAAAAAAAUAAAAAAGGGUGUCGAUCAUCUGCUACACGGUAACACGACACCAAAAAAUAAAUUUUUUUUAAAACCUAGUAUUACACGUAUUAUAUAAAAUACUUAUGAAAAAAAAUACACAUGAGUGUCGACCAUUGCACUGUCGACACCCAAAAAAAUAUUUUUUUAAUCACAGUUCCAAUCAUCAUGUUGUUAUUUGGGGAUUGGGGACAUGGGUGUCGGCCAUGAGGGUGCCAUAACCCUAGGACAUUGUUCCUUUCAAGUUAUUCCCGUAAAUGUUUUUGAACCAAAGUCAUUUUUAUAAAUGUUUAAUUGUUUUGGGUUAUUUUAUCAAAAUAACCCAUUUUUGUGGAACCAUGUAAGAAACACAGAAGGCAAAAAAGGAACAACAAAAUCCCAUUGCACAUAGAAUAUUUUACCAAACUAACCCAAAACAAUUAAAUAUUUAUAAAAAUAGCUCAAGUUAUAAAAUAUUUACAAGACUGACUUGAAAGCAACAUUGUCUGGGGGUUAUGGCACCCUCAUGGCCGGCACCAAAGUCAUCAAUCCUUAAAUUUUUUUUAAGGUGUCGACCGACACCUAUAUGUAUUUUUUCACCCGUAUUUUGUACAAUACAUAUAAUAUCCCCAUUUUUAAUUUUUUUGGUGCCGGCACUAUGUUGGUUAGUACUCGUUUUUAGUAAAAAACUGUGAUAAGCUUGCAAGAGAGAUUUUAUUAGAUAAAGCAAAGAUUGAUCGAAUGAAAAGGACUAAAAUACCAAAAGACGCAAUUUUUAGAAAAAAAAUUACAUAAAUAGGCAGAAAUUUUGAAAAUUUAUAGGAAUAGGCCGAUUUUUGUAAAAUGAUUGCGUUUUCAGGGGAAACCCAAAAAAAAUGCUUCCAAAAGCGUCUUUAGCAUAUUGACAGAAAAACGCUUCCAGCUGAAAGAUUUUUGCCACAUCAACACUAAAAGUGGAAGCACCAAUUUUUUUAUUUAUUUUGGUGUCACCUAUUAAUGUGAAAAUAAAACUUACAAAACAUGCCUUUAUAUAGACCCAAAGUCUCAUUUCCCCUUUUUUUUAAAGCAAUGUGAGAUAUGAGACAUAUGUAUAUAUAGACUCAUGAAUAGAUUUGUAGCUUAUUCCUAAAUUGUGAUAUAUAUAGAUAAUGUGUAUAUAUUGAAUCAUGAAUAGGGGUCUUCCACCACUUUGCCUAAAUUAUUAUUUUAUUUAGAUAAAAACUCAAAUUAUUUAAUUUAAAUCUUUUUUUUCACCAAUUUUUGAGUAUCACAGUUCCAAAUUGUUUAAAAUAAUAAUAUGUAUGGACAAAAGCAAAGAUAGUAGGAGGGCCAUACUCUUCCAAAUUCUUUAGGAUUUGGAGUAGCAUGGCCCUCCUACUAUCUUUGUUUUUGUCCAUACAUAUUAUUAUUUUUUUGUUAAAAUAGAUUGAAGUCCCUGUAUUCUUGAUAAGUUUGGAAUUUAGGCCUUUUAUUUUUAUUUCAAAUAAUUUAGUUUCUCUAUUUUUUUAAUUUAAAAAUACAAGUCUAAUUGUUAACAUUGUUAAAAUCAUUUUGUUAAAUUUAUUGGUGUGACUACGUGACACCUUAUAUCCAACCCAGUUGUUGGAUCCGAAUAUAAAAUGCCACAUUCCAUUGUCGAAGCAACUUACUUUUCUAUUUUACUCUUUUUUUUUAAAAGGAAACGUAGUGGUAAAAUUAUUUUACAAAAAUUUCGGCAACAUUUCUACCUAUUUUGCAUAAAACCCAUUGCAAAAUUUAGAUUUCACAAAAUAUCCACAUUCAAAUAAUCUCCCAAAUCAAUUCACAAAACUUUGAUUUCUCAAAACAUAUCCAUAAACUAGAUUUCAACGCUUUACUGUUUCAUCAAAACAUUAGUUAUAAAGUACUAGCAAAGAAAAUAUAAUAAAAAUAUUUAAAUUUUGUUUACGACAUAAUAUUAUAUAUAUACAAGCCUAGGUACAUGCCAUUUACAUCAAUUAUAAAGUAAACUUUUCACCAACAUUAUUUGAGCCGAGCUUCGGUUCUUCGGAUGCUGCUGGAACAACCUAACGAAUCUAACUACCUGCGCACGGAAAAAUAGACAAAUUGUAGGCUGAGCAAUUUUUAUGCUCAGUGAUGCUAAUAUCAUAUAAAUUAUUACAUAAGUAUUGAACAUAAAUUAAUUGAUAGAAAUAAAUUAAAACAUAAUUAUAAAUAUCAUUAAAUCAUAAUUAUAAAUAUCAUUAAUAACAUCACAAUAAAAGAAAGUUUUAAUAGUAAUAAACUUUAAUAUUACGAUAUUGACAAAUCGAAUAAAGAAAAUAAGUUUUUUUAAUCUAAUUCAAAAUCGUGUAAUUAAUUUAAUUCUCAAAAUAUGGAAAUUUAAAUAAAUUCAACUUGUGUUUUUACUUUUCUUUCAAUUUAGACCCUGUCCUAAAGUUUAGUGACAAGUGAUAAUAGUAGCAUGCUUUAAUCUCGUUCUUAAGAGAAUCAAAUCUCGCAUGCUACCUCCUCUGUUAGGAAGCCUGUUUCCAUCGAAGAGUCCGGUAUCAUGGUCUACCUUCUUACAGCAUCGAUACCGAGCUUUGGCCUACCUUUCUCAAGCCUCUUCCCGUUUCUAGAGAAAGGCAGUCCCGUAAGCCUUAGGAGAGAUCAGGAAAAGCUAUUAUAGUAGCCCCCUAUCCGGGCUUUAUGACUCUAUAUUCAUAUUCAUGUGAGCAACUUAGUCCCUGUGAUCCUGGAAGUCAUGCAAGCGUGUUCUUAUCCAAUCAAUCCCUAUUGCUCAAUCCAGUGGCAUCGAAAGUCUUCUUCUUUCGUUCCUUGGGCUGUUGGAGGCAUUCAAAAGGCGUCUUCAACAAUGAAAGUGACCUUAUCUUUGUUAAAAAAACCAUAUUUGGUGUGGAAAGCUCUCCCCCCUCGUACGCAUCAUUGCAGAAUCCUUCAGAAGAUUGCGAUAUCUUAGAUCAAAAGCCUAAUAGUUCAGUGAAUCAUGGGGAAAAGCCCUCGUAUAAUCGUAUAAGAAGAUGCUCACACGUAGAGAAACUUUUCUGAGAGAGGAGGAUCCAUUCAUGGAAUCGGAAGAGGAGGCCUUUGUCAUGGUGAGUUUUAUUUGCUUGCUCCUAUGAUAAAGGGAAUGAGAGAGGUGGGGUGAACGAAUCGGAUCUUAGAGAAGUCUCGGUCUUCGUCCACACCUAGGACAGGGAAGAAUGAUCCAUUUGAGAAUUUAGCUAGGGCUACUAUUUGAAUUAAGCCGAAGCCGGGGGAGAAAUCGAAUCCGCAGACAGGUCUUGUCUAAUGACUUGGUUUCUCCAAGAAGAAUUGAAUCAUAAGCAUGGAAUCGGGAAAACAUUGGAUUUCCAACAGUAAAUAUUCUUUCUUUGAAUGCUGUCCCUUUCUGUAGAAUCCCCUGCUUUUGAAAAGGCUAAGGCUUGAAUGGCGCUCUUAGAAUGGCUUGUGCAACAAAAGUCUGGAAUGCCAAGUGCGGGUAUUUGACAGUUUGCAAGAUGAAGAUCUGAAUACUCAUUUGACUAACUUUCUAGAGAUUUGUGACACUUUCAAAUGCUAAUAAUGACUCCAUACACUCACGGUUCUUCCCAUUCUCUUUGAGGAGCAAGACAAAAUGGUGGCUGAAUUCAUUGCCACGAGGUUCUAUCACUACCUAGGCGCAAAUGAGUGAAAAAAUUCAGUUGAAGUACUUUCCAACAGUUAAAACAACUAAGUUGAGGAAUGAUAUCUUCUCUUUUGCUCAAAUUGAUUUGGUGACAUUAUAUGAUGCAUGAGAGAGAUUUAAGGAUCUGUUGAGAAGGUGCCUCAUCAGGGGUUACCUUUAUGGUUGCAAGUUCAAACCUUUUACAACGGUUUGCAUCCCUCGACUAGACAACUAAUUGAUGCAGUAGUUGGUGGAACACUGAAUAAUAAAACACCCGAGACAGCUCAAGAGUUUAUUGAGGAGAUGAAAUUGAAUAACAAUCAAUGACAAGUAAUGAAAACAAAAUUGAUUAAAGCAGCUGGUAUUUUUAACAUCGAGAGAUUAAUAAGUUAUUCACAGAAUCUUUUCAUGAAUGAUUAAGCCAAACGAUAUGCAAUUGAAGCUUUCAUUGACAAAUAAUAAUGUUUUCUCAUAACAUUUAUAAUUACUCAAUUUACUUUCGAUACAAUAGAUUUGGAGUGGGAAGGACGUCAAUGACGAAAUUAAAUGGCUUUCUUAAGGUUCGAAUAGAGUAGUAAAAAGAUAUAGUGUCGUCCUUAUUAAUGGAUUCAGAUUUUAUACAAAAUAUCGCAAGAGAUUGAGGAGAACUCAAAAUUGUGGAAUAGUUGUUAAUUCUUCAAUUACAAGUUAUGCUAGUGCUUGAGACAGUAAUCCUGUUGAGAGAAAUGUGGAGUAUUAUGGACUUCUUACUGACAUUUUUGAGCUGGAUUACUAUGGCAAAUGGAAAGUUGUCUUAUUUCGGUGUGAUUGGGCUUAUGUUAAAACUAUUCGCGGAAUUAAAACAGAUCAAUUUGGUUUUACAAUGGUGAACUUAUCUCGAUUGAUUCACACUGGACAACAAUUAAUAGAUAAACCGUAUGUAUUUUUUUCUUAAGUGAAACAAGUUCUUUACAAGAAAGAUCCAACUGAUGAGGGUUGGUACAUUGUACUCCGUAACACCCCUAAAGACUUGUUUGACAUGGGCAAUGGAAAUAGAGAUGACAUCGAUGAAAGAUCAGAAACUUUGUCUUUUCCAGAACAAAACUUAAAUGAAAAUAUCCCUAGUACUAGUACACAAUUUCAAUGGGUUCGCCAGGAUGUUGAUGAAGAUAUUUACGAAUUAUGAUGUAGUAAGAUUUUACGAUUUUUUAAUUAUAUGUAAUAUCAUAAUUUAAAUCUUGGUCUUGUUAAACAUUUCAACUAUUUUAUAUGAACUAUUAUUGUUGUAAUUAGUUACUAAAAUUUCAACUAUUUUAUGUGUAUUGCAGAUAAAAUGCCUAGAAGAAGAUUGCGAGAUCUAAGUAUUGUUCAAAAUACUCCAAAUUCGGAAGAAACAAAUAGUGAACAACAUACUGCUAUUGGAUCUUCGAAUGUUUCGAAUACACCUGACGAACCUGCAGAAAUUCAAAGUAAUGUUAAAUUUAAUUUACAUGCGUGUUGACUUUUAUUAUUAAUUUCUUUUUCAAAUUCUUAUAUUAUAAUAUACCAUUUUUCAGCUGAAAGUGGUGGGAUGCGCAAAGGUUGAGGACGUACACUACUUAAAGAUUUAUACGAGUUAAAUCUUGUCGAGCGUGUCAAAGUAUCUAGAAAUAAUCUUGGUCAGCUUGUUGGAUCAGAAGCUUAAAUUUGAGCAGGAUAUUUGGGCAUUAUAGCACGAAAUGCCAAUAUGUUGCCUACCAACUACGAGUCAUGGCAUCAAAUGCCUGAUAGUAACAAAAACGAAGCUCUCGAUAAUAUUAAGGUAACAAAACGUGAAUGUAAUUUAUAAUACUUUGGUUUAAGUUUUAUUUAUAUUUACUUUCUAAACUUGUGUUUUUUGUAGGAGAGGUUUGCUUCAGAUAAUUAUGUCAAGAAGGCAUUGGGAAAAAAAUGGAGAGACCAUAAAAGUACUUUAAAGAAAGAAUUUUUUUAAAAAAAAAUAUAAGCCUCGAAGAGAAAUUGCGAAAUGUCCCGCCGGGAAUGCUGAGGUACCAAUGGGAAGAUGUGGUUAGAUUUUGGAAUUCAAAGAAAGGAGAGGUAUUACGUACUUCCAAACUCUUAUAAUUAUUUCAGUUUAUAGUACUUACUAUAUACGUAAUAAUAAUUUCAUAAUGUAGGAUCGUGAACGAGUUGGAACAAGCAGAAGGCAAAAACAGAAAUUCACUCACAUAGCUGGGUCAAAAAAUUAUGCUUGUGUAGCUGAGGCCGAGGUAUUUUAAAUUAUGAAUUGUUUCAAAUAUUUAUUACUUUCUAUUAAAUAAUAUUUUUACUACUAUAUUGUAGGAACUGUCAUCUGGUCAAAAAGUUGGACGCCUUCAGCUUUUUGACAUUACACAUAGGAAGAAAGAUGGAUCUCCUAUGACUUUUGAAGCUGCAGAAAUUAUGGUAUGUUUACUUAAUAAAAUUUGAAUUAUUUUAAAUAUUUAUAUGGUUUAAUUAUAAAGGUUUAAUUUGUCGUUUGUAAUGCAAAUAAUGUUAAGUUAUGUUGCAUUUGUUUUUAUUAUAUAUUUUGUUUCUAGCUCUUUGAUUGAUUUAUUAGGAGAAACUAAAGGAUAAAAAGGCGGAGUAUGAAGCGAUUGCUUCAAGUGAUAGUUCUGUUAAUGUUGAAGACAUUGAUAACUGGAUUAUUACUUAAGUUUUGGGUCCUGAAAGGUAUGGUCGGGUUCGAUUUCAAGGAUAUUUUGUUAACCCAACCGGAUAUUUUGGAUCCAACUCGCAAUAAUACAUGCCUUCAGGGAGUUAGGCUCAAGCUAAAGUUCAGAGGUUAAGAGACCAGAUGGCUCAGAUGCAAGAGAGAACAGUUGAGCAAAUUGCUCAACUUAAAGCGGAGGCAGCAUCGAGAGAAGCUGUGGUUCAAAGAAAAUAUGAAGAACUCCAGCUACAAAGUAAAGCGGAGGCAGUAGUGAGGGAAGCAGAGCAAAGCAGAAAGUACGACGCACUCCAGCUACAGCUUCAGAAUAUGAUGAAGAUGUUUCAGCAGUUGCAAAAUCCUCCAUCUUAGACAUUUGUUUUCUUAUUGUAAGAAUAUUUUUAACAUUGUAACUUUUAACAUUAUUGUAAGAAUAUUUUGAAUUAUACUUCAGUUAUCAAUUUAUAUCAUAUAUAUUUCGUUGAAUUUGAAGUAUCAUUUAAAUUUGCUGUUUUUGGUUGGAUUUCAUGCUACAGGAAGGGUUGUAUAUGGAUGAAAAUUGAAUGUUACAAAUCUGCCAAAGUUAGUGGCAUUUUUUCAUAAACGUCGCUAAAGAACGAUGCUUUUAGCGACGUUUGUGAAAAAAAAGCCGCUAAAAGUCAUUCUCUAUAGAGACGUUUGUGAUAAAAGCGCCACUAAAGGUUAUGCUCUUUAGCGGUGUUUGUGAUAAAAGCGCCGCUAAAGGUUAUUUUCUUUAACGACGUUUAUGAUAAAAGCGCCACUAAAGGUCAAGUUCUUUAGCAGUGUUUGUGAUAAAAGCGCCGCUAAAGGUCAUGUUCUUUAGCUGCUUAAAAGCGCCGCUAUAGGCCUAAAAAAAACCGCUAAAAGCCUGUUUUGCUGCAGUGAAUUAGUUACAGAGUUUUUGAGCGAGAAAAAGAAAAAUAAAAAGAAAACAAAGAUAGGGGAGAUGAGGAAAUUGUUCAAGGCGCUCUUGAAGCUAAUAUUCAUUUCGUCAAUACCUUGUAAUUUUUUCUUUUUUUUUCCCUUCCUUGAUUUUUUAUAGAUGAAUAUCAUUUUUUUUUCUUUUUGUAGAUAGAAAGGGAUUUCAAUUUUAGGUUGGGAUUGUAUCUGCAAAGACUACAAUAUUUUUCUAUUCGCUAAUUGCUCUAUCAGUGCAUCAAUGAUUUCCCUUUGGAUUUUCUCUUAAUUUGGGGUUUCUUUUGUUUUGGUAAGUUUAAAAUUUCAUUUUAUCUUUUUUUUUGUUUGUUUUGAGUUUGAAGUUAAAUUUUAACAAUAAUGAAGUUCAUUACUUUACUGCUUGAAUUUACUUGUUUGCAUAUUUGUUAGAAUGAGAACCGGAUCCAAAGGUCAAAUGUGUUCUGGUUGAGGGAAGCUCAUCGCGUGCGUUUUGUGUAAGUACUUGAAGAAAUAUUAAGCCUUCUUCUUUAGUUGGGAAAAGAUACUUGUAAAUAUCAUUUCAUGUUUGAAAUGAAAAAUGUGUAUAGAUAUCAUUGUAGCCUAUGUUUCGUUUUACUAGUGUUAAGGGAGUUUUGGGGGCUAACUAUUCACGAGUAUCACACGAAUGGAUAUUAAAUGUGUUGUUGCUAAAAUCCAGAAGGACAGAAACACUCCUCUUGCGCCAAAGGUUUUUCUUUUUCCUUUCCAUUUGUAAAUGCAUACUAUCUAAACUGCAAACUUCUUGUGCUUAGUUGUUUUUCUCUGUUAUAAAUAUCACAAACAUUUGCAAUUUGCUAAAAUUAAGCAAACAUCUGUAAAUGCAUACUAUCUAAUCAAGCAUUUUCUCUUUUACCAUCUUUUAUGGAUGCGUUCCCCAUUGAUUUUUGCUUCUUGAUAUGCCAAUAAUAUUUAUUAUAAUUCAAACCCAGUAUGUAGAAAAUAAAAAAAUAUAAACAAUAAUUUCUAGUGAGCUGUGUAAAUGCAUAAUGUGUAUGUAUUAUUAGUAAUUACCUUGCCUAAAAUGAAAUUUAGUAGCAAGUUUGUGUUACAUAGACUUUAAGUAUUGUAUUGAAGGGUAAAGGAUGCUGAGGCAUGCAUAUCUUAUUGACUAUUAAGUUCAGCUCAUCAUAUGCUGUGGAAAUAUAUUAAUAUGUUUCUACUGUGGAAAUAUAACUCAUGGUUCAUGCUCAAUAUCAUUUCAGGUUCAAGAUAGUUUCUCUGAAGCAGUUGUUGCUGCUGCACCUUGCCUCUUCUUUUUUUUAUGAAUUUGAUUCCAUUACCCUUAAAAGAUGACAUGACAACAUUGGAGUAACUGUUCGAGUUGUCAACCAAGUUAGUAUCUUUUUGCUUGCUGCAUUUUAUUAUUUUGCCUUAACUUUUGAUGUCUUUCUUAUUGUUAUUUUGCUUUCAAACAAUUCCUAACUAAAUUAGAUGGUUUUGAAGUUUUGACUGGUGUAUUUGUGUUUGUUGCAACAAGGUUAGUUCUCAUGGAAUCUGUAACACCCCUUACCCGUAUCCAACACCGGAAUAGGGUACGAGGCAUUACCAAAACACAUACACUUGUAAACGUAUUUAAACGAGUUAUAAAAUUUCAUCAAUAUUAAAACUUUCAAAAUAAUUAACAUGUUUCUAUAACUUUUCACAAUAUAUCCUCAAAAUAUUAUAAUCAUAAUAAUUAGGGCCUGCGAGCCCCGAUACAUACUCAUGCAAUUUAAUGCUUCAUUUCCAUUUCAUUCAAUUCGCAAUUUCUCAUGCUCAUAAUUUAAAUCAUAUCACUAGUAAUUUCCAUUUAAUUCACGUACAAUUCAAUGACAUCAAAUUCAAAACUAAUACGUAUUUACCAUUUAACUCAAUGUUUAUUGAUUAUACCAUUCAAUAACACAUUUAUGAAAUUCUCAAUUUAGCAAUGAAAAUAUCACUUUAGUUUGAAUAACAACAUCGUCCUGAUAUAAAUACACUACCACUUAUCCAUUUACUUUAAUUCUUUUGGGCCCAUUUGUCACUUACCAUCCUUAAUCAAAUUAGGGAACGGUCACGGAAAAAUUGAGUACUUCACUUUCACUUUGCCAUAGUAUAACUAUGGUCUUACGUAUGAUCACUUAUCACUUGUCCCUGAUCAGAUAAGUGUAGCCACCUAUCACUUUGUUUCUUGAUCAGAUAAGUGUAGCCACUUAUCACUUUGUCUCUUGAUCAGAUAAGUGUAGCCACUUAUCACUUUGUUUCUUGAUCAGAUAAGUGUAGCCACUUAUCACUUUGUCUCUUGAUCAGAUAAGUGUAGCUAAAGCUAUUACUUAUCACUUUGUCUCUUGAUCAGAUAAGUAUAGCCGAAGCUAUCACUUAUCACUUUUCACUUGUCACUUGAUCAGAUAAGUGUAGCCGAAGCUAUCACUUAUCACUUUCCACUUUCCACUUGUCACUUGAUCAGAUAAGUGUAGCUGAAGCUAUCACUUAUCACUUUGUCACUUGAUCAGAUAAGUAUAGCCGAAGCUAUCACUUAUCACUUUGUCACUUGAUCAGAUAAGUAUAGCCGAAGCUAUUACUUAUCACUUUCCACUUGUCACUUGAUCAGAUAAGUGUAGCUAAAGCUACCACUUAUCACUUUGUCACUUGAUCAGAAGUACUCAAAUCCGGCGUUCCGCUCAAUUUGAUCAUUUAUUCAUAUAUCAGGCUUACCAACAUGUGUUAAUUCAUAAACCAUUCAUGGUAUUAUUUCAUGCCAAAUCAUAUACUGAAUAUACCAUACACACAUACUAUGAAACUUUAUUUUCACACAUGAGCUUAAACCAUGACCAAUAAUGCACAAAAAUAAGCAUCAUUCAUAUUUCAUCGUUUAUGAGUUAUAAUCAAACAUAUGACCAUUUAUACACGAAUCAUUCAUAUAUUUCCCAAUUUUCCUCCUCCUCCUCUCCAUUCCACAUCCUUAAUGUGUAUAACACACUUAAACAACAUUAACCAUAAUUUCAAUAUUCACUAACAUGUAUAUUCAAAGCUGUUUAUCCGAGUCAGAGUCACUAAAUUAUUUUUAUCUGGAGCUACAGAGCUCCAAAUUAAGAUCCGUUAAUUUUCCCUGAAACUAGACUCACAUAUCUUCAUACCAUAAAAUUUUCAGAAUUUUUGGUUGAGCCAAAUAGUACAGUUUAUUCUUUAAAUUUUCCCCUGUUUCGCUGUCUGACAGUUCCGACCACUCUUCACUAAAAAUUAAUUAUCUCAUUGUACAGAAUUCGGAUAAUAUUUUCUUUUGUUUCUCAUAAAAAUAGACGCAUUAAGGAUUCUAACCAUAUAAAUUAUAACUCAUAAUAAUUUUUGUACAAUUUUUAAUGAUUUUUCAAAGUCAGAACAGGGGAACCCGAAUUCAUUCUGACCUUGUCUCACAAAAUCUAUUAUAUCUCAUGAUUUACAAUUCCAUUGCUCACACAAUUUAUUUUAUAAGAAACUAGACUCAAUAAGUUUUAGUUUCAUAUUUUAUUCAUCCUCUAAUUCAAUUUCUACAAUUUUUAGUGAUUUUUCAAAGUUACACUACUGCUGCUGUCCAAAACUGCUUUAGUGCAAAAUGUUGAUUUCCAUUUUGCCCCAAAUUUCACAGUUUAUACAAUUCGGUCCUUUCUCAAUUAACCCCUCAAUUAAUCUAAUUUUCUCAAUUAAUACUUUACCUAGACAUUAUAAGCUGUUACACAACUAUUGGAAUUCAGAAUUUCCACAUAUAACUCUAUCUUCAAACUCUUUUACUAUUAGGUCCCAAACAUUCACUUUCUAUUCAAUUCUUUCAAUAAAAUCAGCAUAUGAACAAUUUAAAGCUCUAAUUUCAUGAUAAAUCAUCAUAUAGUUCCAGCACAUAUUCAUAUAAACUUUCAACUUCUUUCAUAAAAUUAAAAACUAAUGAAUUUAACAAGUGGGCCUAGUUGUAAAAGUCAUAAAAAUACAAAAAUUUCAAGAAAUAGUCAAGAAUUGAACUUACUUGUAAUAAAAAUAUGAAGAACCAGCUUGAAGAAGCCUUUCCAUGGUGUUUUAGCUGAUGAGAAUUCAGAAAAAUGAAGAGAAAUCUAGAUAAUUCCACUUGGGUCCUAACUUUAUUAAGCAAAUUUUGCAAUUUUCCAAUUUUGCCCUUAAUUCUCCUCAUGCCUCUGCCGUCCAGCCCAAAUAGACCUUGGGUCUAUUUGUCUUUUAAGCCCUCUUCCUUUUAUCAUUUAAGCUAUUUAAUCAUUUCCCAAAAUUUUGCAUUUGUUACAAUUUAGUCCUUUUUGUUCAAUUAAUUAUCGGAACUUUAAAAUUUCUUAACGAAACUUUAAUACUAACUUUUUAACACUCCAUAAAUAUUUAUAAAAAUAUUUAUGGCUCAGUUUAAAAUCCCCGAGGUCUUGAUACCUCAUUUCGAUUCUAAUUAUUUUAAUAUUUAUUUCUAGUGCACUAUUCACUAUUUCAAAAAUUUUCCUAACUUCAUAUUUAACUUAUACUUACUAAAUUAAUAAUAUUUUCUACCCAUUUGUCGAAUUUAGUGAUCUCGAAUCACCGUUCCGACACCUCUGAAAAUUCAAGCCAUUACAUUUUUUUUUUCGUCGGAUUUGUGGUCCCGAAACCACUGUUCCGACUAAGCCUAAAAUCGGGCUAUUACAACUCUCCCCCCCUUUAGGGAUUUUCGUCCCCGAAAAUCUUACCAGAUGGUAGGUUAAUGAUUUACUUCCACAGUAUAUUUCAAAUUCACACAUGAUUUUAGAUUUUCAUAUCUUUUACAGAUAAUCACAUAGAUUCAUAAGAAAAUCAGGAUAGCGAUAUUUCAGCAUCUGAAGCUACACAAAGUAUCGAAAAAUUACAAUCCAUAUAGAAUGAUAUCCAUUUUGAUAAUCUGAUUAGUUUUCAGAACUAUCAAAUAUUUCUCUCUUUUUAUAUUGUCCUCAUUUUCUAAUUCAUUCACUUUUCCGACCACAUUAUUAUUCUCCCGUACACGAACUUCUGUAACACUACACUCGUAAGCUUAUUCAACCAAAAUCUCACAAAUUUCAUUGUAACAUUUUACUAAUAUGGGGGUGAGUGUAGUAAAGCCUCAAAUUUAUCUUACACAUAAAUGCGCAUAACACAUACCAUCACAAAUAGCCAAUUCAUUACUAAGUUCACAUUCUCAAAGCAUUUAAUAAACAUUUGCUUUUAAUCACUUUUGUUCUCAACACAAAAUUCUAACUCAAAUCACUAAUUCACAAUCAAAAUUUCUAUAUAGCAUCAUAAUCCAAAUAUCAUAACUCAUAUGCUUGUAUAAUUAUAACAUUCAUCAAUAAAAAAAAUGUUUUAUUCUUUGAUCCAUACCUUUAUGAGUUUCAACUCAUAAUCAAUACAUUUUCACUCAAACAUUUUAGUAUUUAUUUCUAUACUAUUAGAAUUAACUCAGUUGAAAAACAUAUAUGUCUCAUCAAGAUAAUUUUCGUCAUAGAACAAUACUGAUAAGGGGGUGAUGGUGAAGUCAUAAAUCUUUCAACUUGCUCUCAUAGAUACAUAUAUAUAUAUAUAUGAUUUUGUAUUCAUCAUCAAUGUAAUACCAUCAUAACCACGUAAUUCAUUCCAAGCAAUUAACACAUCUAUUUAUUACAAAUGUUUUCUGUCACUCACAAUUUCACACAACGAAUUUACUUACUCAAGCUCAAUGUUAAUAUCUAAUUAAAUUCCAAUACUUGGCUUCUAUUUUACUUACCGACAUUCGCCAAAUUAGAGAACGUCUUACGGAAUUGAGUACUUCGUUUUCUCGAUGCCAUAGUCCAACUAUGGUCUUACACGUAAUCACAAAUCACAUACCGAUGCCAUAGCCCAGCUAUGGUCUUACACGGAAUCACAUAAUCACAUGUUCACAUGUUGCCAUGGUCAAACCAUGGUCUUUUCCGUCAAUUCAUCACAUAUCACUGAACGAAAGUACUCAUUCCUGCGUUCUACUCAAUUUGACUUCCAAUUCAAUUUUUCAUACUAUUAUAAUAUUGAGAAUACGUACGAGUCCGUNNNNNNNNNNNNNNNNNNNNNNNNNNNNNNNNNNNNNNNNNNNNNNNNNNNNNNNNNNNNNNNNNNNNNNNNNNNNNNNNNNNNNNNNNNNNNNNNNNNNNNNNNNNNNNNNNNNNNNNNNNNNNNNNNNNNNNNNNNNNNNNNNNNNNNNNNNNNNNNNNNNNNNNNNNNNNNNNNNNNNNNNNNNNNNNNNNNNNNNNNNNNNNNNNNNNNNNNNNNNNNNNNNNNNNNNNNNNNNNNNNNNNNNNNNNNNNNNNNNNNNNNNNNNNNNNNNNNNNNNNNNNNNNNNNNNNNNNNNNNNNNNNNNNNNNNNNNNNNNNNNNNNNNNNNNNNNNNNNNNNNNNNNNNNNNNNNNNNNNNNNNNNNNNNNNNNNNNNNNNNNNNNNNNNNNNNNNNNNNNNNNNNNNNNNNNNNNNNNNNNNNNNNNNNNNNNNNNNNNNNNNNNNNNNNNNNNNNNNNNNNNNNNNNNNNNNNNNNNNNNNNNNNNNNNNNNNNNNNNNNNNNNNNNNNNNNNNNNNNNNNNNNNNUAAUCAUCAUAUAGUUCAGCACAUAUUCAUAUAAACUUUCAACUCUUUCAUAAAAUUAAAAACUAAUGAAUUUAACAAGUGGGCCUAGUUGUAAAAGUCAUAAAAAUACAAAAAUUUCAAGAAUAGUCAAGAAUUGAACUUACUUGUAAUAAAAAUAUGAAGAACCAGCUUGAAGAAGCCUUUCCAUGGUGUUUUAGCUGAUGAGAAUUCAGAAAAAUGAAGAGAAAUCUAGAUAAUUCCACUUGGGUCCUAACUUUAUUAAGCAAAUUUUGCAAUUUUCCAAUUUUGCCCUUAAUUCUCCUCAUGCCUCUGCCGUCCAGCCCAAAUAGACCUUGGGUCUAUUUGUCUUUUAAGCCCUCUUCCUUUUAUCAUUUAAGCUAUUUAAUCAUUUCCCAAAAUUUUGCAUUUGUUACAAUUUAGUCCUUUUUGUUCAAUUAAUUAUCGGAACUUUAAAAUUUCUUAACGAAACUUUAAUACUAACUUUUUAACACUCCAUAAAUAUUUAUAAAAAUAUUUAUGGCUCAGUUUAAAAUCCCCGAGGUCUUGAUACCUCAUUUCGAUUCUAAUUAUUUUAAUAUUUAUUUCUAGUGCACUAUUCACUAUUUCAAAAAUUUUCCUAACUUCAUAUUUAACUUAUACUUACUAAAUUAAUAAUAUUUUCUACCCAUUUGUCGAAUUUAGUGAUCUCGAAUCACCGUUCCGACACCUCUGAAAAUUCAAGCCAUUACAUUUUUUUUUUCGUCAGAUUUGUGGUCCCGAAACCACUGUUCCGACUAAGCCUAAAAUCGGGCUAUUACAGAAUCCUAUUGUAUUAUUUUGAUAGUAUCUAUCCUUAACCUACGAUUAAUCCCCACAAUGUUGAGUUUGACUCGUUAUUAUCUUCACGUGAUCGAUUUUGACAUGAGAUGCAUACCCAAAUAAGAUAGUUUUUCAAGUAGCACAAAAUUUUUAAAAGAGAAUACAUUUCUUGAUUUCAAGGUUUUCCAUAAAUAUAUGAGUUUCUUAUUUCAUGGUUUUUCCUUAUGAGUUGCAUAGCUAUAAUAAAAAUUUACUUGAAUUCUUCUAUAAGCAGUAGACCAGUUUUGCUUGAUGCUGCAUUGCUGAGACUAGGUAGGCUUGAUCGCCUCCGUUUAUGUGAUUUUCCAUCUCCGCGUGAAAGGUUGGAUAUUCUAACCUUUCUUUCAAGAAAGGUUAGUGAUAUUGUUUUUAUGCCUCAGUUUUCUACGCUCUCUUUUAUUUUUUUUGUUUCAUCAUAGAAACCGGAGGUAUAAAACUCUUCUUCAAGUCUCUUUUAUUUUUGUUGAUUGUUUAUUUGUAUGGUUGAUUAUUUUUUGUUUGUGUUCAAUGGAUAUUUGUAUUGAUUCUGCAACUUCUGUGUGUAGGGGAACCUACCAGUCGUAUUGCAGGUCUCUUUUUGAGGAUCUUUUGCUAGAAUGCUUUGAGCUCGUUGAUGAUUUCAAUUUUCAAGGUUUGUGGAUUAUCUUUCUCUAUGUUUUAUAAUUUGACAUUGGUCAUGACUCGAAUGCAUUAAAUUGGCUUUGGAUAGGUUAUUUUGUAUGGUAUGAGUUAUUGAAUUACUUCAUUAAAGAACUCUAUAAGGGGAGGGUGUCAUAAUUUGAUAGAAACGUGCUUCUUUGUUUCAUGUUGUUUUCUAUGUAUGUUAAGACAUUUGAUGUUGUUCAACUUGUUUUAGAGGAGUUUGGUCAAAGCAUCGGUGAAAUUUUUUAGAAUUUUGAUGUAAAUCCUCUUGGUUCUGCAUCAAUCGCACAGGUAUUACUUUUUCAUUUCUUUACCUGGCUUGAAGUUUUAUAUGAGCAUGCUGGGAAGGGUAUAGGUUUAUGUAUUUAAACAUAUAAAAUCUUUGAAGGCUAAACAUUUAUAUUAAAUAAGCUUCAUGCUUGCCAACAUACAAUAGGAUAUGACACAUUUGCUGUUUUAAUGCUACCAUAAAGUUUAACAGUUUUGUGGGCUUCUCGAGUUCCAAAAAUAGGAUAAUGCUUACAAGAACCGAGUGGAUAUACCUUAACAUAUGUUCGUAUCUGAAUUAGGUUUAUCGAGUAGGAUUGAGAAGUGAUAAGAUCGAUGUUGUUGUUAAGGUAAGUCCCUUUGAAAAUGAUUUUAAAACCUCAUAUGUCUAUGUGAUUUUGACCAUUCAAGUUUAUGGCAGGUGCAACAUCCGGGAAUCCAGGAUCUUAUGAUAACUGACAUCUGUAACUUGCAAGCAUUUGCACUAUAUAUUCAGAAGAAUGAUAUCAAAAAUAGGUAUAUGUAUUCACACUGAUGUUCCUUGCAAAACACAUCUAUCCUUCUUUUAUGUAAUUUUCAGAUUAUGUAAAUUGAGAGUAUCGUUCCACUUGGAUUUGGAUUUCUUUUUUCUUCUGCAUGUCGUUAAUUAUUUAUCCUUUGUGCUAAUUAUUUAUCCUUUGUGUUGUCAAGAUCGGAUAUGAGUUUGACUUUCUAAGAGAAGCCAAUGCUAUGGAGAGAAUUUGCUAUUUCUUAGACGAGAAUAACAUAAAGAACUAUAAGUUUUUGAAUAACAUAAAAUGAGGAAUGGCUUUUGAGACAGGGAUUACGAAUCUCAGCUCCUUCUGUAUUUAUGUCGAGUUUUCUUCAUGUUUUUGAAUAACAUGAACUGAGUUUUUAAAUGACAUAAAAUCAAGGACUAUGGUUUUUGAAUAAUAAAGGACUAUGACUUUUGAUUUUUUAUUUCACAUAUGAAAAGAACUAAUGUUACUAAAAUUUAGUAAUUUUUAUGUAAAAUUUGAAGGUUUUUAUUUCACCAAAAGAUUGCUAUAAAUAAUUAAUUUAUUAAAGAGUAUACCUUCUAAUUAAUUGUUGUUAUCAUGUUAUUAUAAAGGAUAAAAUAAAAUAUUAAAAAAAUAUGUUUUCUAUUAAAAUUGACUAUUAAAAUAAAAUGUUAUUAGAGGAUUAUAAUAUCGUAUGUUAAACUCAUUUUUAUAUUGGCGAUUGUGACCUAAGAGAACAGGUGAGAGGCUAGAUUAAAGCAAAUAUAUUAGGCAUUGAAAUAUUCUUAAUAAUAAUUUUAUAUUAAAAUUAUUAUUAAAUAUUAUUAAUAAUUAUAUUAAGAAUGUUAUUAAAUUAUAUAUUAUUUUAUUAAAUUGUAUUUAAUAAUAAUUAUGUUAAAAUAUGAUUAAAUUAUUUAUUUUUAUUUUUAUUAAAAUAUAUUUAACAAUAAUCAUAUUAAAAUUUAAUAACAAUAAUCAUCUACCUACAAAAAUUCUGUUAAGGGUACUUUGGUCAUUUAAGCCUUUUUCCUUAUACUAUUACAACAUCUAUUCCAUUCAACCAAACAUAAGAAUUCUAUUACAACUUUACUGCAUUCCAUUCAACCAAACAAUUGAAUUACUGAUUACAACUAUAUUCCAUUACAACUCCAUUUUUUACAGCUCUAUUCAAUUACAAUCCUAUUCCAUUACAGUGAACCAAACGUACCGUUAGAGAUAUCAUGCAACAAAUAUACGAAAAUAAAUUACAAUAGUUUUACAACUAAACAAAACUCGAAAAAUUAGAGAUAUCAUCUCAAUUUAACACACUAUAAUAAUAAAUAUAGAUAACUAAUCAAAAUCCAUUAAAGAUUUAGAGAUAAAAUAUUCAUACCUGAAACCACUAACCAAAUCCGAUCUCUUAUAAUAAACUCCUUAAAUGGAGCAAUAAUUGCCGUCAGCUUUAUCUUGUUUAUCUCUAUCCCCUCACUUUCUGUAUAUAAACGUCACAAGUUAGGAAGGAAUAAUCAUACAUGGUAUCUUCAAUUUUCACUAGCUACUUGACUUCUUUGCUUAAUUAUUAUUUGCAGAAAGAUGAGUUCAAUUAAAUCGCAUGCAGUAUGUCUUCCAUUCCCAGCACAAGGUCAUAUUAACCCCAUGAUGCAACUGGCCAAGCUCUUGCACUCUAGAGGCUUCUAUAUAACCUUUGUCAACUCCGAGUUCAAUCAUAGACGGUUGAUACGGUCUAGAGGGGAAGAAGCUGUUAAGGGUCUGCCUGAUUUCCGGUUCGAAGCCAUACCCGAUGGGCUGCCACCUUCCGAUUCCGAUGCGACUCAGUGCGUUCCAGCAAUAUGCGAUUCCACACGAAAAAAUUGUUUGGCUCCAUUCUUGGAGCUACUAUCUAAGCUUAAUUCAUCACCCCAACUGCCCCCUGUUACUUGCAUAGUUUGUGAUGGAAUCAUGAACUGUGGUACCAAGGCAGCUCAACUCAUUGGGGUGCCUUAUGUUCAACUCUGGACUUCUUCAACCGUUAGCUUUCUGGGAUUUCUGCACUACAAAGAACUAGCUCAAAGAGGCAUUGUUCCAUUCAAAGGUUACAAAUUUUAUGUUUUAUUUGUGCUUUAUGUUCAUUCAUAAUAAUCUCUUUGAGGUUCUAUGUGUUACACGCACGUCCAUGCAUAUUCUUUUGCAUAUUGAAACAAAAAUAUGCUUUUUAUUUUCCUUGUAGAUGAAGGCUUUGUUAGUGAUGGGACACUUGAGAUGCCCAUUGAUUGGAUCCCUGGUAUGCCUAACAUGUGCCUCAAGGACCUUCCAAGCCUCAUAAGAACCACCGACCCCGAAGACACCAUGUUUAAUUACGUCAUGGAAGUAUCACAAGAAUGCUUAAAUUCAUCUUCAAUAAUCUUCAACACAUUCGAUGAGUUCGAGAAAGAAGUGCUACAAGUAAUUGCUUCCAAGUCCCCUAAUAUUUAUGCAAUUGGUCCACUCACCUCCCUAAGUAGGAACCUACAUAACUCACUAAAUUCAAGCCUAUGGAAGGAGGAUACAAGUUGCAUCGAAUGGCUUAACACAAUGAAACCCAAGUCGGUGGUGUAUGUGAAUUACGGGAGUGUAGUAGUGAUGUCGAACCAUCAUUUGGAAGAAUUUGCUUGGGGACUUGCAAAUAGUAAAUACCCGUUUUUAUGGGUAAUUAGGCCUGGUAUUGUGAUGGGCGAAUCAGCUAUUUUGCCAAGAGAAUUCAUGGAGGCAAUAAAAGGAAGGGGCUUCAUAACAAGCUGGUGUCCCCAACAGCAAGUGUUGUCCCACCCAGCAAUUGGCGUUUUCUUGACACAUUGUGGAUGGAAUUCUUUGUUGGAAGCUGUAUCCGAAGGAGUGCCUUUAAUAUGUUGGCCUUUCUUUGGUGAUCAACAAACGAAUUGUCGAUAUUCGUGCACCACAUGGGGCAAUGGAAUGGAAAUCAACACUGACGUAAAGAGUAAGGAUGUGGAGGCUCUUAUUAAAGAGAUAAUGGAAGGAGAUAAUGGGCAAAGGAUAAGACAAAAGGCAUUGGAAUGGAAGAAAAAAGCUAAAUCUGCCAUUAGCGUUGGAGGAUCUUCUAUUACCAACUUUGAUAGAAUGAUCAAGGAGGCCCUACGUCAAGGUUGAACAUUAAAAUCAGAAUACUGUUGUGUUGUAUGUUUUGUGUAUGUUUUUCUUAAUUUUAUAUUACACUAUUAAAUAAAUGGGUUAGCAUUUGAUAAAUCAAUAUUAUACUUUUUUUAAUUCCACAAGUAAACUUAAAAAAAUUGUUAUGUGUUUGGUUUAUUUUAUAAAUUUAUUUUUUAAUAUUUAACUAUAAGUUAUAGGAUACUUAUCAUUACUCUAAACCUACUUCUAAAGUCCAACAACCCAAUUAACCCUGUACAAAAUAUCUCCUUAAAUAUAAAUACAAAAUAAAUUAUCAAAUGUCAAGAUGAAUCCAAAAAAUUUAAAUUUCUUAAAGUCUCAUGCCCAAAAUCUCAUUACCAAAUAUCAUAAUUUAAAUACAAGACAUUUCACCUUCUAUAACUAUUGUUAGGAAAAUCAAGGAAAUAUCUCGUCAGGUUCUAACAGUCAAGUUCCAAUUCGUGAAUAGGGAACGGAAUAAGGUUGCUAAUUGACUAGUCAAAUAAUGUCUUCCUAAGAUGUUAAUUUAUUUAUGUUGAUGUUCUUACACCUUAUGUGAGGAGACUAUUUUUAGAAGACAUAUUAGGUGAUUCUCAUGUAUAAAUAAUUUGAUUUAAAACCGUGUAUUACUUUCUUUUAUCUAUAAAAAGAAUAUAAGACAUUUAAUAAAUAUAUCAUUCUAUAUUAAACAUAUUAUAAUGUUUAUUGAAAAGUAUUAUUUUUUAAUAUAAUGUGCCAAAUUGUAGAUCAUAAUGGGAUUUCCUUUGUCGCUUCACCUGUUACUUUUAUUGCCUCACUUUUAUUUUUUAUUUGUCUUCUUUUUCUUUGUUUUUCUUUUGGGUCAAAGAAGAAACCAAACAUCAUAAAGUUCUCUGUAGAGAGAAAAACAGAUAAAAUAUAUAUAUAAUAAAUCUAUUGUAUUAUAUUAAAUGUAUUGAAUUUGUUGGGAAGGCGAUCUUGGAGAGAGGUUUUAAAGUGUUAUUUAUCGGAUAAUUAACUCAAAUUUUAACAAUAGUAAAUAUUAUUUUUGUGUAGUAGUUUUGUUUUUUUUCUCCUCCGAGACUCUUGAAAAAUACAAGAGUGAACACCUCAAUUGGUAGAGAUACAAUUUGUUUGCAGUUUGAGUCCUCCAACUCUCAAGUGUAUUUUAUAAUUAAUAUUACGCAUUGAUAAUUAUCCCGUGAGCAUUGCAAGUUGUAUUUCCACCAAAUGGGAUGUUCUCCUUUUAUAAACUCUUUAGGAUCUUUGAUAGAGGCGAAAGACGAAACCUUACUGAGAAUAUUACUAACCAUUAUUGAAAAUUUAACUAUAUAUGCCUAACAAGUGAUGCUUGGAAUACUUUUUUCGAAAAAGUUAAAAAGGUUGUUCAACAAUAUUGAAUUUAAAGAUACUCUAUAAUAGGAUGAAAAAUAAUAGUUAUAAUGUUUUUAUCUAUAUUGUUUUUAUCCCUCAACAAAUUAUAUGUAUUUCACCACGUAGGGAGGUUUGAUAAUGGGUAGCUCAUGAACUUGCAAGGGUUGGAAUGGGUAUGGAAGGGACUCUCUGUUGAGCUCCAUUUUGCUUUUGGUAAUAGCAACACAUUGUUUGAUGUAACGUUUUAUCAAUAUUAAUGAAUUUAUUUCUUUUAAUAGUAAUAAGGGUAAAUUACACUAGUAAUCACUUAAGUAAUAGUAAAAUUUUUUUGUCAUUCAAUUAUAAAGGGUUACAAAAUUGACAUGAUAACAACUUUAAUCCUCAACAUUUAUAAAUUAUGUCCAUUUAGUCUUUAUUUUAAAAAAAUUUAACCCUAAACAACACAUUGUGUAAUUUGAUCUGUUUUUUAUUAAUUUUUUGUAAUUUUGUGACAUUAAGGUUUAAUUUUAAAAUAAUAAGAUUGUUGUAACAAGUAUUACACACACAUACAUAUAUUUCCAUCGAGGUUAUAACUUUUUAAUGAGUUUCUUAUUUGCUCGUUUAUGAAUUUAUGAACCUUUAUGUAUUAGCAUAAGUAAAGAAGUUGUAGUUUAUUUCAUUUCUUUAUAAUAAUGCCAAAUGUUAUUUGAGAAAUAAUAACAUUAUACUAGGAGGAUAUUAUUUUAACUUUGAAAGUGUUUGUAUAUAAAAUUCUAUUUAUAAUAAAUAAAAAAUGAUAAUAUUGUUCCAAAUAAUAUUUUUAUUUUUAGUUAAUUUAUAUGAAUUAUAUAAUAAAUAUUUUUAUUAGUUAAUCAGAUAAAAAUAAUUCUAUGUAUUUAUUUUUAAGUAUUUAUGUAUUAUAUAAUUAUAUAAUUACUUUUAAAACAAUUAUAUAUAUUUAAAGUAAAUUUUAAGACAAAAAAAAAGGUAAAAAGACCGCUCCAGUCCUCAAUUUCAAUAUUGAGCAAAUUGGUCCCUCUAAAAAAAUUGAAGUAAUUUAGUCAUUGUGAAUUUCAAAAGUAAACAACUAAGGAUAAUUUAAAAUUUUUUAUUGCCAAUACGAGAAGGGAUUGUAUGAACUGUGAUUUCCUUAUAUUUAUCUAAUUGCAUAAUGAUAAAUCAGAUUUUUUCUCUUGAUUUUUAAUUUUUUUCUUCCUAACAAAAAUCAAAUCCAAUUAAAAAUGCUAAAAAUCAAGAAAAAAAUCUAAUUUAUAAUUCUCCUAUUGAAAAGAGAUAAAGAUGACAUGAAAUCACAACUUUAUACUAUCCAUCCUCUUGCGAUUGCAGUAACCUAUCAAAAUUCUUGAGAAGCAGCUGAUAUUUUCUCAGCCUCGUCCAUGAGGACCAUGACAAUUAUUUUACACCACAAUUGCCAACAGCGUUAUCCUGUUUUUCUUUAUCCCCUCCACAAGUUAGGAAGGAAUACUCAUAUAUAGUAUCUUCAAUUUUCACCGGCUACUUGACUUCAUUGCUUAGUUAUUAUUUGCAGAAAGAUGAGUUCAAUUAAAUCGCAUGCAGUAUGUCUUCCAUUCCCAGCACAAGGUCAUCUUAACCCCAUGAUGCAACUGGCCAAGCUCUUGCACUCUAGAGGCUUCCAUAUAACCUUUGUCAACACCGACUUCAAUCAUAGACGGUUGAUACGGUCUAGAGGGGAAGAAGCUGUUAAGGGUCUGCCUGAUUUCCGGUUCGAAGCCAUACCCGAUGGGCUGCCACCAUCCGAUUCCGAUGCGACUCAGUGCGUUCCAGCAAUAUGUGAUUCCACACGAAAAAAUUGUUUGGCUCCAUUCUUGGAGCUACUAUCUAAGCUUAAUUCCUCACCCCAACUGCCCCCUGUUACUUGCAUAGUUUGUGAUGGAAUCAUGAACUGUGGUACCAAGGCAGCUCAACUCAUUGGGGUGCCUUAUGUUCAACUCUGGACUUCUUCAACCGUUAGCUUUCUGGGAUUUCUGCACUACAAAGAACUAGCUCAAAGAGCCAUUGUUCCAUUCAAAGGUUACAAAUUUUAUGUUUUCUUUGUGCUUCAUGUUCAUUCAUAAUAAUCUCUUUGAGGUUCUGUGUUACACGCACGUCCAUGAAUAUUCUUUUGCAUAUUGAAACAAAAAUAUGCUUUUUAUUUUCCUUGUAGAUGAAGGCUUUGUUAGUGAUGGGACACUUGAGAUGCCCAUUGAUUGGAUCCCUGGUAUGCCUAACAUGCGCCUCAAGGACCUUCCAAGCUUUAUAAGAACCACCGAUCCCGACGACAUCAUGUGGAAUUAUGCCAUGGAAGUAUCACAAGAAUGCUUAAAAUCUUCUUCAAUAAUCUUUAACACAUUCGAUGAGUUCGAGAAAGAAGUGCUACAAGUAAUUGCUUCCAAGUCCCCUAAUAUUUAUUGUAUUGGUCCACUCACCUCCCUAAGUAGUAACCUACUUGAAAUCCAACAUAACUCACUAAAUUCAAGCCUAUGGAAGAUACAAGUUGCAUCGAAUGGCUUAACACAAUGAAACCCAAGUCGGUGGUGUAUGUGAAUUAUGGGAGUGUAACACUGAUGUCGAACCAUCAUUUGGAAGAAUUUGCUUGGGGACUUGCAAAUAGUAAAUACCCGUUUUUAUGGGUAGUUAGGCCUGACGUUGUGAUGGGAGAAUCGGCUGUUUUUCCAAGAGAAUUCAUGGAGGCAAUAAAAGGAAGGGGCCUCAUAACAAGCUGGUGUCCCCAACAAUAAGUGUUGUCCCACCCAGCGGUUGGCGUUUUCUUGACACACUGCGGAUGGAAUUCUAUGUUGGAAGCUAUAUCCGAAGGUGUGCCUUUAAUUUGUUGUCCUUUCUUUGGUGAUCAACAAAUGAAUUGUCGAUAUUCGUGCACCACAUGGGACAAUGGAAUGGAAAUCAACCCUGACGUAAAGCGUAAGGAUGUGGAGGCUCUUCUUAAAGAGAUAAUGGAAGGAGAUAAUGGGUAAAGGAUAAGGCAAAAGGCAUUGGAAUGGAAGAGAAAAGCUAAAUCUGCCAUUAGUGUUGGAGGAUCUUCUGUUACCAACUUUGAUAGAAUGAUCAAGGAGGCCUUAGGUCAAGGUUGAACAUUAAUGUUGUGUAUGUACUUUUUUUUAAAAUUUUUUAUAAUACACUAUUAAUAAAUAGGUUAAUAUUGUGUAAAUAAUUGGUAAUAUACUUUUUUUUUAAUCCCGUAAGUAAACUUCAAAAAUUGUUAUGUAUCUAAUUUAUUUUAUAAAUUUAUUUUUAAUAUUUUAUUAUAUUUUAUAGAACACUUAUAAUCACUCUAACCCUACUUUGUAAAUUGUAGAUCAUAUAAUCGAAUUUGCCUUAUUAUCUCACCUGUAACUUUUAUUGCCUCACCUUUAUUUUUAAUUUUUCUUUUUUUUUUAGUUUUUCUUUUGGAUCAAAGAAGAAACCAAACAUCAUAUAGUCCCCAUGUAGAGAGGGAAACAGAUACAAUAUAAAUUAACACAUGAACUUACUUAAAUAUGAUUCUAAAAUUAAUCUAUAAUUUUUUUCUGCUUUUAUAUUCUGAUUGAUUUAAUUCUUGAUCCAUAUAAUUUACAAUGAGAAAAUUUUCAUUUAGGCUAUUUAUAAUUUAUAAAAUUUUAAAUUAGUAAUGAUAAAAUUACACUUUGGCCCCCUUAAAAAUGAUAAAAAUUUGAUUAAUUCUUUGAAAAUUAUAAAGAUAUAGACUAUUAAAAUGAUGAAAUUACAUUUUUACUAUCAUAAAAUAUCCAAUUUAAUUCCGCCCUGAAAAACUUUUCUAUUUACACCACUGCUUUAUAUUUAAAUUAAUUACUUCCUUUUAAGAGCUUGAACUAGAAUAUCACAUUAUUCUCUCUCUAUAUAUAUUUUUACUUUUAGAUUUAUAAUAUUUUAUAUUUAAUAGUAUAUUUUAUUUCAAAUGUUCCAUAUUUAUACUCAAAGUCAUUUAAAUUUUGGGUUUGUUUCAUAAAAUUUUAAGAAAAAAAUAAAAAUAAAAAUAUAAAACAUAAAACUUUUAUAAUUUAAAAUUUACAUUUAUCUAACAAUCUAUUUAUAUUUAAUAAUUAAUUUUAAGUAAUAUAUCAAAUAAAAUUUAUAAUUUAAAUUCAAUAUAUGUAAUUUUUUAACACUUAAUUUUUAAUUUAUUUUUUAUAGAAACAUUUUAAUUUUUUUUAUCCAUAUUCAAAUAAAUGUGUAAUUGGAUUUAUGAACUUUGAAACUUGAAUUGCACUUCAUAUGUAUACAUAAAGCUUUGAUUGUAUACAUUUAAAGAAAUGAAUACAUACAUUUAUUUUCAUAUUGGAUUAAUAUUGUUUUUUUGUGCAUGCAAUAUAUCAACAUAAAAUUGUGUUAAUUCGAUAAUAUUAGUCUAUGGUUUGUGAAUUUUGAAUAAAAUUAAAAUUUCAUGUAUAAAAUUAUACAAAACAAAAGCUUAUGUAUGACAUUGCACAUUGGAUCAAAAUUCAUGUAAAGCUUUGAUAGUUUUCCGUAAAAAUUAUUUAGAGAGUGCGUUUGGAUGGGUUGUAAGUAGUAAUAUUAAUUAUUGUAAUAGUAAUAUUAGUUACUAUAACGGUGAUAAUAUAUAUGUUUGGAUUUAAUCAUAGUAGUGAAAGUGGGGUAAAAUAUAAUAAGAAGAAAAACUGAUUAUUAAACACAUAAUAUUAAAAUUUAUAUGUAAGAGAAUUUUUGAAACUAUUUGAUAUUUGUAAAGUUAAUAAUUAUAAAUUAUUAAGUUUUUUAUAUAAAUAUUUUAAUGAAUGUUGUUGACACCAUUUUUUGGAUGAAAAACGGGGUCGACUUGGGUUUUGAAAACGAAACGGGAGUCGCCACCAAUCCUUUUUUAGGAGGUGUGAUUGGGUCACCUUGAAAAAGGGUUGUUUUUAAUAAAUGAUUUGAUUUUAUUAAAACAACGGUUUUGGUCCACGAAAUUUAGAAAAAACGGGUUCGGGAGUCGGUUACGCACGAGGAAGGAUUAGCACCCUCGAUACGNNNNNNNNNNNNNNNNNNNNNNNNNNNNNNNNNNNNNNNNNNNNNNNNNNNNNNNNNNNNNNNNNNNNNNNNNNNNNNNNNNNNNNNNNNNNNNNNNNNNGUCGAAAAUUGAGAACUUUGAAGAAUUUUAAAAAUACGAUCCUUGUAUUAAAACAUUGAAAAUUUUCAAGAAAAGGGCAUAUUUCACGUUAUUCGAGAAAGAGAAUCAUAUCCAGUAAGUUAAGACACAAUGUCUCAAAUUCUCGAUACGCGAAUAAAAAAUGCUUAUUUAAAAUAUAUUUAGUUAUCCCGGGUUUAGAAAAGAGAUCAUGCCCAGUAAGUAAGGACACGAUUUUUUAUUAAUUCUCGAGAUCGUUUAUAAACUUGAGUUUGAAAAUAUUCGUGUAUUUAGAUUUAUUGUGAAAAUCGAAACCCAGUAAGUUAGGGUACGAUUUUUCAAAUAUCUAAACACGAGAUUUAAUUUAUUUGAAACGGAUUUUGAUAUAUCGGGUAAAAUGAAACACUAUGCUAAUAUGUAUUGCAAUAUAUAUAAAAAACAUAUGUAUAUAAAUUAUAAAAUAUAGAAAAUACGUGAAAAAAAAAUAUAGAUUUUGAAAUAUAAAUAAUAUGUAUAAGUAUAUGUAUAUAUAAAUAAAAACACGUAUGUACAUGGGUAUGUGCAUACAUAUAUAUUACAUAAAAAUAAAAGAUAUAAGUAUGUAUAUCGUAUAAUAAAACAAUGUAAGUAUGCAUAUAUAUAUAUAUAUAAAAAGACGUAUAUACAUAUAUUUUAUAAAAAUGAAUGAUGGAUAUAGACAUAUAUGUAUGUACGUAUAACAAAACGUAUGCGUAUAUAAGCUAAAAAAUGUGUUUAUAAAGAGAUAUAUAGAUAUAUAUAUAUAAUAAGAUAUAAAGAUAUAUAUAAAUAGUUAUAAUAGUAAUAAUAAUAGGACAAAUAUAUUCAAAAUUUAAAUAAGUAAAUAUAAAUAAAAUAUAACAAUAACAAUGUAAAACUAAAUGGUAUAAUAAUGGUAACGUAAAUAUACAUAUAUAUAAUGAGAAAAUAUAAUAAUAAUAAUAAAUUUAUUAAGAAAAUAAACAAAAUAACAAAAGGACUAAACUAAAAAUUUAAAACGAAAUUCGGGGUUAAAUCAUAAAUAAAUUAAAGGGAAGGGACCACAUUGAACACGCGAAUAAUAUAGAGGGGCUGGAAGGGAAAUUUUCCCUUCUCCUCUAAAACGCAUAGCUUUAAAGGGGAUUAAAUUGAAAACUAAAAUAAACUAAAGGGAUAAAUUUAAAGAAAUAAAAAACUAAUUGCGGUGGCAAUAAAAAGCGAAGGGGCUAAAAGCGCAAAUAGCCCCUCCAAGCAUAACACGCGGAUCCUGACCGCAUUUGGGUCGGGUCAAAUGCGGGUCAGGGUAUUUAAAUCACAAUUUUUCAGAAAAAAACAUUUUAAACACCAUUUAAAAAAAAACUAGAAUCCCCUCUUCUUUUUCUCUCAAACUUCCGACUCUUGGGGUUCUCUUCGCGCCGCCUUAACGCUCGCCGCACCGCCACCGCUUCCGACGGCCGAUGAAGCGUCAGAACGGGCGUUCAAAGCCCUGGCAGGUGAGUUUUUCUUUUACUUCUUUAUUUUCGUUAAAAAAUAAAAAUAAAAAAACAAUGAUAAAAAUAAAUAAAUAAAUAAAGAAAAACGAAAGAUUGCAAUCUAAAAACCAGGAAAUCACCUUGGUUUUCUUUGCUUUUUAUUUCUUUGUAUUCGAAAAAAAGGAGAGAAAAGAAAUCGAAAAAAAAUGGCCUUUAUAGCCGAGUAUUACAAUCGUUUUCUUCUCUUUUUUUUCAUUUCUCUGUUGUUUCUUCUUUUUGCCCCUGGUUGUUGCGUGUUUGGUCUUUGUUUUGCAGGUGCUGCAGGUGCAAGUGGGUGAGGCGACGUGACCGUGGCGGUGCUGGUCAGAGGCGGCAGUGGCAGGGCAAGUGGGCUAGGUGCGGCGGCUAGGGUUAGGGGGCUAGGGUUUUCUUUUGUUUUUUUCUGAAAAUGGAUAUUGGGUUUUUUAGGUUUUGGGCCGUGGGUUAGUUUGGGCUUGUUUUUGGGUCUGUUUGGGUAGUGGUUAAUUGUUUUUGUUUUCUGAUUUGGGCCGGAUUGGGUUAAUAUUUUUGGUACUAGGCCCGGGUAAAAUUGGGUCUGUACAAAUGUAAAAUAUUAAGAUGGAUGGUAUUGUUUCAAAUAAUAUUUUUCAUCAUUUUUAUAUAGUUAUUUAAUUUAAUAAACUUAUAUUAAUUAUAUAAAUAAAUAUAGUUUUGUUAGUCUUAUCUUAUAAAAGUAUAUUUGUAUAUACUUUUUUUUAAUAUUUACUUAUUAUAUAAUUAUUAACUGAAAUAAAGUAAUGAAAAAAAUUAAUAUCACGAGAUAUAUAAAUACUUUUGUCUUAAAAUAUUUUCUUAAAAAAAUAAAAUGAUAAAAGGACAAAAAACUGAAAGGACGUGAUUGGAAAAACGGAGGCUGCAAUGGAGAUGAAAAUUUUUAAUCUUAUAGUUGAUCCCAAGGACCCUAAAUUAAUUUUAAGUAAAUUAUUCAUAUAGUCACUCUAAAACUAUUUCUUUUUGUCAAUUAAUUUUUUAUCAAUGAAAGCUAUUGACACUAUUUUUUUGAUGAAAACGGGGGUCGACUUGGGUUUUGAAAAAUGAAAUCGAAUGUGGGAGUCGCCGCCAAUCCUUUUUGAUAAGGUGUGAUCGGAUCACCUUGAAAAGUGGUUGUUUUUAAUAAACGAUUUGAUUUUAUUAAAACAACGAUUUUGGUCCACAAAAUUCAGAAAAACGGGUUCGGGAGUCAGUUACGUACGAGGAAGGAUUAACACCCUCGUAACGCCCAAAAAUUGGUACCUAGUUGAUUAGUUAAUGUCUUAAUGUUGAAAAUUGAAAACUUUGAAGAAAUUUUAAAAUAUGAUCCUUAUUUUUUAAGAGAAAACUUAUAUAAAUCAAGUUAUUCGUUAAGACCUUUUCGUUUCAGAAAGAGAAAACAUCACACCCAAUGCGUUAGGGCACGAUAUUUUACCUCUUCAGAAAUAAGUUUGUCUAAAAACUCGCACAAUAAAAUUUAAAAGGGUAUUCAAUUGUUUAAGUCAGAUAAGAAAAAUCGCAGCCCAAUACGUUAGGGCACAAUUUCUCAAAAUACUAAACAUUGAAUAUUGUCUAUAUUAUUAUUAUUUUUUUAGAAAAAUCCUUAUAUCGAGAAAACAACGUGUCAUAUCCAAUGCGUUAGGACACAACGUAUUGAAUUCCCGAUAAUGAGCUUUUUGAUUAAAGAGCAUUAUCGAUUAUUUAAAUUCAACGAAGAAAAUCAAAACCCAAUACGUUAGGGCUCAAUUCUCUCGAAGAUUCCAAAUACCGAGUAUUACUUAUAUUUUUAAAAAAAUUUUUGUUUUGGAUCUGGGUAAAAAUUGAAAUAAUGGAGUGACAAUUACGAUGAUGUAAGCAAAAUAAUGCAAGCAAGGGCUAGAAAAUAAAAUAAAUAUAAAGACAGUAGACAAUCACAAGCAUAUAAGCAAUAAAAUUAAAACAUUCUUUCAAAACAAAUAAUGAAAAUGUAAAUAAAGAAAUAAACAAAGAAAAUGUAUAAACUAUAAAAAUAUAUAUGUAUAUACAUAAAAUUAUGGAAAUAUGAAAAAUAUAUGUAUGUACAUAUUUUAAAAUUAUUAUAUAAUAUAUAUAUAAGUAAGCAUAUACAUAUAUACGCAUGUAACUAUCAUAAAAUAUAAAAAGUAUAUAUAUAGAUAUAUGUAAAUCAUAAAAUAUAAAGAACAUAUAUAAAAUACAUAUUUAAAAAUAUGAAGAAUAUGUAAAUAUAUAUAUAUUUUUAUGAAAAUAAAAUACAUAUAUAGACAUGUAUAUAGAUAUGUAUAAAAAUUAUGAAAUAUAAAAAUAUAUAUAGGUACGUAUAUGUAUAUACAUAUUACAAAAAUGUAUGUAUGUUUGUAUAUAUAAAUUAUAAGUAUAAAAAUAUAUAUAAGUAUGUAUAUAUAUAAAUCAAAGGUAUGUAUGUAUAUAUAAUUAAAUCUAAAAUUAAAAAGGUACAAAUGAGUAACUAAUAAUAAUGAUAAUACAAGAUAAUAGUAACAAAUUUAUUAAUUUUAAUAAGGAAAUAACCAAAAUAAAAAGGGUAAAUUGAAUACUAAAACAAACUUUUGGGGUCUAAAUCUGCAAAUAAACAAAAGGAGUGGUGCAGGACCGAAAAGAGGUACGUUUAAGGAACGAGGGACCAACUAGGAAUAUUUCCAGCCCUCAGACGCAACGUUUCGGCCUGGACUAAGAUGGAACACGCAGAAAAUUGAGAGGCCAAAUUAAAAAAUAAAAAAGACGAGAUUGCACAACAAUACAAAAGUGGAAGGACCAAAGAAGUAAAUAUCCCAGAAUAAAAAAAAGCGCGGAUCCUGGGGCAGGCAGGUCGAGUCUUCGGGUCUUAAGUCAAAACAACGCCGUUUUGCCACGACCUCGGCUCAAAACGACGCCGUUUAAUGUUGCUAUAAAGCCCAAAUUUUUUUAAAAAUUUUCAUUUUUCCUUCUUUCUCAAAAUAAAACAGACAAAAGAUCUCAAAUUUCCUCUCCCCCUCUCUAGCACUGCCCAGAAUCCGGCGAGGAGAACCGCCGUCAACGCCGUUGCGCCGGCCACCGGGAAAAUUCGAAGGUAAAUUUUUUUUUACUUCUAUAUGUUAUUUAUGUAUAUAGUUUAAAAAUAAAAGAAAAAUAAAAAAAAUCGAAUACAAACAGUCGAAAAUCGAAAACAAAGAGAGAAAAAAAAUAAUAAAAAGAAGGACCUUUCGUAUUGCCCUUGUUUUUGAUCUCUUUUUUUUUGCUGAUUUGCUUGAAUCCUUGUUUGAAAGUGUUAUGUUUUUAUUUUUUGUUCAUCAAAAGGGAAAAAAGAACCCCCCAUUACAGAUUUUUCAUGGCUUUUAUAGCCAUUUUUUUUACAACGUUUUUAUAUUAUUUUUUGUCAUUUCUUACAGGCCACUUGAAGGCGGUGGAGCAGUGGCGGUGAUGGCAGAGGGCAGGUGAGCGGCGAUGGGACGUGCGGCGCCUGGGGCUAAGGGGCAGAAGGCUGCGGCGCUAGGAGCGGCGGUGGCAGGGCAAGUGGGCAGAAAACCUCUUUUUAACUGUUCCAACUCACCAAAGCAAAAUACAAACUAAAUAUGAGCUUCACAUGCAUACCUCACACAACUGCAUUCACAGAAAUAGAGACAUUGAAUGAUCCCCAUUCAUUAUUUAAGUAAUUCCCCACUGACAAUAGUAUUUCCAGUUAACCAUGUUUGAGAGCUUCCUUAACAAAUCUGUCGAAAUCAAUAUAAGAUGAUCCCCCAACUUCAACCGCUUCUUCCGCUUUCUUCUUCCAUUCCAAUGCCUUCUCUUUCUUUUUCUUUCCUUCCUCACCUUCCAUCAUUUCCUUAACUAAAAACUCUAUGUUCUCUCGCUUCACAUCAUGAUCCACCUCCAUGCCAAUGCCCCAAUGAGUGCAAGCAUAUCGACAAUUGGUUUGCUGAUCAGCAAAAAAUGGCCAACAAACUACUGGCACACCUCCUGAUAUGGUUUCCACGGUAGAAUUCCACCCACAGUGUGUCAAAAAAACACCGACUGAAGGAUGUGAAAGGACCUCAUAUUGGUUGCACCAGCUUGUUAUCAGCCCUCUUUCCUUAAUCUCCUUCAGGAACUCUAGAUCCAGAAUUGCAGAAUCACCCAUCACGACAUCUGGUCUAACGAUCCAUAAAAAUGGGUGUUUAGAGUUAGCCAACCCCCAUGCAAAUUCUNNNNNNNNNNNNNNNNNNNNNNNNNNNNNNNNNNNNNNNNNNNNNNNNNNNNNNNNNNNNNNNNNNNNNNNNNNNNNNNNNNNNNNNNNNNNNNNNNNNNCCUUCCAUAGGCUUGGGUUCAUUGACUUGGAGGGAUCGGCAUGUAGGUGCCUGGCAACCAAAUGAAGUGGUCCUAUUGUAUAAAUUCGAGGAAAUUUGGCAGCGAUGGCGUCGAGCACUUCAUGUUCGAACUCUUCAAAUGCGUUGAAGAUUAUUGCUGAAGCUUUUAGGCAAUUUUGAGCUUCGGAUCCUAAAUAAUCAAACAAAAUGUCAUUCGGAUCGUUGGCUCUGACGAAGCUUGGAAAAUCUCUGAGGCGAAUGUUACUCAUUCCAGGGACCCAGUCAAUAGGUUCAUCGAGAAAUGUUUCACCUGACACGACAAAGAGUCAAAUUUGAGUUCCUUUUAGACAAUUUUCUUAGCUAUAAAGUUAUAAAGUUGAAAUAAGAAAGUACUUACUUUGGAAUGGAAUAAUGCCUCGUUUAACCAGUUCACUGAAGUGAAGAUAUCCCAUGAAACUACAUGCUGAGGCAGUCCAAAACUGAACUUCUGGUAUGCCAAGUUGUUCAGCAGCCUUAAUAGCAAAGCUCAUAAGUCCAUCAGAGAUUAUGCAAGUAACAGUGGGCACUUGGGGAGAGGAGUUUAACUUAGCUAGUAGAUCUACGAAUGGUGCCAAGCAAUGCUUUCGUAUCGAAUCACACAGAACUGGAAGAUCCUGUGUUGCAUUUCGAUCGGACGAUGGCAGCCCUUCCGGAAUUGUUUCGAACUGGAAAUCAGGCAGACCUUUAACGAAGUCAGGGCCUUUGGACCUGACCAAACGCCUAUGGUUGAACUCAGUGUUAACAAAGGUUAUGAAGAAGCCUCUAGAGUGUAAGAGCUUAGCAAGUAGCAUCAUGGGGUUAACAUGACCUUGUGCUGGAAAUGGGACGAUUACAAUAUGGGGUUUACUGGUUUCAAGUGAACCCAUCUUUGCAAAGCAAUAACAAAGUUGUAAAAUUAAGGUGUUUGCAGAGAAGCUUUCCUUGCUUUCUAGCUUCUCUAAAGCUUGACGAGUAGCAACAUGCAAUAUAUAGGAAAAGGAUGGCGUGAAAGAGUUCAUUUGUAUUCCUUUUUCAAUAGAGAAACUGUCAGAAAAUUCAUUAUUUUUAAUUAUUUUUUGUUUUAUUUUCAAUCUAAACCAUACAUUUAUAAAUAAUUUUAUAUUUUAUUCUCAAAUCAAUAUAUAUCUAUUGGAGAAUUUUAUUUAUAUUUCUUAUAUUUUUUUAUUUUUAAAUGAGAUAUUUAAAAUGAUUUGUUUGACUUGGGUUCUUUUUUAAGAUAUUAGCUUUUAAUAUCACAUGCGUGCGUUGCAUUUAAUUUUACGCAUUUAAUAUUUAAUUAAUUUUUAAAAAAUAUUGUACUUAAUUACAACAAUUACCAUCAAAUAAUAUUUCUUAUUUGAAUUUUUGAAUAUAACUAAAAUAAUUAAAGCAUUUUAAAGUGGUAAUUAACAUAAUUAACUCUAUUAUUAAUUAAGUGAUAAUUAAUGUGCUUAAAAUUCUAUUCAAAUAAUAACUCUAUUUUAUAUCAAGAAAAUUAGCACAAUUUUUAAAAAAUGAUAUUAACAUAAUUAUAAUUAUCACAACUUUUUUACGCUAUAUUUUAUGCUUAGAGUUAUUUUCAAGUAGAGGUUUUCAUGGGUUGGGCUACCCGGCCUGGCCCGACUGCCCGCCCAAAAAAUGAGAGGGUUCGGGUAAAAAUAUAGGCCCGAAAUAUGAGUUUGAGAAAAAAUGAGGCCCGUUUAGAAAACGGGCUGGGCCUCGGGUAAGAUUUUUUUAGCCCGGGCCCGGCCUGAAUUAUAUAUUAAAUAUAUAUUUUUAUUUUUAAUUAUAUAUUAAAUAUAUAUAAUUUUAUUUUUAAUCAAAUAUACUUUUUAUUAAAUAUAUAUAUUUUUUAGACUUUUAAUUUGAAUUAUAUAAUAAAUAUAUAUUAUUUUUAAUCAAAUAUGGGCCGGGCCGAGCUCAGGAUUAGCAAUUUUCUUUCGGGUCGGGCCAGGCUCGGGCCUAGAAAACGGGCCUAAAAUUUGGUCUUGGCCCGGCCCGACCCGACCCAUGAUCACCUCUAUUUUCAAGUAAUCAUUUUUAUUAAAUUAUAAUUAUUUUUAAAUGUAUAAUUAUCAAAAUUUAUAUUUUAUUUCAACUUUUUUAACGAAUAAUUCUAAAUUAAAUAUUAUUUUUUAAAAUGUAAAUUUAAUAAUAUGAUGAAAAAAAUAAAAGAUAUUCAUCAAUUAAACAGUUUUUCUAAACUCGUAAUUUAUAUAUAUUAUAUGUAUAUGUAUGAUAGAUGUAAUCUACCUGCUAUAAUAAAAACAUAAAUAUUUUUAAAAUUAGAGUUAAUUUAAAUUAUUAUUUUAUUAUUGAUUGACUAUAAGUGGAGUAAUAAUGGACAGUGUUCAAGUUUGAAUCUGUUGGACAACUUCCAUCCCUUUUAAAAACAAAAGAAGGAUAAUCUUUUAAAUGUUUUGAUAAAAUCCAUUCAACCUUUAAGUCACGUCAUUAUUAAUUACUCCAUUUUUAAAUUUUUAAAUAAUAUAUUUAAUGGGUAAUUCCCUAAGUUAACAUAUGCUUAAUGGUUUAGUAUUCAUACCCAUCCAUCCUGGAAGAAAGUUUUAUUAAUGUAAAAAGAGAAAAUAUUUGGUACACUGUAAUUAGAGCUUCUAGACUCUACAACAAGAUCAAGAGUCGAUAAAUAUUUUAUAGGAGUAUCGUAAAAUAUUAAAAAAAAGACAUGACAAAUUUUUAAAGUUGCUUGUGGAAUAAAAAAAACACUACUAUUAUGCCAAAUACUAGUACAUGUAAAUAAAUAAUUAUCACAAUUUUUUUAUCUUAUACAAUAAUAUAUAAUUCCAAAUUAGUUAGUAUUAAUUAAAUAAUUAUGGGGGAGGGGAUUAAUGAAAAACAAGGUUUUACCCUUUAAAUAGGUACUAAGAUUAUUUCUUCUUUUUUAUGGCAAAAAUGUUAAAAAAAGAUCAUUUCUUUUUGGUACUAAGAUUAUUUGUUUAGUUAUUUCUUUAUUUGAGAAUGACAACAUUGACUUGCCUUCAAUGUAAUAUAAGUCAUGGAUUCAUUUGAUAAAUGGUAGAAAUAUUCAUUCCAAUAAAAAAAAUUAAUAUUGAAAAUGAUAAAUACACAAUAGUUACUUAUAUUUAAUAGAAAAUUUAUUAAAUUACUCUUUUUUCUAAGAUUAUACCAUCUUUUACAAUGGGAAAAUUUUCAUUUAGGCUCUUUAUAAUUUAUAAAAUUUUAAAUUAGUAAUGAUAAAAUUACACUUUGGCCCCCUUAAAAAUGAUAAAAAUUUGAUUAAUUCUUUAAAAAUUAUAAAGAUAUAGACUAUUAAAAUGGUGAAAUUACAUUUUUACUAUCAUAAAAUAUACAAUUUAAUUCCGCCCUAAAAAGCUUUUCUAAUUCCGCCACUGUUUUAUAUUUAAAUUAAUUACGCUUGAACUAGAAUGUCACAUUAUUCUCUAUAUAAUUAUUUUUAAAAAUUUUAGAUUUAUAAUAUUUUAUAUUUAAUAGUAUAUUUUAUUUCAAAUGUUUCAUAUUUAUACUCAAAGUCAUUUAAAUUUUGGGUUUGUUUCAUAAAAUGGUUUUAAAAAAUAUAAAUAUAAAACAUAAAACAUAAAACUUUUAUAAUUUAAAAUUUACAUUUAUCAAACAAUCUAUUUAUAUUUAAUAAUUAAUUUUAAGUAAUAUAUCAAAUAAAUUUUGUAAUUUAAAUUCAAUAUAUGUAAUUUUUUAACACUUAAUUUUUAAUUUAUUUUUUAUCCAUAUUUUUCUUCCCUUAUUGUGGGAGAUUCGGCCCCACCUUUGAAUAUUCAAAUAUUAUUGUUAUCAUAUAAUAGUUUAUAAUUAAACUGUUGUUGAUAUAAUAAAUUUAUGUAUUUAUAUUCCAACUCCAUUAUAUAUUUGAAGUUAUUGUUUAAAUUUAAGAUUUUCUUUUUCAAAAAUAGUUUAAUAAUUUUUAAUAUUUCCAGGAAUUAAUUUAUGAACCAUUUUAAUUUUAGUUGGAAUAAAAAAAAGAAAAAGAAAGAAAAAACUAUAAUAUCUUCUUUCGUAGCUAAUUUUUGUACCUAUUUUUUUAUAGAAUUUACAAUUAUUUAUACUAAAAUAUGUCACAUGUACGUGAAAACUAUUAUAUAAUAAAUUUAUUAAAAUUGAUAUGAAAAUUAAAUAUUGCUUGGAGUAAAUUUGAUGAGAAUUUGAGUUUAAAUCCCAUUAUAUAUAUAUUUUUGGAUUCUAUAGAAAAAAGAUAAAAUCCUUAAAAUAUUAUUUAUUAUUUUGUUAAAAUAAUGCUCUUUAAGCUAAUUGAGUUGAGACCCGAUUGAACAGUUACACCAACUCAAAUAAUUUUUUUUAUAAAUAAUAGAAAUAUAAAAUCAUACUCAAUAAUUAAUAUACAUAAAGAUUUUUAUUUUCAUUUAUGGAAUAAAAAACAUACUCAAUUAUUGAAGUUCAAUGAAUUUGGUGUGAAGAAAGUAGAAAGGGCCGGGCUGCCUCAAAUAAAAUUUUUCUGCCAAUUUGUUUGGCUUCCAACAUGACACGUGCCAAUUAGGAAAUACGUACGUAAACGGAAGGUAAGAAAACAACAGGUUGCGACUCUUUACCAUUAGAUCAGACCAUUACCACUAUGUUACGUCUUUUUAAUUAAUCAAUUUGAAUAUAAAUCAUAAUUAUUCUCAAGAUAAGAUGGAUAAAUGAUGGUAUUUGUCAUCAUAAACUUUCACUUAUCACUAGUGUCAAAACCGUUUUUUGAAAACAAAAAUUUAGUUCCCGACUUUAAAAAUAAAACUGGAGUCGCCAUCGAUCCUUUAUCAAUGUGUGAUCGGCUCACCUUAAAAAUCAUAUUGGUCUACGAAUUUUGAGAAAACGAGUUCGGGAGUCAGUUACGCACGAGGAAGGGUUAGCACUCUCGUAACGCCCAAAAUCGGUACCAAAUUGAUCAUUUGUCUUAGUGUCGAAGGUUAAAAAGAUUUUAAAAUCGGCUCAAAUGAUGAAAUUUGCAAAAGGAUAAUCAAUUGUUCAAGUUAUGUAAAGAAACCCAAUACGUUAGGGUACAAUUUCUUAUAAUUCCCGAACUUUGAAUAUCACUUUUAUUUUAUGCGAAAAUCUUCAUUUUGAGAAAGUAACAUGUCACACCCAAUACGUUAGGACACAACAAGUUAAGUUCCCAAAAAUGAUUUUUAUACUCAUGCAUUUUGAAUAAAGAAUAUCUUCGGUUAUUUAAAAUUAACAAAGAAAAUCAGAACCCAAUACAUUAGGGCUCAAUUUCUCUCGAAAAUCCCCAACUUCGAAUAUUACUUUUAUUAAAAAAAAAACCCGUUGAAUCAAGAAAAUAACCUUGAUGUAUAGUUAAAACCAAAAUGUAUUUUCUAAAAGGAUAUGUUAAAGUUAAUGUACAAUAUGAAACAAAAACUUUAAUGUAAAACAUAUAUGAGUAUGUAUUUACAAAAUAUAUAUACAAGUACAAUAUACAAGCAAAUUCGAAAAUACGAGUGGGCACAUACUUAGCACACAAAUAUAAGUGUACAUAUAAAAAGGGUAAGUGAAGAAAUAUAUACAACAAACUUAUAAUAAUUUCUAAAAAUAUGCAUGUAUUUAUGUAAUGAAAAUUGUAGAAAUAAAAUAAAAGUAUGAAAAUAUGCAAAUGUGUACAUAUUUACAAAGGCAAGAAAAAUGAAAUGUAUAAGUAUAUAUACAUAGGCCAAUCGUGAAAAUUCACAUACGUAUAUAUUCAAAUACAUAUAUACAAUAUGUAUAUAAAAUAAUGGGAUACAUGAACUGAAAAAAUAUUUAUAAUAAUUUAAAAAUGAAAAGUGUAUGUAAAAAAAAAUCUUUUAAAAAAUGUAUGUAUGUAUAUUUAUAUGUAUAAAAAAAUGAAAACAAAGUAAUAAUACAAUGUGCAUACAAUAGAUAUAUAUAUUUAAAAUAUUAAAGUAUAUACAUACUAACAUGCAUAUGCGCAUAAUAAUAUAUAGUAGUAAAUAAAAUAAAACAAAAUAAUAGUAUGGCAUAAUUGUGAUAAAAACUAAGAAAUGGGUCAAAUUGAAUUAAAAACGAAAAAAUGGGGGGAUUUAAAAGAAAUUAAAAAAAAUAGGACCAACUUGAAUGCGUGUGUAACAGUGGAGGACCAAAAGGAGAAAUAUCCCCUCCUUCCAAAACACUGCGUAGCACGGGACCAAAUUGAAACAAAAAUAGAAUAUGCGGUCCAAUUUUAAAAAAAAGCAAAACGAGUUUAAUUAGAGUGCGCUGCAAAAGGGAGGGGCCAAAUGUGCAAUUAGACCAUCAAAAGUGAAAUGCGCGGAUCCUGGAACCGGGUCAGGUCGACACGCGGAUUCCCCCAAAACGGCGCCGUUUUACAACUGUUAUAAAAUCUAAAUUUUCCUAAAAAAAUUUCACUUUUCUCUUUGUUUCAACAAAAAAGGCAGAGAAACCUUCUGCUAGGGUUUUUUUUGAACCCAUUUGUGCGCCCCCGCCACUGGGCAACCCCUCGGCCUCGGACGACACCCCCAGCCUCCGAUUGUGAUGGAGAGGGGACACCGCGACGGCACCAGGUAAAAUUCUUUCUCUUUUUCCCUUUUUAUUAAGCGAAAAUAAUGAAAAUAGAGUAAAAUUAAAAGAAAACGAAACUAGGAAUCAAGAACUCCAAAAAACCACCUUUUGUAUUCGGAAAUCAAUAAGUAAAUCUCUAUUUUCUCUCUGUUUUUCGUAUGUCUAAACUGUAAUUCCCCCCCUUUUGUUACAGAUUUUCCUCCUUUUUAUAGCCGAAAAAAACAACAAAAUAAGCAAAAAACAUAUUUCCCUUUCAAUAUUCGUUGCGUUUUUUGCUAUUACUCUGCUAUUACUGCGCUGUAUGCCCCUUUUUCGCAGGUUCGGUGGCCAUGGAGUGCGCACGUAUGUGGAAGCGCAAAUCGCGCGGAGGAAGGAUUCUGGCUCCGCAUCGUGCGGCGACUGGAGUUGCUGGAGGCUGCCACUAGGGUUUGGAGAAUGUGGGUUGCUAGUUGGGCUAGGUUUAGGGUUAUUGGGCCAGGAUGUUAUUGGGUUUGUUUAUUGGUUUGGGCCCGGGAAUUAUUGGGCUUGUACAACUAGUAAUUCUUUUUCGAAAAAUGGGUUGAUCGUAGAUAUUCGAUUAGUGACUUUUUGUCAACUUUUUAAUUUAUUUCUAUUUGAAGAGUUUUUUAAAAUAAUAAAUGAUUUCACGAGUCGAUUUAAACUCUGUUGUCUUUUAAGUCUUUACCUUUGAAAGUUUUGUCUUAUCUUGUACAAGCUUUUUAGUCUUGCUUUUGCAAGUAAUUUUAGAAAUGAUUUUUCGUUGUCCUCUCCUGUUUGGUGGAUGGUCGGUUCUUUUGUUGGUUCUGCACAUCGCUUUGGACCAUUGGGGGUUGAUUUCCUUAUCCUGAUAGUUGCUUGCAAUCACUUCAAAUAUGCCGUGCUUGAGUUGUGACAAAACCGGUUGUCAGCGUGUUGUAAUGUUCUAUUAAUGCUGAGGCUGAAGCCUCUGUCGUAUUGAUGGAGCUUAUCCUUCACUGUUGACAAUGGAUGUUUUUUUUUUCUUUUCCCCAAAUUGUAUGGUUCCAUUUAUGGAAUAAAGUAAUGAAAUUUUCCUUUCAAAUAAUAAUAAUUAAAUGUAGAGGUAGUUGCAUCGGGUAUCCCCGAACUAUGAUUCGCAUUUUUAUUUAGUUUCCAAACUUCAAAGCGCUUUUAAUUACAUAUUCAAACUAUCAAUCUUAUAUCAAUCAUGCCCUUCUAUUAUUAAAAUCAUUAAUUUAAUCAUUAAAGGACACUUCAAACCCUAUGUGAUAUAAUUUAAAAUUGAAGUUUUAAAGAAAAGUAAAACAUUACCGCAACUUUUAAAAGUUAAAACUAAAAAUAAAGUAAAACCGGAAAAAAGAGAUAGUGAACAAUAAAGCUUUUGUAAAAGUUUCAAAAACCUCAAAAUCAAGAUUUUUACAACAUCCAUUUUUACAAUAUUCAUUUUUCCUUAAAAAUUUCAAUUUAAUCUAUGCCAUAUAAUAUUUGGUAAUUGAUUUAAUGGUUAAAUUAACAAUUUUAGUAAAAGGACCUUAUUGAUAUAACUACAAUAGUUUGAAGAUGUAUUGAACGUUUUAAAUUUUGGGGACCAAUUUAGAAUAAAGGUUCUAGGUUGAGAAUAUAUGGUAAAAUUAACUCUUAAAUGUAUUAACCUUCUAAAACAAUUGAAGUAUAUUUAAUAUUCUUGAUUUGAUGUGUUUAUUUAUUUAAUUUAUUUUUAUUCAAGAUCUAAACUAUUUUUUAUUUUAGUUUCGUAGAUAUUACAUAUGGGGUAUUAUUAUUAGUUUCAAAACUUACGUUUAAUAUUCUUAAUAUGAUGUAAUUACCUAUUUAAAUUUCAUUUUACUUUCAAUUUAAACUAAUUUUUAUUUUAACUUUGUAUAUGUUGCUAUUAGUUUCAAACCUUACGUUUCAUUAUUUAUUAUACAUUAUUUUUUUAACACAUACGUGUGUUCUAAAUACAUAGUUUCUAUGCACAUACAUGUUCUAGGAUAUUAUAAUCGUAUUUAAAUAUAUCGUGUCUUAUUUAUUAUUCUUUAAAGUUUAUUAAAUGUAUUUUAUUUAUAAUUUUAUAUUAUGUUUAAAGUUGGGUGAAAGUACCUUUAAAGUCCCUAUAUUAUAGAGUCUGGAUCAAAUUAAGCCCUUUAUGAUUAAAUGGAUCAAUUCAAUUAUUCUACGAUAAAAAGAAUCAAAUAAGGCCAAAUUGGAACAAAUUUAUAAUUUAUUGUUUAAAAAAAGGCAUAAAAAUAAUUUUUUUUCAUUUAUAGUUCAUCUUCAAACAAAAAAAUUCAUCCAUAAAAUCAUAAAAAGCUUUCAAAAUAUAACUUUGUUAAAUAGUAAAUGACAUCUUUUAAACAAUUGAUGUUAAUUAUGUUCCAAUUUGGCCUUAUUCGAUUUUUUUAAUAGUACAAAGACUAAAUUGAUCCAUUUAAUAGUAGAGGGACUAAUUCGAUACGACCCCUAUAGUAAAGGGACAUGCUAGAUACAUUUAGCUUUAAAUUUGUGACUUAGCGAGACUAUUUCGAAAACUAGUAUCUUUUAAAAUAAUGUUUCUAUUCCACGAUCUAACUUGAUUAAUUAGUUAACAUGACCCGUCAAUUGACAAGAUACUAGUGUCAUAGGCCGCACAAAUAAGCCGCGACCAAGGCACACUCUAAUGUUCCCUCUUGUUCAUUGGGGGUCAUUCGACCCGAUAAGACUGACUUAUUGCUUGGAAGAGAUUUAAGGCCUAUCUACUUGGAUCCUGGUUAAAUUGUAAACAUUGUAUUUUACCAAGGUAAUUAUUGUAAAUCCUAAAGGAUAAACAUGUAUAGGAUUUAAAUCCCUUAGGAUUCUCAUAUUGUAGAUGGAAGAGACUAAAGUUCUAACCCUAUGACAAUGGUACUUUUUAGGCUUUGUCGAGUCGACAUUGUGAGCAUAAGCUGAUAUUGUUCUCUUUAGAUACUCCACAAAUUCCUCAAGGUUUUUCCAUUUGAAGGUGCAACUCCUAAAGUUCGAACCUAGGACCGUUAUAUUAUAUUCCUUUCUGCAACCAUCUUAGCUUGAUUAAAUGGUAAGAUGGUUGUGAAAAAGGAUGGGGAGGUCUUAGGUUUGAAUUUGAGGAGACACACCUUUAGGGACAAAGACUUGAGAGACCUAUGGCGGGUGCCCAAAGAGGAUAAUACUAACUUAUGCUUACGACUUUGGCGAUUGAUGGGUUGUGACAUUACUAGGCACACUACAAUAAAUUUUUAUAUUAGUGGCGUCUAAUGUCAUUAAAAAUUAUAUUCAAAUCACUAUUUAUAUUUGGUGACGUAAAAUUCAUUGUCAUGAUGUUCCUCCUGUUAAGUGUGUCACUAAAAGUUAAGAGAAACAUUUAUUAUUUUUCACUACGUAUUGUCAAGAAUAUGGUGAUGAUAUUGUAUAAUGUCACAUUUUAAUUAAUAUUCAAUGACAACUACUAUCAUCACCAAAUUAUAUAAGAUCUCAUCAUUGGUUAUUUGUAUCGUCAUCAAUAAUGACGUAACAUUCUAUAUAUAGGUGACGAAAGCAACAUCGUCAUGGUGUUAAUGACGUACUAUAUCGUCACUUAAUAUGAUCAAAUAAUAGCAUGAAUGGCGAUAAUCAGUAGUUGGUUAUAGUUGAUUUCGUCACUAAAUCAUAUACAUAAUUGACAUUGGUUAUAAAAAUUAUCACAAAAUAAGCAUCGUUGCAUAGUUAAUGGCGUAAUAUAUCAUCACUUAUAUGCUAAAAUAAUAUGCAAAAAGGACUCCUAUAUGGGGAAGUCUUGGGUUUGAACUUGGGGCCCAAGUCCAGGGGACAAAAUCUUGAGAGAUGACAAAAAUAGGGUAAUCUCUUGAAUUUUAUUGAUAGACCUCAAGGGUAUAUAUAUACAAUAAUAGUUAUGUUGGAAUCAAAUUGCUAAAAGAUAAUAUCCCAUAAUAAUAUUCUAUAGGGGUGCUUAAAGAGGACAAUACCAACUUGUGCAUACGACUUUGGCAAUCGAUGGGUCGUGACAUUACUUGAUAAAACUCUAGAAUAACGUACUUUUAUGUAUUAAUUAUGUAUUUAUUCUGAGUAUGAUCCUGCUAAUUUGAGCUAUUUAUGAUCUUUUAUCUCAUAGGGGUUAAAUUUGAGGCAAAAGCAAAAUUAAGGGCCAAAAGCGUGAAUUUAGAGAUAAAAUGGGCCAAUGUGCGACACAAGGAAAAGUUGGUGCCAAAAGUGCAAGCAUGGAGGAAACAAGGGUUGAAAUGCAAAAAGAAGAGAUUUUAUUCUAUCAGACUCUAUUUUAAUUAUAUUAGGAUAAUUAAUAUUAAGAUAAUUAUUAAGGAUUAUUUAAUUUUAGGAUUUUAUUUUAUUUAUCUUUAUUUAUCUUCAAUUAAAUGUAUUUAUCUUUUAGGAGUUUAAGUAGGAUUAGACUAUCUCCCCUAGCACUAUAAAUAUGGGGUGAAGUGACUCAAGAGGCAUCCAUCUUUUUAUGUAAACACUCUCUCCUUAAAAGUCUAGGCUUUUGUUCUUCUCAUAUUUCCUUUCAAUAAAAUCUCCAUUUUCAUUUUAUUUAUUUUCUUUUCCACCACAACCACGAGCCACUAAACCCAUCUAGCCAAAAGUUGUCGAUAUUCCCCAAAAAGGGUUCUUGAGGCUUAGAGUCCGUACUUAGCCUCCUCGUUGAGUAUUCAUCGUUUCUCCGCACUACGGGGGUGACACUUCCAUCCAUGUCCCUUAAGAAGUAAGCUUUUCAACGUAUGCAAAGGCAGUUUCUUUGUAUGUUUUAGGAAGGUUGCACAAUCGGUUCGUUAGCUUACUGCGUCAGAGGUUCGUGAGCCCAAGAGACAAAAUGGCGUGGGAUUCGCCAUUGAGAAGCACUGAUCUAGCAUAAGACGAUCCCACAGAAGCCAUUGUUGGCUAGAGUCAGGUUCCACUAAAUCGUAAGUUUAAAUCCUUGAGCUGGUAGUCAUAGGCAUCCUCUUCCACUAUAAUUGGCUUAUUCAGUUUGGGAAGGAUCAUCAAAAAGCCGAGGAUUGAACCCAAGGUGGAACGAGACAACUAGAGGCUGGAAUCUCCCACAAGAAUUUUAUUUCUCUUAACUCUAUUUUUAAUUUCUCAAAUUUUUGAUUCAAUAUUCUUAAUUCUGUUUUUAUUUUAUUUUAUUUUUUUAGAUCCAAACCUUUAAUUUUUUUAUUUUAUUUUUUUCCAGGAACGCAGGUUUUCUUGGGCAAGAUUUUGCUUGGGAUUUCACGGAACAAGAUAUUGUGCAAGUCUAGUCCUUAAGGAUUUUACCCUACUUCCAUUUUACUAUUAUUUUUCAUUAUUUAUUAGGGAUAGGAUAUUUUUGGUGCUUUCAACGACCGCAUCAAAUUUUGGCGUCAUUGCCGGGGACUUGUUUGUGCUUUCAACGACCGCAUCAAAUUUACUAUUCUUUUUUCAUAACUUGUUUUUUGUUUCUUAUGACCAGAUCUGAUCCAGGUACUCUUACGUUCGAUUCAGAAAUUGAGAAGACUACUAGAGCCAAUCGCAAGGAGACAAAGUUACGGAAAAAUCAGUCAGCGGUGGUUGGAACUCAAAGUAACCCACCGCCAGAAAUCGAAGUCGACGACGAAGCUGAGACUAGGGUUAACGAAAACCCUACUCAAACACUUGAAAGAAAAAAAAGCAGAAGUUGACUCACCAGAAGAAGUGCUUAACGCUAGGGUUAACGAAAACCCGAAUCUAGCAUACCAACCAAUGGCUCAAACGAUUCGGCAACUGGCCGAAGUUUCGACAGAACAACCGCCAUUGUGCAUCACGUAUCCUACUGUGGAUACCAAUUUUGAGUUGAAGCCAGGUUUAAUCCAGUUACUGCCAACUUUUCGUGGGUUGCAAAAUGAAAAUCGCCACAAGCAUCUGAAAGAGUUCCAUAUGGUUUUUCUUAGCAUGAAACCUCAGGGGGUAACUGAGGAUCAUAUUAAAUUGCGUGCUUUCCCUUUCUCCCUAGAAGAUUCCUCUAAGGAAUGAUUAUUUUAUUUACCCCCUGGAUCUAUUACAACUUGGGUUGAUCUAUCUCAUUUGUUUCUGAACAGGUUUUUUCCAGCGUCUUGAGUAGCUGAACUAAGAAGAGAGAUCGUUGGAAUAAGGCAAAAAGAAGCUGAGUCCCUUUACGAUUAUUAGGAGCGGUUUAAAAAGUUGUAUGCAAGCUGCCCACAACAUGGUAUAACGGAGCAAUCUCUCCUCUAAUGCUCUUUCGAAGGUUUGAAGCCCAUGGAGAUGAAUAUGGUAGAUGUCGCUAGUGGAGGAGCAUUGGUCAACAUGACUCCCCAACAUGCGAGAGACUUGAUCUCCACGAUGGUUACAAAUUCUCAGUAGUUCUGAGCCAAUUCUGAACCCCUAGAAGGGUUCACCAGCUAAGUAAUUCAACCUUAGAGGAUAAAGUUGAUAGACUUACUAAUAUGAUGAACUCUCUUAUUAUAAAAAAAGCGAAGACAACCCGGUUAUGCGGAAUAUGUGCUACACCUGAUCAUGCAACUAAUGCAUGUCCCAAUUUGUAUGAUGAUACCAUGGCCCAUCUGGAUACUGUGGGAAAUUUUCCUGGGCCGCCAUAAAGGCAAUACGACCCUUACGCUAAUACCUACAACCCAGGGUGGAAGGACCAUCGCAACUUAAGUUAUGGCGCCAAUCCACGAAAUAACCAGCCAUACCAAAAUCAGUUUCCGCAACAAUCGUAAGGUUCAGGUAAUUUUCUAAAAACCAUGGUCAAUAAGUUAGCAGCUAAUGUUCUUGAUUUUCAACAACAAACUCUUAAUUUCCAAAAAGAGAGGAAGGAUUUCCAACAGAAAACUGAGACGUCCAUCAGAGAGUUGACCACAUCGAUCGAGAAAUUGACCUCUCAAGGGAAGCUGCCGUCACAAACAGAACCAAACCUAAGACAAAAUGCAAAUGCAGUGACGUUACGAAGCGGAAAGGUACUGGAACUGAUUCCUGACAGGAAUCUUGACCAAGAAAUCGCCCAGGAAAAACUAGAGAAAGACGAACAGGUCCGGUCGAAGCCUCCAUUGCCUAAAAUUCAACUUCCAUUUCCAGAAUGAUUCAACUAGUGUCGAAGAGGUAAAGAGGACAAGGAAAUCCUCGAAACAUUUAGGAAUGUCGAGAUCAACAUUCCGCUGUUGGACGCCAUCAAGCAAAUACCGCGGUAUGCUAAAUUUCUUAAAGAUCUUUACACCAACAAGUGAAAAUUAACAGGUAAUGAAAGGGUGAAUAUUGGUGAGAAUGUAUCCGUAAUGUUACAGCGGAAAAUGUCGGCAAAAUGCAAGGAUAGGGGCAUGUUUGCAAUACCACGCAAAAUAAGCCAUCUGGGGAUUAAGAAGGCUAUGUGUGAUCUAAGGGCUUCUAUAAAUGUAAUGCCAUAUUCUAUUUAUGAAUCACUUAACGCGAGUUUUUUAAACAAAAAUAGGUGUUAUCAUUCAAUUGGCGGACAUGUCUGUUGCGCAUCCAGAAGGAGUCCUUGAGGAUAUUCUGGUAAAAUUUAACGAGCUUAUUUUCCCUGCAGAUUUUUAUGUGAUCAAAAUGGAGGAGGAUAGCACUCCUGGAUCUUCAGAUCUCCUGUUGGGUCGACCGUUCCUUAGUACAGCUAGUACUAAAACCGACGUUCAAAGUGGAACUCUCACGAUAGAGUUUGAUAGGGAGAUCGUAAAGUUUAAUGUCUACAACGCCAUUAGCCAUCCAAGCGAAAUCUUGAGCGUAAAUUAUAUUGACAUAAUUGACUCUUUAGUGGAAAAGAAUUUUGAGUCAAUUUAUGGAGAUAAUUAUGAACUUGAUAAAUUUGAAUUUGUUAAUGAGUUAUUAUCUCCAAAUACUAAACUGUUACCUUCUGUUAUAUAGGCACGAGAGUUGGAGUUAGAACCCGCAGGAAAGGCAAGGAAAUUAGACAUCCAAGAGUUAGAAGAAAUUUGUAAUAAUGCCUACGAGAAUGCUCGCAUUUAUAAAGACAAGACAAAGUUGUUUCACGAUAAGAGAAUAGCUCAGAAGCAUUUUUCGGUAGGACAAAAAGUUUUACUUUAUAACUCCGUGUUAAAGUUAUUCCCAGGUAAACUUCGAUCACGAUGGCAAGGACCUUUUAUUGUUACUGAAGUGUUCACACAUGGAGCGAUUGAAAUAGAGAGUAAAGAAUCUUCAAAGCAGUUCGUAGUCAAUGGCCAGCGGUUGAAGCCAUUUUAUGAGAAUUUUCAAGCCCACACGGUUGAGAAAAUUCAUUUGGAACCACCAUUGAACCAAUAACGGCGUCGAGCUAACGACGUUAAACAAGCGCUUGUUGAGAGGCAACCCAAUUUUUAUUUUUAUUUAUUUUUUAUUUUAUUUUAUUUAUUUUAAUUUAUUUAUUACUUUAUUUUAUUUUAUUAUUUAUUACUUAUUUGGAUAUUAAUAAAUUUCUCUUCUUUUUCUUAGAUAAAACAAAGCGAAAAUGCGAAGAAAAAGGAAAAAGCUAGAAAAAUAGAACCAAACAACCCUAUCCAUGGUACCAAACAACAUCUAUUCCAGAUACUAUUCUAGGCCAGAAUGCCUGCAGCCAAACUACCCUAUUCUUGCAGCCAACCACCCUUAUCCCUGCACCCAAGCACCACCCCUCAGCACAAAUUAACCCCCCAACCCUAAAAUUUUAAAACAUUUUUUUCUUUCCUUUUCCCACAAAACCACCCUAGCCGCCGCUCUUCCCUUCACGAUUCUCCCUCACCAUCGAUCGCCACCACCAUGGUUUGGACAUGUAGCCGUGUCGCCGCCGAGCCCUCCUUCACCAUGAACCCACGACGGUUCCGUUUCUCCGCACCUCAGCCAUCAUAUACGAUCGACAGUAACAACACGGGAAGUUUUUCUAAACUUUUCUACCUAUUUAUUUCUUUUCGUCCACAUUGAGGACAAUGUGCUUUCAGUAGGGGAGGUACUCUUCUUUAAAACUGUCAUUUUCUGUUGUAAUUUUGGUUGUUGUUGCUGUCACUGUUGUUGUGAUUAUUUUUAGCUGGUGUUGCUGCUUGAGGCUCCAUUUUGUCCAUAUUUGUUUAUUUUUUUUAGAAUCUCCUGCCUCUUUUCAUUCUUAAGAUUUUUACCAAGAAUUGCCUACUGUUUGACCUACAAGCAUGAUUUUUAUUUUCUGAGGAAAUAACGGAUUUUCCAUAAUUGAUGCCAUCUCCACUAUUUUAUUCUUAUUAGGCUAAAAAUAAUUGUGAUUCAUAAAGUUAACUUUAUCUUGCUUUUCGUAAAAUUAAUCAAGUUUAAUACAAAGUGGACACUUAAUAUGUUUGCAUGCUAAAAUAUGUUUAUGACUAUUAAGGUAAUUACUGAAACUUAUUUUUGACACUUGAUUUUUUCUCUCUAAAGUCCUCAUAAAAAAGUUAUUAUUAAAAUGUUGUUUAAUAUUUUCGUGGUUAUGAGUGCAUCUUAAAAACGUGACUGACUAAGUAACCGGGGUAGGGUGCUUGGGUUGUCAUCCUAUUUCACUUCAAAAGGUUGUGUAACAUGUUAGGUAAAACUUCGCUAACCGGAAUUAAUUUUUAAGAACAUGUUGGGCUGAGUAACCGGGGUGAGGUGCUUGGCUGUCAUCUCUCUUCUCGUCAAAAAGUUCGAUGUGUUCUUAAGAAAAAAUUAUAAUAAAUUAGGAGUCUGCUGGGUUGAGUAACCGGGGUGGGGUGCUUGGCUGUCAUCUCUCUUCGCGUCAAAAGGUUCAGUAUAUUCCUAAAGCAUAAAUAAUAUAAAUAAUAAAUAAAUAAAAAUCAAAAUAAAUUAAAAAAGGGAAAAAAAAGAAAAAGAAAAAAAAUAAUUUGGGGACUAAAAGAGGAAACAAAUAGGGUGUCUUGGUAGGUUUGGUAAUUUACCUAAUUUUCAUUAAAUAAUUCAAGUCGAUUCUAAUUUUUUUGUGUAUUCAUUGGAAAACUUUUUCUGUUUUACUUAAAGCAAGCUUAGGGUUCUAUUUAUUUUUCAUAAGCAUUUUGACUGAUUUUUAUAAAACUUUGGAGUGGUAUUUCUUUUAUGGCAGAAUCUAACUUUCACAGUAGAAGGAACCAUACUUGAGGACAAGCAUGGGCUAAGUAGGGGGAAUUUGAUAACACUCUAGAAUAACGCAUUUUUAUGUAUUAAUUAUGCAUUUAUUCUGAGUAUUAUCCUGCUAAUUUGAGUUAUUUAUGAUCUUUUAUCUCAUAGGGACUAAAUUUGAGGCAAAAGCAAAAUUAAUGGCUAAAAGCGUGAAUUUAGAGAUAAGAUGGGCCAAUGUGCGACACAAUGAAAAGUUGGUGUCAAAAGUGCAAGCAUAGAGGAAACAAGGGUUGAAAUGUAAAAAGAAGAGAUUUUAUUCUAUCAGACUCUAUUUUAACUAUAUUAGGAUAAUUAAUAUUAAUAUAAUUAUUAAGGAUUAUUUAAUUUUAGGAUUUUAUUUUAUUUAUCUUUAUUUAUCUUCAAUUAAAUGUAUUUAUCUUUUAGGAGUUUAAGUAGGAUUAGACUAUCUCCCCUAGCACUAUAAAUACGGGGAGAAGUGACUCAAGAGGCAUCCAUAUUUUUCUAUAAACACUCUCUCCCCAAAAGUCUAGGCUUUUGCUCUUCUCAUAUUUCCUUUCAAUAAAAUCUCUAUUUUUAUUUUAUUUAUUUUCUUUUCCACCACAACCAUGAGCCACUAAACACAUCUAGUCGAAAGUUGUCGAUAUUCCCCAAAAAGGGUUCUUGAGGCUUAGAGUCCGUACUUAGCCUCCUCGCUGAGUAUUCAUCGUUUCUCCGCACUACGUGGGUGACGCUUCCGUCCAUGUCCCUUAAGAAGUAAGCUUUUCAACGUAUGCAAAGGCGUUCGCUUUGUAUGUUUUGGGAAGGUUGCACAGUCGGUUCGUUAGCUUACUGCGUCAGAGGUUGGCGAGCCCAAGAGACAAAAUGGUGUGGGAUUCGCCAUUGAGAAGCGCUGAUCUAGCAUAAGACGAUCCCACAGAAGCCAUUGUUGGCUAGAGUCAGGUUCCACUAAAUAUUAAGUUUAAAUCCUUGGAGCUGAUGGUCGUAGGCGUCCUCUUCCACUAUAACUGGCUUAUUUGGUUUGGGAAAGAUCAUCUAAAAGUCGAGGAUUGAACCCAAGAUGAAACGAGACAACUAGAGGCCGGAAUCUCCAAUAAGAAUUUUCUUUCUCUUAACUCUUUUUUUAAUUUCUCAAAAUUUUGAUUCAAUAUUCUUAAUUCUAUUUUUAUUUUAUUUUAUUUUUCAUUUCCAGAUCCAAACCUUUAAGUCUGUUAUUUUUUUAUUUUAUUUUUUUCAGGAACGCAAGUUUUCUUGGGCAAGAUUCUAACUAGGAUUUCACGGAAUAAGAUAUUAUGCAAGUCCAAUCCCUGAGGAUUUAACCCUACUUCCCUUUUACUAUUCUUUUUCAUUAUUUAUUAGGGAUAGGAUACUUUUGGUGAUUUCAAUGACCGCAUCAUUACUAGACAUGGAAGAAACAUUUCAAUUUGUUAUUUGCUCAAAUAUCAACUACAAAAAAGUUUUAUAGUCAUAUGACCCUGGUUUCGAAAAUUGAAUUUCUCUUUAUUGAGAGCUCAUCCUUAGGUAAUUUUUAAGCGAUAAGGGAAGCCCUAGGAUGCUUUUAAAGAUCGAAAUAAGAAUGGUAGCACCAAACCAAAAAGGAGUUGGUCUUGAAUUAGGAGAUUUUGAUUUUGACUUGGGAUUAAUUUAUUGGCAAUCAUCCUUAUUAUGAAAAGUCAAAGAUAUGAGUAUCAAAUAUUGGAAAGUCAAAGAUAUAGGUAUCGAAAUAUUGGCAUAAGAAACCUGAGAUAUUUGCAAUAUUUGGUCACUAAUUGUAUAGUGACUUUGCAAGUUGAUCCCUAAACCACAACUAUAAAUAGGCCUAACCAUAUCUCAUUCAUAGUAUCCUAUAUUUGCCAUUCUCUACUUAAGGCAUUGUUCUCUCUCUCUCUCUCUUUGUAAAUUUUCACUUGUAUUUUGGAGUGAAAUAUAUUUGGUAGUUCCCAAGGACAUAGGCAAAAUUUGCUGAACCUCGUUAAAAUUCUUGUGUUCUUUAUGGUAUUAUUCUGCAUAUUUUGUGAGUGUGAUUGUAGUGAUUUAUUAUGCUACUAAAUUACGAUUGAGGGAUAUUCUGGCUAGGAAAGACCUGGUACUAAGCGAUCAUUGUGAUCCACCUCUCUUUCUUGGGAAUUGAACUUAGUGUAAUUUUUUAGUACAAUAAUUUUACUCAUUUACACGCUUUUGCACAAUAAUUGGUAUCAGAGCUAGAUUCGUACUAGGGGAAUACGAUUAUUCACGACACUAUUCAUGUACAGUAGUUGGGAUUGAGGAGAAAAAUAGAAAAGGCAUCGUCAUCAGCAAAGACUGCUGUGACCAAUCAAAAUUUGAAGUAGAGAAAUUUGAUGGUACCAAUAAUUUUGGUAUGUGGCAAUGUGAGAUCGUGGAUGUCUUAUGUCAGCAAGAGCUGGACAUAGCCCUUGAAGAAAAAAUUGACAAGAUGGAUGACAAGGAGGGGGCCAAGAUCAAUAGACAGGCAUGUGGAACAAUCUGCCUAUGUUUGGUCAAAGAGUAGAAGUACUCUGUCAUGAGGGAGACAUCAGCGAAGAAGUUGUGGGAUACACUGGAAGAAAAGUUUCUAACAAAAAGUCUUGAAAAUAGGCUUUAUAUGAAAAAGAAACUUUAUCGAUUCACGUAUGUACCCGGUAUGUCGAUGAAUGACCAUGUGAACUAAUUUAAUAAAAUUUUAGCAGACUCGCUAAAUUUGGAUGAGAAAUUUGAAGAUGAAGGCAAGGCAUUAUUGUUGUUGAAUUCUCUUCCUGAUGAAUAUGAUCAUCUUACCAUCAUAUUGCUUCAUGAGAAGGAUACGAUCACAUUUGAUGCAGUCUGUAGUGCGUUGUAUAGAUCUGAGACUCGAAAGAAAGAUAAAAGAGAUUACAGAGAUACAACUGCAGAAGUCUUAACAGUAAGAGGUCGUUCGCACAGCAACAAAUCUGGUAGAAAGAGUAAGUCCAAAGGGAGACCUACCAAAGAUGAAUGUGCUUUUUGUCGUGAGAAAGGGCAUUGGAAAAAGAAUUGUCCUAAUUUACAAAAGGGCAAGGGUAUUUCUGAUGCAUGUGUAGCAGAGCAUGAUGAGGAGCCAGACUUUAGCUUAGUUGGUAUUGCAAUGGCAUGUCAUACAGAUGAGUGGAUUUUGGAUUUUGGAUGUACUUACCAUAUGUGUCCUAAUAAGGACUGGUUUUCUAGUCUUAAAGAAUUGGAAGGUGGAGUUGUUUUUAUGGGCAAUGGCAGCGCUUGUAAGACAAUGAGAGUAGGUGCGAAUCACGAUGGCUCAAUUCAAGUCUUGACAGAUGUUCGCUACAUACCUAGCUUGAAGAAAAAUCUCAUCUCAUUAGGGGUCCUAGAAUCUAAAGGGCUCACAAUCACUUUGAGAGAUGGAUUACUAAAGGUAGUAGCUGAGGUAUUGAUGGUGAUUAAAGGCACAAGAAGGAAUAACCUGUACUAUUUAAAUGGAAGUAUAGUUAUUGGAUCAACAUCAAUAGCAUCUGCGAAAUAUACAGAUUUAGAGGCUACCAGGUUAUGGAAUAUACUGAAAAAGCUUUGCAGAGUUUGACGAAACAAGGCUUGUUGAAAGGUGCAAAUUCUUGCAAAUUGGAAUUCUAUGAACAUUGUGUUCUGGGCAAGUAGACGAGGAUAAAAUUUGGUUCAGCAAUUAACAAUACAAAAGGAAUUCUGAACUACGUUCACAAUGAUGUGUGGGGACCUACUAAAGUGGCUUCUUUGGGAGGUAUGCAUUAUUUUGUUACUUUUUUUGAUGAUUAUUUAAGAAAAGUAUGGGUGUAUCUAAUGAAAAGAAAAAAAAUGAAGUUUUGGAUGCAUUUCUGAAAUGGAAGAAGAUGGUGGAGACCCAGACUGGUCGAAAGGUCAAAUAACUUCGAUUAGACAAUGGUACUGAGUAUAAGAAGGAUCCAUUUCUACAAGUAUGUCAAGAUGAUGGCAUUGUGUGACACUUCACUGUUCGGGAUACACCACAAUAGAAUGGGAUGGCAGAACAUAUGAAUCAGACUAUACUAGAGAAAGUUUGAUAUAUGUUGUCCAAUGCUGGAUUGGGCAAGGAAUUUUGGGCUGAGGCAGUUACAUAUAUGUACCAUCUAAUUAAUCGGUUGCCAUCAGUUACAAUAAAUGAAAAAACUUCUAUGGAGAGGUGGACUGGUAAACCUGCCACUGAUUAUGAUUCUUUACAUGUUUUUGGUUCCACUUCAUAUUAUCAUGUAAAAGAAUCUAAGUUAAAUCCAAGAGCAAAGAAAUCAUUAUUCGUGGGUAUAACUGGUGGAGUAAAAGGAUACCGUCUCUGGUAUCCUGAUACAAGGAAGAUUGUUUUCAGUAGAGAUGUGACUUUUGAUAGUAGAAAUGUGACUUUUGAUGAAUCAAUCAUGACGAAGAACAAGGAUUCACAAAAUGAUGACAAAACCAGUAAUACUUUGCAGCAGGUGGAGCUUGAAAAGGUUAAUGAUGAUCCAGCUAAUAUUGAAGGAACAAAUGAUGAAGAAUUUUUGACCCAAGAACUUCUACAGCAAAAAUAUUCAAUUGCAUAUAGGAGGCCAAAAAUAUAUAUUCGUAUGCCUGCUCGCUUUGAUGAUAUGGUGGCCUAUGCACUUCCAAUUGCAGAUGAUGAUGUUCCUUCUACUUACACAAAAGUAAGAAGUAACCCUGAUGGUGUAAAGUGGAAGCAAGCUAUGAAUGAAGAAAUGCAGUCUCUUUAUAAAAAUAGGACUUGUGAGUUGGUGACACUUCUUAAAGGAAAGAAGGCAAUUGGAUUCAAAUGGGUAUACGCAAAGAAGGAAGGAUUUUCUGGUAAAAAUGAAGUUCGAUACAAGGCUAGAUUGGUAGCAAAAGUUUACGCUCAGAAAGAAGAAAUAGACUACAAUGAAGUGUUUUCUCUAGUUGUGAAGCAUUUGUCUAUUCGGAUUUUGCUAGCCUUGGUUGCGCAAUAUAAUCUUGAACUAGUUUAGCUCGAUGUGAAGACCGCAUUUUUAUAUGCCGAUUUGGAAGAUGAAAUCUAUAGGACUCAGCCAGAUGGAUUCAAGGUUGCUAAUAAAGAAAAUUGGGUUUGCAAACUGACAAAGUCACUUUAUGGAUUGAAACAAUCUCCGAGGCAGUGGUACAAGCGAUUUGAUCAGUUCAUGAAAGGGCAAAGGUACACAAGAAGUAAAUUUGAUCAUUGCGUGUAUUUUUAGAAGCUACAUGAAGGAAUUUUCAUAUACUUGCUCUUAUAUGUUGAUGAUAUGUUGAUAGCAUCUAAGAGUAAAGUUGAAAUUGAGAGAUUAAGACUCAACUCAACCUUGAGUUUGAGAUGAAAGAUCUAGGUGAAGCUAAGAAGAUUCUUGGCAUGGAAAUAUGUAGAGAUAAAGCUCAUGGCAGAGUUAGUUUGUCUCAGAAGCAAUAUUUGAAGAAGGUACUACAGAAGUUUGGCAUGAACAAGUAGACAAAAGCUGUAAGUACCCUGUUGGCUUCUCAUUUCAAGCUUUCUGCACAACUAUCUCCUUCGAUGAAUACGGAACAAGAAUACGAGUUACAAGUUCCGUAUUCUAAUGAACUAGGUAGUUUGAUGUAUGCAAUGGUGUGUACAAGACCCGACAUUUCACAGGCAGUUAGUAUAAUGAGCAGGUAUAUGCAUAAUUUUGGAAAAGGACAUUAGCAAGCUGUGAAAUGGAUUCUACGAUAUAUUCAGAAGACCAUGGAUAUUGGAUUACUGUUUAAGCAGGAAACUACACUUGGUAAAGGUGUUAUUGGGUACGUUGAUUCUGAUUAUGCCGGUGUUUUGGACAAACGAAGAUCAACCACCGGUUAUGUGUUUACACUUGCUGGAGGACCAAUAAGUUGGAAGUCUACAUUGUAGUCUACAAUUGCGUUGUCAACCACAGAAGUCGAAUACAUGGCUGUAACAGAGGCUGUAAAGGAAGCUAUUUGGUUACAAGGUAUAGUUAAAACAUUGGGAUUGGUUCAGGAACAUAUUAACGUGUAUUGUGAUAGUCAAAGUGCUAUUCAUUUAGCAAAGAAUCAAGUCUAUCAUGCAUGUACAAAGCAUAUCGACGUACGUUUCCAUUUUGUACGAGAAAUUAUUGAUGAGGGGAAAAUUCACCUUAAGAAGAUUAAGACUGCAGAUAAUCUCGCAGAUAUGAUGACUAAGGUGGUAACAACAAUCAACUUCGAACAUUAUUUGAACUUGAUCAAUAUUCUGCAAGUUUAAUAGUUGAAGAAGGCACUAUCAAGUGUUGUUGACAAAGGCAGAGAGAAUUGUGUGAAGAUAAGAUUAUUCGAAUCAAAUCUUCAAGGUAGAGAUUAUUGCCAAUCAUCCAUAUUAUGGAAAGUCAAAGAUAUGGGUAUCAAAUAUUGGAAAGUCAAAGAUAUGAGUAUCGAAAUAUUGGCAUAAGAAAUCUGAGAUAUUUGCAAUAUUUGGUCCCUAAUGGUAUAGUGAAUUUGCAAGUUGAUCCCUGAACCUCAACUAUAAAUAGGCUUAACCAUAUAUCAUUCAUAGUAUCCUAUAUUUCCAAUUCUCUACUUAAGGCAUUGUUCUGUUUCACUCUUUUUAUAAAUUUUCACUUGUAUUUUGGAGUGAAAUAUAUUUGGUAGUACCCGAGGACGUAGGCAAAAUUUGCUGAACCUCGUUAAAAUUCUUGUGUUCUUUAUGGUAUUAUUCUGCAUAUUUUGUGAGUGUGAUUGUAGUGAUUUAUUGUGCUAUUAAAUUACGAUUGAGGGAUAUUCUGGCUAGGAAAGACCUGAUACUUAAGCGAUCCUUGUGAUCCACCUCUCUUUCCUGGGAAUUGAACUUAGUGUGAUUUUUUAGUACAAUAAUUUUACUCUUUUACACGCUUCCACACAACAUAAUUUGAAAAUUGGAAAACAAGAAUUGAAAAUCAAUAUAUAAAUUAAAGGAAUUCAAAUUGAAAGAAAGGAGAUUCGAUGAGAAAAUUAUAAAAGUCCUUGAAUUAAGUAUUCUAAUUUGAGGACUUAGAUUUGAAGUAAACUGAGUCGAAUUUGAACGAAUUUCCUUCUUGUAAUUCUAAAAUUUUAAAGAUAAAUAGUUAGAGCAAUUCAAGAAAAUUCAUAAUUAAAUAAUUGAGAUUGAAUAUUGGAGAAGAUAAAUAAAAUAAAUUGUCCUACCGAACCCUUUGAAGAUGAACUCUCCAACAAAUCCAACAAAAUGCUCUAAUCAAUUCUCUAAAAAAAUAAUCUUAGUAAAUUAAAGACUGAAGACUCCCACCACAAAAUAUUGAGGGCUUGUUAUUCAGUGCUUAAAAAAAGCACUUCAGACUCCAAAAUUACUUUUGGAAGAAAAUCUGUGCAGAACAAGCUGCUUUUAGCUGAAAGCACUUCUGAAAAGGAGAAGCUAAAAAUUUUAGCUUUUCCUCUCCCAAAAGCAAUUUUGGUGCUUAAUUACUUUUUCACCCCUCCAUUAACAUAGUACUUUCCUUUUUUUUUGGUGCAUAAUUACAAAUGUGUUAAAAUCAUUAAUUAAAAAUAAAAAAAUAUUUUUUAAAAUACUAAUUACAAAUAUUUAAUGGUUAUAUUUAAAUAUUUAAAAUAUAGUUUAUAUAUUCUAAUUAAAUUUUAUAAAUAAUUAAUAUUUAUUGCUUAAAAAUAUUUAAAAUUUAUAUUUCAUAUAUUAAAAUAUUAACAACAAGUUAUAAUAAAUUUUUUAUUAUUCUUACUAAAAUAUAAUAAUAUUAACUAAUUUAAAUAUUAUUUAAAUGCAUAUUUGUUACUUGAUAAUAACAUGUCUAAAAUGAACAUUUUAUUUCUUAAAAUCACUUUUUGACAGCAAUGCUAAACACUCAAAUUUUAAACCAAACUUUUCAAAAGCACUUUUUCACAUCACUUUUCAAAAACAUUUUUCAAAAGCAUUGCCAAACUAGCCCUGAAUCUAACUUCUGAAAAUUAAUAGUAAACAAAUCUUGUAAACCUUGAUGUGGUAGCCACAUAUACUUAGUGUGAUGCCACCAUGUUAACAGCUAAAUUAAAAAUUAUAAUUUUUAAAAAAUAUAUGAUUUUUUCUAAAUAUAAAAUUUUUUAAAAACACAUUCAAAGUUUCAAAAAUUAUAAAUAAACUAGUUUUCUUACUCGUGCGGUACACAGCUUAAUUAGUGUAUAAAUUAAUUAUAUUCUAAGGGCUAUGAAAAUCUGUCCAAAUUUGAAUCUAACAAUAAGUUAUUUAAUAAGUAAAUUUAAUGAAAAAUAGGGAAGAAUAUGUGAGUGUUCUCUAAUCAACGUGAGAUUAAAAUUAACUUUUUAAUUUCUUAAUCUAUAUCUAAAAAUAUAUAUUUUUUAUCUUAUUAAUUUAUAUGUAAAUUAAAAAAUCUAUUGAAGAUGUCAUCAAAACUUAAGUAUGCUUCUUUUUAUUUUAUUAAUUUAUUUUUAAAUUAAAAAAUUAAAAAAAUAUUCUAUUGAGUAUGCUUAUAAUAACUUUUUAGACUAAAAAAAAUAAAUAAAUGAUAGUUGUAGGUUAUUUUCGAACCAAUAAAAAUAUUAUUAUUUCUCUCUUUCCUAUAAUAUAUUAUUUUAUAUAAAUAAUUUUAAACUAUAAACUCUUUCUCAAAAAAUUAUUCAAAGAAAGAAACUAUAAAGAGUUUACGAAAAUAGUAAAAAAAUUUAUACUCAUUUAUAAUAUAAGUGUGAGCUAUAUGAGUGUUCUCUAGUCAAUGUGUGAUUAAAAAUUAGUUAAUAAAAAAUUGGCACAUAUCAAUAAAAUGAAUAUGCCAUGUGUUAAAAUAUUAUACUUUCAUGUCAGUCGAGAGUCCAAGACCUUAUAAUAUAAUAUAUAUAAUUAUCAAAAUUAUAAAAAAUCAAAUACAAAAAAUUAAAAAUAAAAUAAAUAUUUUGAAUAGUGGACAAAAGAAUUAAAUUAGGAUAAAUAUAAAAUGUAUUAAUGUGGGGUUUUGGUUUGAUGAUUGAGCUUGUCUAUGCUUUUAUGUUUGACUCUGUUUUUAUUUGUUGGGUUUAUUGGAAACUCAAAUUGUGGAAAAAGAAAUAUGAUCCCAAUCUCUUUUUGAAUUAUUUAACAUACUGACGGUUGCUUGUCAUGUCAGCUUUCCGAUAGUCCUUCCGGUGGGUCACAAGACAAGACAUAUCACUCAUUUCUUCAUAGGUAUGUCCGGAUGCUUUCUCCUCCCUUUGCUUCUAUCUUGUCUUUACAAUGAGGGUGGGUUUGGAUGAGCGAUUGGGUGCGGUGCUUUUAGCUUACUUUUUAUCUCACGCUACAGUAUCGCUACACUAUCUAAUCUUACCAUCACCGCUAUUUUUACACUAAACAUAGGUAAACGCACCGCCCAUCCAAACUCACCCUGAAAAAAAUUUUCUCAACCUUAAGCUGGACCGAUGGUUGCGACUUGCAAGUGUUGCAUUGUGCAUGUUAAUUUUCUCAGCAACAAGACAAGAAAUGUCACCCAUCACUUUCCAUCAUUUGGGACAUUCUCACCCUCCUUUCAAUUUUAUUAUUUUUAUUGUAGGUAUUUGGUUUUUUUUUUGAGUGAGUUCAGUAGCUAAUCAUUUGCAUUCUAUAGUUUCAUCUAUUAAAUAAUAUAUUUUUAUAAUUUUAAAAAAUAUAUUUGUUAAUUAAAUGAGUAUUUAUCUAAUUUAUAAUAAAAAUCUAUUAAUUUUAAAAAAUAAUUUAGAGAAUAAAAUAAAAAAUUUAAGUAAAGAAAAAAAAGAAACAAUCAAUAAUAUAAUAUUAAAUAAUUAGAUAAAAUAAUCAAUAGUUAGCAACAUAAUAUUAUUAAAAUCACAAAACAAUGGUAAACAACAUUAUUAAUAAACAUUGCUUUACAAAGAAUUAUUACUUUUAACAUAAUAUUUUACAACACAAUGAUAAAUAAUAUUUACAAUUAUAUAAAUAUUAUUAAAACAAAUAUUAGCAAAUAGUAAUGAAAAUCGUAUCUUUUUUUUUGAUAGAAACAAACCCUAUCUAAAACAAUUUUUUUCAAUAAUUCUUGAGACGUUAUUUUGAACAAAAAUAAUUUGUUAAUGGAUAUAUUUAUAGUGCUAAAUAUUAAAUUUAAUUGAUAUAUAAUUAUAACAUUAAUUAAGUGAUAAUUAAUCUAAAAUAACAUAUGUACAAUCAACACCAUAUUUAGUACUGAUAAUGUGUUAAAUAUAAACACCAUUCAUUUCUUUCUUUUUUGAGAAUAUUUUAAUGUUUUUUUGUUCAGUUUCAAAGUUGACACAUGUCUUGGACAAUCCAACACAACUCUAAGGGUCCGUUUGUUUGACUAAAAAUGGUUUCUGAAAAAUGACUUGCUUUUAUGAAAAAGCUAAUAUUUUCUGGUGUUUGGAUGAAUGUAUAAAAUAUUUUCUGUUGUUUGACAGAUUUCCUAAAAAUAUUUCAUAAAAUCUGUUUUAAAUGAAACAAACAUACAUUUGAGAAUUUAUUGUCUUUUUAUUGUUUAAUUGAGUUUAUUUUAUAUCUAUUAAAUUUAUAUUUUAUAUUAUUAUUAUUAUUAUUAUUUUUACAUAUUUUGCAAUGAUAUAUUUAUAAAUAAGUACAUCAAAUUAAAUAUAUAACAGUAAUCAAUUUUUUUAAAAAAAAUAACAGUAAUCAAUUAUUAAGCAAUAUAUGGGCCAUUAUUGCUCUUUAGUCUAUCAACUAAAGUCCUUCCGAGAUCCUCUAUCUCUUUCGCCUACUGGAGAGCCUCAUAAUUGGCUCGGCACCUUAGCCUUUGAAUGGAGUUUGGAAUGUCAUUAUUAGCAAGCCUUGAAUAUGUAUGCGUGAACUUCAUCACCUUGUGUCGCUUUAGUAACGGGAGCACUUCCCUCAUGUAGUAAUUAGCCUGCAAAUGAAUCAAUUUAAGACACCUUACCAAAAAAAAAAACCAAAUGGAAUAUCACCGUUUAUUUAACACCAAAAUUUGAUCAUUUCAAUACCCUAGGCCAGAAAACAAGGGCCUUUACUAGGGGUUUUAUUAUUGAGUACUUAAGGGAAGAUACCCAACAAUAUCAAUAUAAUCUUUGAGUACAUUAAUUAAAUGCCUCCAAUAAAAAAUAUCCUUGAAUUCACUGUGCACAACGUAUUCAAAAUGUAUUCAAAACAUUAAUGAAGAGUUGGCAAAAUAGGUUGAGGUGCACAGAUAUGCUUGAGUGUUGCAUAACUAAACCCCUUUGGCCCUAUAGAAAAUCUCGUCUGGAACCGAUGCUGCUCCACUUGUCACGCUCACUUUUCGAGUUGGAAGUGUCUUUCUAUCAAAUAAUUCAAGGUCUAUUUAUAGAAAAUAAAUGCUAUUCAUCUAAUAGAAACAUAGCAUAUACAUACAUCCCAAUUUAACAGACAAUAACAUUAAAAUAUCCCUCCAGAUUGAGUUUCACUUAUCAUCUAAAUCAGAAAUUAGUUGACAAAAAAAAUUCCAACAAUAGUAUCUUAGAGCUAGCGCAGGUGUAUAACUAUACAACCAACAUAGAUAAGCAUGCUAACCAUUUAAUAAUGGUAAUUUAGCGAGUCAAUAGAAAACCGCUUCCAUUGCAUGUCUCUAUUUAAGUAAGCCACGAGAUCCAUAAGUUGCACAAGGUAUCUUUCACUUUCCAUCACAUUUUGUGCAACUGCAGAGAUAUAAUCAAUCAUCGACGAAAAAAAUGGAUCAUGUAAAGAAAUCAUUCCUCAACUAUAUAUGUUUGGAAGAAAAGAAAUUAACAAGAAACCAAAUAUCAAACUAAUGUUUACAAAGUUCAAUAUAAGGACCAUUAGCCAAAAGUUUCAAACUUAGAACACCCAGAUAGCAAAUUAGGAAGGAUAACUACAUGCAAAUAUGGUUCCUUGAAAGAAUGCAAAGUUGUGAACUACUUGCUCAACCAUAUUAGUCAUAUGUUGGAACCAAUAACCAACCAUCUUGGAUAAUAAAUAUAGGUUCCAUUUCUCUUUUCACUUCCCUUUCUUCUAAGAAAGUUUCAAGAGUUCCCACAUAAACAUUGCAAUCCUCAACAACAUGAAUCGUUCAUAUUUACCUAGUUUUGAAUGGCUAAUCAACAAUAGUAUCACUUCACAAUGUGCUAAGGUGUUUUGUGUUUGAAAACCUAUUUGCAAUUUAGGUUUUUUCCUUUUUUUUUAUCCAACUAAAAACUACAAUUGGAACAAAAUGUAAGAAAUCCAUUUGCAUUAAACAAAAUGUAAGAAAUCUAUGUGUAUUAAACAAAAUGUAAGAACACAUAUGAGCAUGAGAUUUUUUAGUGUCAUAAACAAAAUAAAACUUGGAACAAAUAGAUAAAAUCACCUUUUUCCCUCGAAUAACAACUCUGAGUUCGCCUUGGAUCACCAUGUAUUUUGUGCCACCAAGUCGGAGCAAGUGAUCCAGGUUCAGCAAAGUCAUUCAUGAUGCUAGUGAUUUCUUCUGGAUUGAACUGAAAUCAACAUAAAACCAAAGAACCAAAGGUAUCUUUCUCUGCCGAUUCCAAUUCAACAAAACUUUGGCACAUGCGACUGGGUCAUAUGAGUGAGAAAUGUAUGAUAGUCUUUUGCAAUAAAGGUAUUUUCAAAGACACUUGUAACAUCUCAGAAAUUGGGGUUAGAAGUUUUGAGGUUUGUAGUGAGGGUCAGAGAGUAGGUUGAACAAUUGGGUUCAGUCUCGUGUUUUAGUGUCAAAAUGAGCUUGCUGGUUUGGUGGUUGGAUGUGUGUUAAUUUACCUUUGGGUCCAGGGUUCGAGUCCUCAUGUGUGUUUUGAGAAAUUAAUCUGAUUCUACUUUUGUUUUUAAGUUUUAGAUAGUUAUUUAUUAAUUAAUUAAUUAAUUUAUUUUUAGUUUGGAAAUAGGAAGUUACUCAAAAACUAUUUUCACUUUUGUUUUGUUUAUUUUUCCCCAAUUUUGGAUUUGACCUCUUUUGGCAUCCAUACUUCUCUAUUUCAACAGUUCUUUCUUUUUGUUUUAUUGCUAAUCUUCCCUUUACUCUUUUGUUAUUCAAUUUUUGUUCUUUUUUAUUUCAAAAUUUUGCAAAUAAUUAUUGUUUUCCAAAGUUGUUCCUUGUUCAAUUGCUAAGUAUGGAGUCAAAAACGGUGGAAUUAAGGCGUUUCGAUCUUCGUUGGUGUUUGGAAUCAUAAUUUUAGGUGUGUUUCUAAACUGUUUGAAUUCAGUAGCGAAUUACUGUUGGAUUUUGGGGAAAUCUGCAAAAUUCUGAUAUGUCUUAGAUGGUUAUCGAUUGGGGUUUGUUCUACUGCUGUAAAACUAUGAUUUCGGCCUAUUUUUGUAUGGUUUCGUGACCACACGGCGAUUCACACGACCAUGUGACUUUUGGAAUUAGGAAUUUUGGACCUUUUUUAGUGCCACACGUUCAUGUGGCAACUAUUUGGGGAUUUUGUUGUUUUUCACAUGGGCAUGUGCCUUGGACACUAGGGGUGUGCAAAAUUCGGGUAAAACCGAAAAAAUUCGGUUAACCGACCGAAUUCAGUUAAUCGGUCGGUUAACCAAAAUUUUUCGAUCGGGGGUCGGUUAAUUAUUUUUUGAUUUUUCGGUUAACGGUUAAUUCGGUUCGAAACCGGUCGGUUAACCAAAUUUUUUCGGUUAACCGAAAAAAUUAAUAAAUAAAAUUAUAAUAUAUAAAUAGGCCCACUAUUCACCUAAACCCAAUCUAAACCCAAGUAUUCAACCCAACCCAAUCAUAAAAUUAAAUUACAAAUAAUUUAAUAAAUAAAAAUAAAAUUUUAAAACUAAGACUAAAACUAAAGUCUAAAAGUCUAAAAAUAAUUUAAUUAUGUAGUGAUUCAAUUUGGUUAAUUCGGUUAAUUCGGGUAAUUCGGGUAAUUCGGUUAAUUCGGGUAAUUCGGUUAAUUCGGUUAAUUUGUUUAAUUUUUAACCAAAAAUAAAAAAAAUAUAAUUUUCGGUUAAGUCGGUUAACCGACCGAAUUAACCGAAAAAAUUUCGGUUCAAUUAAUUUUUUUGAAAAAAAUUUUGGUUCGGUUAACGGUUAAAGAUUUUGAAAGGUCGGUUAAUUCGGUUAAUGUUAUUUCGGGUCGGUUAACCGAAUGAACACCCCUAUUGGACACGCGGCCCUGUCCCUUAGCCACACGGGUGUGUGAGUUUUCCAUACGGUUGUGUCUGCUCUGCACUUUAUUUUGGCACUUUUAGACAGUGAGUUAUACGGGCUAAUCACACGGCCAUAUAACUCAGUCACACGGGUGUGUGUCCCCUCCAUACGGGUGUGUGUAGCUUGCACAUGGGCCUUUAUACCACCACGCGAGCGUGUAGACCCCCCACACGUCCUAGGCAUUUCCACACGAUCGUGUAAAAAUUUGACUCGUUUUUAUGUUUCUAUAUGUUUCGACCCUCAGUUGAGCUUUGGUAACUGUGUUUGGGAUUCCAUUACAACUUGGACUUGUGUGUGUAUUUGAAUUCAUAGGAUUAAGUUUAAGUGUUAUUGUGAUGUUACUUUCUAAUUGAAUGCAAGCAUAUCCGAUUCUCGAUUUGAUCAACCAAAUAUGUGUAAUUCUAUUUUUGUGAGAUUAUCUACAUUUAGUGUGUAUUUUGCAUUUGCAUGAAAAUUUUGGGAUUUGGUUAAGAAGAGAAGGAAGACUGAAUUGGCAGUUUAAUUGUAUUGUUUCUGUACAGCGAUUUACCGCAUUAUUUUAUAUAUGUCAGCUUAGCUGCAUAUCAUUAUUUAGGUGGCUUAGUCCCACUAUCGGGGUGUGUAGGGUGGAUGGGCUUAUCAAAGCUCUUGUGGUGUGCAGGGUGGAUGGGUCUAUUAUGACCCUAUUGUGGUGUGCAGGGGGUUAGAGUGGUGUUCUAUUGGAUGGGUGGGAUUUCUACUUGUUGCAUAUUUUACGCAUAUGAAUUUAUGUUUGUUUGUAUGAUCGUCAAGACGUUUAUAAAAUGCUUUGAAUAGUCUGUUGCGAUUGGGUUACAUGAGUGCUUGGAAUAAUAAUAUAAUUGUGUUCUGUUGUUAAUGGAAACUUUCCUUAUGUUGGAUUACCAUUUGAGAUAUUUGUAUGUGAUUUGUAACAUAUGCUAUUUUGGAAUAUACGUUGUGUUACUCCGUCUUUUGCCUGUUGCCAGUUUCGGGCUUACAUCGAGCUUGCGUAGCUCACCCCCUCUUAGUUUUCUCUCUUUUAGGUAAUUCUCGUGUUUGGCAUUGGACUCAGUGCAUCGGUGAUCUCAGAACUUUUACUCGGGUUUUUCUCAAUUUGGAUUGGACUUAUUUAAGUUCAACAGUUUUGUUAAAUCAUUUCCUAUAGGACUGUUGUAAUUUUGUUUUAUGAACUGUGGUAUAACUUACUUUGGAAUAUUUGUUUUGUAAGUGAUUUUGAUUGUUCUAAAAUAUUUGGUUUAAACUUUAAUACGUUGUAAGUUUUAAACAUAAAACACUAGCUUGGGCUUUGCAUUUAAAUAGUAAGUAUUAUGCUAUCCGCUAUGAACUACUUUCUUGUAAUGUCAGUCUUUUAAAUUUCCAAAUCCGUAUGAUUUCAAAAUCGAAGUAAAAAUUGUUAAACGAUAUAGUUCAAUUUGAGCAAACUGUAUUCGGAUUAAGUUUUUAGAAAUUCUUAUGUAAAAUGUUUCAAGAUCACUUCGGUGGUCAAUGUAACCUCUGAGGUCCGGUCAAAACUUCUAGGUCGGGUUUUGGGGUGUUACAAUACUAAAGUUGGUAAGUUAGGUAUUUGCGAACAUUACAUUUUGGAGAAACAAACCCGAGUUAAUUUUUAUUUAGUAGUGCAUAAAACAAAAUAGACUCUAGAUUACACUCAUUCCUGUUUAUGGCUGUCCAUUUUUUGACACCUCAAAAAGAGGUAAUAAAUAUUUCUUAACUUUUAUUGAUGAUCACUCUAGAAAAGUUUAGGUUUAUUUCUUGGAACAAAAAAAUGAAGUCUUUGAAAUCUCCAAAUAGUGGAAGACAUUGUUAGAAAAACAAACCAAAAAAUCCAUGAAGCGGUUAAGAAUGGAUAAUGGUCUUGAGUUUUGUUCAUUAAGGUUUAAUGAUUUCUGCAAACGGGAAGGAAUUGAAACGUAUUGAAUCGUUGUUGGAACUCCGCAGUAGAAUGUAGUUGCAGAAAGAAUGAACAGAUCCUUGCUAGAAAAGGCUCGAUGCAUGCUUCGUAAUGUAGGCUUAGGGAAGGAAUUUUAGGCUGAAGCCAUAAACUUAACAAGUUAUUUGGUAAAUCGAUCUCCUCAUCUAGCAUAGAACGGUAAAGUUCUAGAGGAGAUAUGGUCAGGUAAUUCUCCUAAUUAUUCUAAUAUUAAAAUUUUUGGUUGUCCUGCUUAUGCUAAAGUUAGUGAGGGAAAGCUCGAACCAAAGGCCAUUAAAUGCAUCUUUCUGAGAUACUCUACUGGUACAAAAGGUUUUAAGUUGUAGUGUUUGGAAUUCGAAAAAAUAAUUAUUAGCAAGGAUGUUCUGUUUGAUGAAUUUGUCAUGUUUUGAUCAGAAAAUGGAACUUUUACUUUUAUUUUUAAAGACACAACAAAUCAGAGUGUCUUGAGCAAGGUGGAUUCAAAAGCCAAAAUAGGGGGAGGCAUCCUAGUGAGUAAAUGCCCCACGUCGUAAUGAUGUGACGAACAAAAGUCUUAUCUCGAUGAAGAGUCACACGACAUCACGAUGUCACAACAAAAUUUUGAUUCUUACUAGUUUGAAGUUGUUUCGAAUCUGUUUGGGGCUCCAUCCAAUCUUCAAGUACCCUCACCAUCUUAGUUAACUAAUUAUAAGUUAGCUCGUAACAAGAAAAGACGAGAGAUCAGACCACCACAGAAAUAUUGUGAAGGAAACCUAGUGGCUUAUGCUUUAAGUGUUGUUGAGAGCAUUGAUUCAAUCAAUCCUUCGUGUUAUUAUGAGGCAGUUCAAGCCGCUGAUUCUAGCAAAUGACUUGUUGCAAUGGAAAAAAAGAUGAGAUCACUUCAAAAGAAUGAGACUUAGAGGCUAGUUAAACCACCCAUUGGUAAAAGAAUCAUUGGUUGCAAAUGAAUAUUUAAAAAGAAGGAAGGUUCGGGUCCUAACGACACUAGGUACAAGGCAAGACUGGUUGCAAAGGGCUAUAGUUAAGUUGAAGGAGUUGAUUUUCAUGGUGUUUUCUCUCCCAUUGUGAAACAUACAUCCAUUCGACGGUUUUGGCCCUUGUUGCAUCAAAUAAUCUUAAGUUAGAGCAGUUAGAUGUAAACACUGCUUUUCUUCACAGUGAAUUUGAGGAGGACAUCUACAUGCAACAACUGAAAGACUUCAAAGUUGAAGGUAAAGAAGAUCAUGUUUGUCUCUUACAAAAGUCUUUGUAUAGUUUGAAGUAGUCUCCUCGACAAUGAUAUAACAAGUUUGACUCCUUCAUGUGGAGUAUUGAUUUUUUUCGAAGUAAGUAUAACUGUUGUGUUUAUCUACAAUGUCUUGAUGAUGGUUCUUUUAUAUAUUUGCUACUUUAUGUUGAUGAUAUGUUAAUUCCGGGUAAGAAUCCAUUUGAAAUUGAUCGUCUUAAAACCAUGCUUAACUCUAAGUUUGAGAUUAAGGAUUUAGGUCUAGCAAAGAAAAUUUUGGGGAUGAAAAUUUUGAGAGAUAGACAUUCCGGGAAAUUAUUUUUAUUGCUACAAAGUUACAUCAAGAAGAUCCUUGAGAGAUUAGAGAUGCAAUAUGCAAAACAGGUAAGUAAUCCUUUAGUUACACACUUUAAACUCUCAAUUUUAGAUUCCCUACAGAAUGAAGAAGAUAAACGGUACAUGUCAAAAGUACCUUAUUCAAGCGCAGUUGGAACUUUGAUGUAUUCAAUGGUAUGCAUUCAUCUCGAUAUUUCACAUGCUAUUAGUAUUGUUAGCCGAUACAUGACCAAUCCUGGUAAGUUACAUUGGCAUGCAGUUAGGUGAAUUUUCAGAUAUUUACGAGGUAUUUCUAGCAUAUGCUUAAAGUUUGGAAGAACUCAAGAGGGUUUAGUUGGAUAUGUUGAUUUUGAUUAUACAAGAGAUUUAAAUCGAAGAAGGUCUCUCACAAGUUACCUAUUUGCUUUUGGGAAUUGUGUCAUUAGUUAGAAAGCGAUUCUUUAAGCUACAAUGGCUUUGUCGACUAUUGAAGUAGAAUACAUGGCAAUUAAAGAUGGAGUAAAAGAAGCAAUUUGGUUAAGAGGCUUGUCCAAUGAACUGGUAAGUGAAAAAAGGGCAACUGUCGUAUAUUGUGAUAGUCAAAGUAUCAUAAAUCUCACUUAAUAUAAAAUGCAUCACGAGAGAACGAAGCAUAUAGACAUUCGUUAUCAUUUCGUUUGAGAGAUGAUCAUUUAAGGGGAUGUUAAGAUUCUUAAAAUUGGCACAGAACACAAUCCGGUCGACAUGUUGACAAAGAGCCUUCUAGUUUCAAAGUUUGAGCAUUGCUUGGAUUUGGUAAGUAUCCGACGAAGAAUCAGUUAAGCUCGUAAUAGGGCUUGGCAAGAGAGUUGGUCCAAAUAUGAGUCAAGGUAGAGAUUUGUGAGAGAAUGCCUCUUAUUUUCACCAAAUUUUAUUUUGGCUUUUCUUCUCCUAAUUAAACUCUGUUUUUAGUUUCUCACUUAAACUCUGAUUAACCUAGAGUUGUUGUAGUUAUAUAUGCCACGAAUUUCAACUUAUCACGCAAAUUUUACGUGGAAAAAUUCCUUAAAGAGGAUAAAAUCUACGGGCAAAAGAAGAUUUCACUAAAAAAAGGAGAGUACAAAAUAUGGAGAAAAUUAAAAUAAAAACCCAAAGCCCACAAGAAAAACCCUUCAAAACAGAAAACAAAAUUCUCUCAAACUAAAUAUUUCGUUGUGUAAACUUAGAGUAACUAAAACCUAUUUUUUGAUUCUUUUUUUUUUUACUUUGUUCGUUGUUUAAUUGGGUUUAUCCCUUACAAGAAAAAUAAUUGUCCACUUUUAUUGUGAAAUGGUGAAUUGACAAAAAAAUUAAAUUUAAAUAAAUAUAAAAUAUAUUAAUAUCAUGCGUAAAUUUCACUUGUAAUAUGAGGUUUUGGUUUGUUAAUUGAGUUUGUGCUUUUUCGUCUCUAUGCUUUUAUGUUGUCAUUUAUGUUAGGACUCUGUUUUUAUUUGUUCAGUUUCAUUGAAAACUCAAAUUGUGGAAAAACAAGAAGUUUCUCCAUCUCGUUUUGAAGUAUUUAACAUACUGACGGUUGCAUUGUAAUGCCAACUUUCCGAUUGUCCUUCCGGUGGGUCACAAGGCAAAGAAAUAUUACUCAUUUCUUCAUAGGUGGAGCUAUUCCUAUUAUUACAUCCGGAUGCAUUAUCCUCUCGGCGCUUCUAUUUUGUCUUUACACGGACUCUCUUCUGUUUGGCUACAAUGAAAACUCAGCUUUGGAAACAAAAUUUUCUCAACCUCGUGGUGGACCGAUUUGAUAUAGCGGAGGUUGCAUUGUACAUGUCAAUUUUCUCGGAAUAUCACCCAUCACUUACUUUCCAUAUCGUUUUGUGAGAUUCUUACUAAAGGUGCUCAUGGGCCGGGCCGGGCCGGGAAUUUCGGCCUAUAUUUUUACCCAAACCCUCCCAUAUUCUUACCCUCCUUUCAAUAUUCAAUUUUUUUAUUUUAUUAUAUUAUUAGUUCCCAACAAUGUACGUAUCUGUUUUUAAAAUUCAUUAAAUAAUAAAUUUUUAUAAUUUUAAAAAAAUAUAGUUGUUAAUUAAAUGAGUAUUUAUCUAAUUUAUAAUAAAAGUCUAUUAAUUUUUACAAAAUAAUUUAGAGAAUAAAAUAAAAUUUUUAAAGUAAAGAAAAUAAAAAUAUGAAAAAUAAUUGAUAAUAAAAUAUUAAGUAAUUAGAUAAAAUAAUCAAUAGUUAGCAACAUAAUAUUAUUAAAAUCACAAAACAAUGGUAAACAACAUUAUUAAUAAACAUUACUUUACAGAGAACCCUUACUUUUAAUAUAAUAUUUUACAAUAUAAUGAUAAAUAACAUUUACAAUUAUGUAAAUAUUAUUAAAAACAAAUAUUAGCAAAUGAUAAAAAAAAUCAUAUAUAUAUAUUUUUUGUGAUAGAAACAAACCCUAUCUAAAAUAAUUUUUUUCAAUAAUUCUUGAGACGUUAUUUUGAAUGAAAAAAAAAUUAUUAAUGCAUAUAUUUAUAGUACUAAAUAUUAGUUUUAAUUUAUAUAAUUAUUUUAAUGUCAUUUAAUAUGAAUACAAGCAAUCAACACUAUACUUAUGUGUUAAAUAUAAACACCGUUCAUUUCUUUCUUUUGUUCUUUUUGAGAUUUUUUUUUUUCAGUUUGAAAGAUGACACGUGACUUUGACAAUCCAACUCAACUUUAAAUGCACAAACAAAUACAAGUACAAAAAUGAAAAGACAGAAAAGAACAGGUUAGCAGUGGCGAAAUUAGUGGAGUUCGCGUGGUCUUGACUCCCGUAAAAUGAAUUUUUUAUAUAAAUUUUUCAAAAUUUUUAAAAUUUUAAAUUAGUAAAUGUAAAAUUAUAUUUUAGCUCCCAAAAAAUAUAAUAAUUUGAUUUAAUUCUUUAAAAAUUAUAAUAAUAUAGUUUAUUAAAAUAAUAAAAUUUUAUUUUUUAUCAUAAAAAUUAUAAUUUAACUUCGUCCCUAAAUUUUUUUUUGGUUUCGCCACUGUAAAUUGGUACUUAGUAAUUAUCCAUUGGGUUAUAGACACCAUUUUGUCAUAUAUUUUAGGCCUUUUCUAUUAGAUUGUUUAUUAAUCAAAUUAAUUACAUGUAUUAACAUUUCAAUGCUACCUUUAGUAAUGAUGUUAUUUUUACAUGUAUUUUAAUAUAUGAGUUAGUAAUAAAUUAAUUUAAUUUAUAAUAUUUAGUUAUUCUCAUAACUUAGUUUUAGUAAAGAAAAUAAAAUAUUUUUAUUUAUUUUGAAGAUGUUUUAUUUUUUACAAGAAUUUUUAUUUAUAUUUCUAUUUUCAAGUUUAAAUUUAUUAUAACUAUUCUUAGUUUGAUAUUUAACUAUUGUAAUACAUGUACCCAAUAAGUUUUUUCUUCAUGUUAUUACAUUAAUAACCGAAUGAGGCAUUAAUAUAUUUAUAUUAAUAGUUAAUUUCACCUUAUUUCCUUAAACUAUAACCUUCAUUCUAAAUUAGUCCUCAAAUUUUAAAAUAUUUUAAUUACAUCCCAAACUGUUGAUGUUUUAUCAAUAAGGUCAUCCCAUUACUAAAAAAUAAUUAAUUUAACUGUUAAAUGAAAUGUCAAAUCUUAUGUGUCAUGUUUAAAAUAAAGAAUUGUAAAAAAAAAUGAAUGUUAUAAAAAUAUUGGGUUUGAGGCUUUUACAAAAGUGUUAUUGCUUACUUUCUUCUUUUUUCAGUUUUACUUCAUUUUUAAUUUAAAAGUUAUGCAAUAAAAUUUUAAUUUUUUUAAAAAAUUAUCAUUUUAAAUUAUGCCACAUAAGAUUUGACAUAUUAUUUAAAGGUUAAAUUAAUUAUUUUAAUAAUUGAAGGACCCUAUUGAUAUAUCAUCAAUAAUUUGGGAAGAUAAUUAGACGUUUUGAAAUUUAGGGGUCAAUUUAGAAUAAGUGCCAUAGUUUGGGGAUGUUUAGUGCAAUUAAUCUUAUCUUAAUUGUAUUUAUACUAUGUUUGGAUUAAAAAUACUAAAGGAAAAGAAAAGAAAAAAAAAGGAAAAGAAAAGAGAGGAAAAUUAAGAAAAGUAAAUAAUUAUUUAGUAUAGUUAAAAUUAAUAAAAAUAAAUUUAACAAUUUUUGUUUGGGUAAACUGUAAAAAGGAAAGAUUAAGUAUCAUUAUUUUUUUUACAAUUAUAUUAUUUUCAUAAAACUAUUUAUAAAAGGAAUAGAGAAAAAAAUAUUUUAUGUCUUAAAUUUUUGUUUUGACUUGCCCCCCAAAUUGGGACAGAUAAAAAAACUUAACACAGCAUUGAGUUUGUAACAAUAUUUUUUAUUUUCAUUUUCAGAAAAUAAAUUUAAAUUUUUUUAUUUUUAAAAAAAUUAAAAAAUAUUUGAUAAAUAAAAAAUAAUUGUUUUCAAUAAUGAAAACUUAAAAACAUGUUUGGUAACUAUUUUCUUAAGAUAGAAACGUGGGGAAUAAAAUAAAAAAAAUUACAUUUAUAAGGAUUUGAACGAUGGUAUCGGAUUUAAUAUUUGAAAAUUUGUUAAAAGAAUAGAAUAUUUUUGGGUUUAUAUAUGCUUGAACCAAUACCAAUUCAUUUAAAGUUAAAAUUUUUUAUUUUUAUCAUUUUCACUUUUACAAAACAUUUUAAUUGAAAAUAAUGAAAUCAACUUUUUAUUGUAUUCUAAUUUUCACAUAUUUUUAUUUUUAAGAAAUCAGUUUUAAAAUUUCAACCAAACACAUUGUUUUCCAUGUUUUCCAUUUUACAAUAAAAGAAAAAGAAAAUAUGAAAUGCAAACUAAACUUUCAAGAGAAAACGUAAUACUCAAUUUCUCUUGUUUAAAUUAUAGUCUUUCUGAAGAAAGAAAAGAAUGACGGUUUCCUUAUUUUCCUUUCCAAUCCAAGCAUACAUCAUAUUUUAUCAUAUACAUACACACACACUAUAGCAAAGGUUUUUUCUCUCUUUUAUAAUUAAUUUUGGUAACGUUCAAUUCUAGACUUCUUUGCUUCACAAGUGAUUACACCUCAUCAGAUUCAACAAUUUAAUUAUCUAACUCAAAAUUAAGUAUAUAUAAGAAAAUAUUUGAUAUAUUGUCAGUAAAAUUUUUAAACUCUACAAACAAAAUAAACAGUUGGCAAAUACCUUAUAGGAAUAUAAUAAAUUAUUAAAUAUAUAUUUUAAAAAAGAGACGCAUAUUAAUUUUUUAAAAUUAUUUGUGAAAUAAAAAAAAAAGUUAUGCUGCCAAUGUAUGAAAUCUUUUAAAUAUAUAUGUAUGAUUUACAUUAAUAAAGGCAAAAUUUAAGCAAUAAAAAUUGGCAUAUUUUCAAAACUUUGAUUUUAACUGAUAUUAUCAAGCCUAACUCAGGUUUUUGGUUACCACUUGAAGUUUAUAAUUAAGUAAUUUUUUCUCUCAUUUUUCAUUCGUAAGUUUAGAUAAAUUUAGCAAUCUUUAAUUUACGUAGUAACAUUAUAUUUAAAUAUUGCCUAAUAUUCCGUUAUUGACUUGAAAUAAAAAUAAAAUAUUCCUAUAGUUUAGGUAAUACUUAUUCCCCAUAAUACAAUUGCGAUAUAAUGUAAUUUAAUUGUAUUUUCAUUUAAUUUUUCUUAAAAGCACUUAGUCUAUUGAGUCUUAAUUUGAUUCGCAAUCGACAUUAUUGCUAGUAUAAGACGACAUGGGUUUAAGUGCAUUAAAACUUAUUUAUCCUUCUAUUUAAGGAUUGGAGAUGAAUUAUGUGUAGUUCUAAGCUUCGUAUAAUAUUUUUUUCUUAAAAACACUUGAAAUUUUUCAUAAACCCUAUAAAUACAUUAUUUUCUUCCACCAUACGUGGAGUUUAGAGUUUUGACACACAUUGGUAAGUACUUUCCCAAAUAAGAAUAUCUUUUUCCUAUUAAAUCUUGAAUCAAUUAAAUUAUUUUUUAUUAAAUCUUUCGGAAAAAGUAUUGUGGAGACCCUUAUAUUAAGAGUUAGAUUAUAUUUUGCCCUCUCUACUAAAAAGAUGGACAAAUUAGUCUCUGUACGUUAGAUCAAAGUGCAAAUUAAUUAUUCUGUUUAAAGUUUCAUCCUUUUGUAAUGUUAAAAACUGUUUUUUGUACGUCUCCAUAAGGUACAUGUGACAUCCUACUUGUAACUAUCUGAUUAUUUUAUCAGCCACGCCGAUUUUUAACUAUAACAACCUAAUUUUAGUUAGUGCCGAAAAUUUUGGUUUUGAAAUUGAAUUCCGUCAAAUAAGUUAGUUGGAAAUAUAGUUAAGAUAAUUAAGUGUUUAGUAAGAACUAAUAAUAUUAGUAUAUCAAGAGAUUAAAUUGAUUAAGCUAUUAAAAAUAAUGCAGGAGCUAAAUUGCAAAAUGACUAAAAUUAGUAAAAUUUAAUUGAAGAGAAUUUAAAGAAAAUUUUUUUUAACAUUAAUCUCAUUAGGUUCGUAUCAUAUCUGCUAUUUUUGAUACAAUACCUAGAACUACCUAUAAUCCCUCCCCAGCCCUUAAAUAAGAGAAUAAUGUACUUCAGUGCACUUGAAUCUACGUCCUCUUGCACUUGUAAUAAUACUAAUGCCAAUCGAGUUAAGACUCAAUCGACAAAAUUAAAAGGUUUUAAUGUGCAAUUUUAAAUCAUAGAAAUGCUUUACCAUGAUUAUAUCAUCACAGGCAACUAACCAUCAUUAAACCAUAUUGUUAACUAAUAAAUAAAAGUUUAAUUAAUGUUAAUUUAACUAAUAUAUAUAUAUAUAUAUAUAUAUAUAUAUAUAUAUAUAUAUAUAAUAUGAUAAGUGGGAGAGAGAAGAGGUGACCAUUAUCCUCAUCCUUUCACCACCAAAACCAAAGAAAGGAAAGAAAGAAAAAAUUUGAAAGUUUCCCAAGCUUUUGCCUAUUCAAAAUUCACAAGAAUGAGAUUUUUAUAAAAUUUUUAUGGAUUUUAUUUCAUGAGAGCUUGGUUUAUAUGACCCAACUCUUAGAUUUUUCAAUUACGAUGAUUUUUCAAAUUACUAUUAAUGGAUUUUAGAGAAUUUGAAGCUUGAUAAUGAUGGAUUUAUGAAUGAUAGGCUUGGUAUAUAUAUUAGGACAAUAUUUGAAGGUAGUAAAAAGUGUUAAAUUAAGUUAGAAUUUGAAGUAAGCUUGUUAGUUAAUUUUAUGACAUUAAGAAUUAAAUUGAAUAAAGUGAAAGCUGUUGGAAAUUUGGUUAUAAAUUGAAAGUACAAGGUCCUUAGUGAAUGGAUGUGAAGUCGGAUUUUGAUUCGAUCAGGAAAAUUGAGAGAUAUGAACAUUUUGGAUAUUAUGGUUUAAAAGGGGACUUAAUUGUAAAGAAUACAAAUAUGCUUGGUUGUUGGUAUGUUUUUUAUUAAAUGAGGAAUUAACGUUGAUUUUGUAAUCAAGUUUGUCGUAUGUAGUUAAUGAAGAGAUUGGGACAUCGAGGAUCAAAGGCGAAAAUGGGCAAUGACUAUGAACUCAAUUUGUGCUCUCAUAGUUUGACUUUAACUUAUAUUUUAUUAAAUAGCUAAAUAUAAUCAAACAAGCAUCAAACAGAGAGUUGCAUUGCAACGAAGAACCCUUGGUGUAACAACGUUAACCCAAAAUUUUAGAACCCUUACAAUUUGGUCCUAUUUUGACCUCGAGUUAGUAAAAAAACUUUUGUAAGCUCGUAUAAGAAUUGGAAAUGACUAUGCAUUAUUUAAUGCACUUGUUUUAGUUACAUUUGAAUGUUUAACGAUUUGAAAAUGAAUAUAAUUUGACCUUAGUUAUUUCUGCAAUAAAUGUGGCACCUUGUAACUCGGACGUGAUGAUCAGGUUGGGUAAUGGGUUGUUACAUAUCCGAUCAAGUAAAAUGAACACCUUGAAGGUGAAUUAAUAGAUAAGUAGCAUGAAUGUUAUGUGAAUUGUGAUACUAAUAUAAAACUUAUUAACACAUGAUGUAAUGAUUCCCAACCUUGUCAUUUAUUUUGACUUCAUGUUACUUAUAUAUUGGUUUCAAACUAUGUUAGCACCGUUGAGUAUAAAUACUCAGCGUAUGGUUAUGUUUGUUUCCUGUGCGCAGACCUCAAACAAGUUUCUAUAAAAUCGAAGUUGAAAAGCAUCCAAGGUCACUAGCUCAGCUCAACUUAGCUUGUAUUAAGUUUGGGUUCCUUUUUGGAAGUAUGUAUUAAAUUAAGGACAUGUACCUAGGUUGGUCUUGGCUUGAUGCCUAAAGUAAUGAUUUGAUGUAUUUUGGUAACUUGGCCUAUAAUGUUUUGAAAGUUGAAUUUUAGUUCUUGAUUAAUAGAUAAUCGUGCAUGUUUAAAUGUUUUUGGUUAUACAAUUUGUUUGGUUGGAUGUUGAUGUAUUAGGUGCUAUAAAUUAGUGUUUUAAUGUAUUUUCAUAUGUUAAGUUGAAGGGUUUGCAUUGUUGUAAUGUUUAAGUAUGUUUUACGCUCAAUUGGGUAGAGUUUGAAUGAUUGAAAAUGUGCACCUUAGGCUAUUUUUCCAUUGAGUCUAGAGACAGAAAAAACAUUUCUUGAGACCAUUAGAUAAAAAAAUUACCAUAUUGAGCAUUUGAUUGCUUAAUUUCUCGAGACUUGUCAAGCUAGUCUCGAGACAACCUCAUCUAGGUCUCGAGACAAAGGGCACUUUGUCUCGAGAUAAAGAAACAUUGAAGCUAAAUUUAAAAAAUAGGGGAUGUUGGUAUUGAGACCUAGUCUCGAGAAGUAAUAGACCUUGCCUCGAGAGACAACUUCUAAUGUCUUGAGACAUGUUAACAUCGAAGUGAAAAUUCUCUAAAAAUAAAAUAAUACCUGUCUCGAGACAUGAAGUUCCAUAUCUCGAGAUACAACACUAAAAUUUGAUCAUUGAGUUUGGAUUUGAGUCCUAACUCUAAAUUUGAUCUUGUAUAACUCUGUAAAAUGAUGAAUUUGAAUCUUAAACAUUAUGAAUGUAUAUUUGUGGACAUAAUUGGUAGUUAAAGUGAAUUGAAUGAUAAUUCUGAACUAAAUUUAUGAAUAUGUAACAAAUUAGCCUGAGUUGCUUCGGCAACGGAAUGUGACAUCACACAUUCAACUCUGGCAACCAAGUCGGGUGUAGGGUGUUACAUUAAUAGUAGAAAUGGAUGCAAAUUUUAAUAGAAAAAACCAAUUUGUUCUUUGAUUUAACAUUGAUGGACUACUUUGCCUAAUUUUUUAGUAAAUGGAGGAAAAUACAAUUUGACUCUUAGUAUAGGAGCCUUCAUAGUACAAAUAUUUCCUUUCUCGUUCAUAUUUGCAUUACAUAUUUUCUUUUGCACAAUUUUGUCCUCUGUCUUGUUUAUUGCAUUUCUAACUGAAUUAGUUUCACGAGUUAAUUGGACAUUAGUUCAGUUGGAAAAUGAUUAAAACUUUCCUCCUUUCACAAAAUAAUAUAUAUAAUGUGUAGUCUGAGUUGGUGUCACGAGUUAAUUGGACAUUAACUCAGCUGAAAAAUGACUAAAAACUCUCUACUUUAACAAAAUAAUAAAUACUAUUUUAAUGGUAUUUUUAUAUUUUAUAUAAAAACUAUAUUAAUAAAUUUAAAUUAACAAAUUAUGUAAUUUGAACCUAAACCUUCAUAAUUUUCAAAUAACUUUACCAAUUCAAUCAAACUCUUAUUUGUUUUUAGUAUGAAAGUUUUAAUAAAUAUAUUUGUUAUACAAUUUUUUCACCCACAUCGUGAAUAAGUCAUAAUCUGUUUAUAUUUAAAAGGUUAAAUGUUGUUAUUAGUCUCUGUACUUUGCGAAAGUUAUGGAUUUAGUACUUGUACUUUUCAAAUUUUAAAAUUUUAGUUCCCACCAAAUGAUAAAUGUUAAAUUCAUUAAGUUAAGUUAUUUCCAAAUUUUGAUGCGCCAAACAUAUCAUGUGUGUAAUGCCAUGCCAACUUGCUAUUUUGAUAUGUUAUUCACUAAAAGUUCAGUUAAUGGGCUAACAACUAUCAUUUGCAUCAAGACUAAAAUUUCAAAAUUCGCGAACUAAAAUGAUCCACAUUGGAAAAUAUGGAUGAAAUAUACAAUUGUACGUAUAGUACAGGACUGAUAAUUGAAUUUAAACAAACAGAUUUAACAACUACUGUUUGGGUUAAGAUUAAAAUUUUAAAAUUAAAAAAAGUAAAAGGACUAAAAUUGAUCAAUUCGAAAAAUACAAAUACUAAAAUUGAUCAAAUUAAAGUACAUAGACUAAUACUUUCCUUGACCGUACGACAUCCGUGUUGUGAGCAUAAUGAUAUGGGACAGACACCCACGUUGGUAUGGUUUAGAUAUUAUUGCUUUCCUAAAUUGUAUCCGCCAAUUAACACGUAUUUAGUGUUUAAGGAUUAGGUUUAGGCAGUUGAGAGUACGAGCUUAGUCAGAUGCAUGAUGGGGCUAACAUGGCCUUGUGUAGGCUAUGGGACGCAUGCAGCGUGGGGGUUAGUGGUCUCAACGUGAACCCAUCUUAGCAAAUCAAGAAGACAGUUGGAAAAUUAAGGUCUUUGCAGGAAAAAGCUUUCCUUGCUUGCUAGCUAGCUUCAAUGAAGUUUGAGAAUUACACGGUAUUAGCAACAUUAAAUGCAAAUAAGGGAAAUGUCCUUAACUAAUGGUUUUAGGUAAUGAGUAGGGUUAUAACUCACAAAUGGUCUUUUAAAUCUAAUUUUCUAAUGGCUUAAUAUAUCAUUUCGUACUGUAGUUUGAUACUUUUUUUUAGUGUAGUACCUGUGUUAUUUUUUUGGUUUAAUCUGGUACUUGUAUUUGAUAAAGUUGUACAUUUUGGUACCCAAAGGAUAUGUACGUUGACUUCUUAGUGUUUAAUUCGAGUUUUAGGGCUGAUUUGAUAAAAAUUAAUUACAAAUAUUAUUAGGAUUGAGUUUUUCAUGAUUUUGUUAAUAGAAUAAAUUUAGUUUUAAUUGUAAAUUUGUUUAAUUUUUCAUUUCAUUUGUCAAAUAGUCUGAUCAUGGAUGUGAUUUAAUUUAGGUUUUAGGGUUGAUUUGAUGAAAGUUAAUUGCUAAUAUUAUCAAAUCAACUUUAAAAUUAGAAUUAAACACCAAAAAGUUAAUAUUGUUACUUUUAGGUACCAAAAUAUAUAGCUUUUGUCAAAUAUAUGUACCACAUUGGACAAAAAAAUAACACAUGUACCGCAUUAGAAAAAAGUGUCAAACAUAAGUACCAAAUCUAUACUAGUAUUUAAACUUCUAAAAAAGUUGGUGUUACAAGUCAAUCGGGCACUAACUCGAGAAAAUUACAGGAACGCACAUCCAUAAUUAAAAUAAAGAAUAUUUUUUGAGUGUAUUUUAGUCUUUUCACUUUAAAAAUCAAUAAAAAGCAAGGAUAUGAUAGGAUUCAAACCCAUGCCAAGUGCAUUAGUAAAAUAUUUAAUUUACCACUCAACUAAAGCUUCAUUUUAAUAUUUUUAUACAUUUUAGUUUUAUUAUGCACAUUCUAUUAUCUCCAUUAAAUGUAUAUUUAUAUCUAUCUAUACUAUUGUUUAAACUCUUGACUGAGUUGGUGUCGCAAGUCAACCGAGCACGAACUAAUUGGUUAGGAAAUUAUGGGAAUGCACAUCCUUAAUUAAAAUAAGUAAUAUUAUUCAGGGUAUUUUAGUCUUUUUUAAUUUAAAAAAUGAAUAAAAUUAUGUAUAUGGUGAGAUUUGAAUCUACACCAAUUGCAUUAUAAAGCCUUUAAUUUACCACUCAACUAAACAUUAAUUUUAAUAUUUUUAUAAAUUUUAAUUUUAUUAUGCACAUUUUAUUACCUCCACUAAUUAUAUAUCUAUACUUGUAUAUUAUUUAUACUAUUAUUUCAGCUCCUGCUGAGUUGAUGUCACCCUCAACCGGGUCACCAACUCAAUUAGGAAGUUAUGGGAAUGCACUUUCGUAAUUAAAGUAUAUAAUAUUAUUCGAGUGUAUUUUAGUCUUUUCACUUAAAAAACCAAUAAAAAUAUACAUAUGGUAAAAUUUGAACCCACACCAAUUGCAUUAAUAAAACAUUUAAUUUACCGUGCAACUAAAGUUUUUAUAUAUAUUUUUAUACAUUUUAAUUUUAUUAUGCACACUUUAUUACCUUCAUCAGUUGUAUAUCUAUACUAUUAUUUAAAUUCCUGAUAAGUCGGUGCCACCAUCAACCGGAUCACCAACUCGGUUAGGAAGUUACAAGAAUACCUUUCCAUAACUAAAAUAAGUAAUAUUAUUUGAGGAUAUUUUAGUCUUUUCACUUUUAAAAAACCAAUGAAAAUAUGCAUAUGAUAGGAUUUGAACCCAUACUAAUUGCAUUAAUCAAAUAUUUAAUUUACUAUUUACUAUUCAGCUAAAGCUCUUUAAAAACUAUAUUUUUAUACAUUUUGAUUUUAUUAUGCAUACUUUAUUACCUUCAUCAGUUGUAUAUAUUAAUAAUGUAUUUGAUUGAGUUGGUGUCAAAAUUUAACUCGACACCGACUCAAGAUUGAUGACAACACCAUGAUAAACAAUUUAAUCUAUUUUUUUUUUGUUUUAAUAACUAUAACACCCCAAAACCUAGCCUAGAAGUUAGACCGAAUUCCCGAAGUUACAUUGGCCAACCAAAAUGGUGGAGAUAAAAUUCAUUUAUAACCAUAGAAAAUUCUUCGCUAAACCUUUAUGCUUCGUAAUUUUAGUAGAUUAAAUGAUAUGUAGUUGUUUUUGGAAACAACAUAUAACAGACGUUUAAGAACCGUUAGGAAUAAAUUAAAUCAGUGUUUUUGAACAAUUUCAAAGUAACUUAAAAAUCCCCGUACCACAGUACACAUAGACUUAUGUGAAAAAACAAAGGUGCAUAAUUUGAAUAGUUUAUCAUAACAUCAUUUGAAAUCAACCGAUCAAAGAACUCUGAAACCUCCGCUAUGCCGAGUCUAGCUCUAAAGCACAGAAUGUACCUGAAAGGAAAAACACUACAGAGAUGAGCUACGCAAGCUUAAUGUGAGUACGAAACAUAAACAGAUGGCAAAAGACGGGGUGACACAAUAAAUACUUCAAACAAGCAUAUGUAUAAAUAUAUCACUUAUGAAAAUCUUAAUCGGUAUGUCAAAUACAAUAUCAAACUACUAAAAUGAUGUUCCAAUCAUAUGCAAUAAUCAUAACAUAUUACAUGACAUUAACUAUAUUGUCAAUAACCAAAUGUUCACACAAACAGACAAAAUGUUCUGACAAACAGACGUAUGUUCAGAUGCAAACGGAUGCAUAAGUCAAAAAUCCCACCCCACUAACCAAACACCACUUCGUCCAUCCAGCACACCACAUAAGGGCUAUGGUAGGCCUGUCUACCCUGCACACCACAUAGAACCAUAAUAGGUUCAUCCACCCUACACACCACAACGUGGAACUAUGCCACUUGAGUAACUAUAUACAGCUGAUCUGAUAUACGUAUAGGAUAGUGCGGUAAACCGUUGUACAAAAGUAUCGCAGUUAAAACUGUUAAGUCUAUCUUUCUUCUCUUCAUAACCAGAUCCCAAAAUUUUCAUGCUAUGCAACAAUGCACACAUUGCGCAGACAACAUAUAGAAACGAACAUUAACAUUUCCAGUUGAACAAAUUCAGAUUUGAUUACACUUGUAUUCGAAUGUUCAGUUACGACAAAAAUAACAAACUCAUACUUAUUCAUCACAUAAACGAGCAAUAAAAUUAAAGCCCAUAAAUGUACAUAUAUACACGAACUAAACUACAUCAAGUCCCAAACACACUUACCGAGGCUUGACCGAGGGUCGGAUUACACAGAAAUAUAAAACAGACAGUUUAUGACUCAAAACAAAAAUUCUAUAAAAUAGGGACAUAUGGCCGUGUGCCCUGGCCGUGGGGAGGCCUACAUGCCCAUGUGGAGGAGACACAUGCUCGUGUGACCAAGUUACAUGGCUGUGUGAGUAGCCCAUGUAACACAUUGUCCAAAAGUGCCAAAAAAAAGAGUAGAGGAGACAUGAUCGUGUGAAGAUCUCACACACCCGUGUGGCCAGGCCGUGUAGUACCAAAAAUUAUUGAAAACCCUAAAUUCCCAAUUGCACACGGUUGUGUGCGGCACACGCCCAUCUGGCUGCUCGUGUGAUCAUGAAACAUCAUCGAAAUAGGCUAUAAAUUAUACUUUUGAUGUCUAAACGAUCCCCAACCCUUGGUAACCUAGAAUUAUGCCAAAACAUACAGAAUUUCAUGCAAUUUAGUAACAAUAUGAUACUUCAAAUAACCAAUUUCAGAAACACAUAAGACAUUACCAAAUUCCACCGCAAUUCGAUAUUGAAGUUAAACCGUUUCAGAACACACACCUUAGAACACGAUAUCAAGCACCAAGGACCAAUCGAUUCGCUCUCACCAAACUGUUCGAAAACUCGCUUCACCUUCGAUAAAAUGAAACACACAAGGACGAUCAGUCUUGAUAGACAACACGUAACAUGAGUGUAAAAUGGAAGAAACAAGAAAUCAAAAGAACUGAAAUUUGGGGAAAGAACCGAAAAAUAACAAUGGGAACAACAAAAAAAUAGGGAAAAGGAAAUGGAAAAGAACGUGAAACUGAAAAACCUCCUCUUUCAAAUUUUAAAAGUAAAUCUUUAAAAAUUAAAAAGCAAAACCAAAAUAAAUUAAUUCCUCAAAACACACAUGAGGACUCAAACCCAAAACCCAAAGGUAAACUAACAUACUCACCACCACCGAACCAGCUCAUUCUGACAUUAAAAUGUGAAAAUCCACUCAAUUGCUUGACUUAUUCAAUCACCCUAACCACAACCUUAAAAAUGAAACCCAAAUUUUAGGGUAUUACAAUAACGUUCAUAUUUCAUGUAUUAUUAUUAAUUAGUUUCAGCCAUACAUUUCAUUAUUUUUGUAUAUGAUUUUUAAAUAGACAUUUGUGUUCUAAAUUUGUGGUUUCCACUUGUAUACGUUUGUAAUAGAAUUUCUAGUUAUUAUUAUUUAAGUGUUUUACUGAGUUGGUGCCAUCCUUAAUCGGGUCAUCAACUAGAUAGGUAAAUUAUAGAAAUGCCCUUUCGUAAUUAAAAUAAGUUAUAUUAUUCGAUGGUAUUUUAGUCUUUUCAUUUUAACAAAAACCAAUAAUAUAUAUAGUGAGAUCUGAACCCCCACCAAUUGGAUUAAAAAACUAUUAAAUUUAUCACUUAACCAAAUGUUCAUUUUAAUAUUCUUCAUAUAAAUUUAUUUUAAUAUGCCCAAUUUGUUAUAUCCAUCAGUUGUAUAUAUUAAUAAUGUUGUUAAUUGAGUUUGUGUCAUAAGUUAACUUCACACUAACUCACAAUAGAUAACAACACUCUGCUUAAACAUAUAUGCAAUUGAGGAUACUCAAACAAUCUUAAACCAAAGCUUCUAGUGCUAACUGACUUAGCUAAACUAUCUGCAAUUAAGUUCUCUUCUUUAGGUAAAUUUUAAAUCUUCCACUGCUUAAACAUAUUCAGGACUUGAAUUAUUCUCCUGAUUAGGGUAGAAUUAGAGUUUCUGGAAGAGUCAUUUUGACUAAUGUUAACGGCAUCAAUACUGUCAGUUUGGAUUGAGACUCUAUCGAAUCAUCUUUCCAGAAGAAGGUUUAACACAUCCAAGAUCCCCCAAAGUUUAGCCUCCGUCUUUGUGCAAUUACCUAAAUAUCGACAGAACCCAAUGAUCCACCCACCAUUAUGGUCACAUAUGUAAUCACCAGCUGCUGCAAAACCUUCGUCAAGCCUAACCAAACCAUCUGUUCUCAAACAAACCCAACUAUUAGCUAAAGGUGAAGAGUGGAGAUAACUGUGAAGCUUAUGAAAAGCAAUUUUGGAGAUAAAAAUGUAUUGCUUUGCCCAACUGAACGAAAAUUUAAGAAUCUCAUCAUUACUCUAAGAAAUUCCUUGAAAGGUAAGCAAGUUCCGAUUCUUCUAAAUAUGCCAAGAAUUGAUCCCAAAAAGGCAUGUUCAAUCCAUCCCAUCCAAAAAAAUGUUGAGAUAAUUAUGAUGGUUUUCUGUCAUCCAAAUAGGGGGGGAGCUAUUGUAAAACCUUGAGAGUCUGUCAUUUGGAAUGAGUUUAUCCCAAAUAGUUUUUACAGCAAGGCAAUCUCUGAGUACAUGUAACACAUCCUUAUAAUCCUGCCCACAAAACCCGCAAGCGCUGCUACUCCCAAUGCCUUGCCUCACCCUUUCAGCAUUCGUAAGUAUGCGUUGCUUAAGGGUGAGCCAUAAAAAGAAAUAGAUCCGUUGAGGGCCUUUAAAUUUCCAAGGUAUCUCCAAUAGGUGUUCUUUCAAAUUCAAUAUAACUUUUCGAAUCUUCCCAUAUGCACUUUUAAGAGAAAAAGAACCAGUCAAAGUAGCUCCCCAAGUUAUUUUAUCAGGACCAAAAGAGGGGUGCGGUGGUGGAACACCUGCAAUUUUGUUAAUGAUCUCUUCUGAGAACCACAAUCUGAAAAGGUCCAAAUUCCACGAUCUAUCACCUGCAGCCAUACUACUAAGAGGACAAUCCAUAUUAAGGUUAGAAAGAGAUGGAAUCUGUAUAAAUAAGGGACCACUAUUUGGAACCCAAGGGUCGUGCCAACAUUGGUUACUAUUUCCAUCUCCAAUAGACCAUAAAAGGUUUUCGCGAACGAGGGGUCAUACCUUAGAAAUGGAUAUUCAUAAAAAGGAGCAGCUUCGCCGUGCUAAACACUAUAUAAGGGCUCAACAUCAAUAUUAGGGUUCUUAAAACAUUGUUCACCUAUCUCAAGAACAUCGACAAUUGUUUCCUCUUUACCAUUCUUACCCUAACCAUCACCAAAGGUUAGAUUGAGUGAUUGAGACAAGGCCACAAAAUCUUAUACUUGGCUUGUGCCAAAAGUAGUGCCAAUAAGUGAUGGCAUUGAUUCUUCAAUAGAGGUUUCAUGAGAUUGAGAAAGCUCCCUUGCUUGCUGAUCUUGCCGAGCUUUUUCUCAUAGUCAAAUUAAUAGGUGAUCUUAAUGUGUGCUAUUGAUAAGAAUCAAGAAUUUCAAUAAUCAAGAGACACUUGAAAGCAAAGGCGACUACGAAUAAGGAAGCUUUGAGAGACCAUGUUACUAUUAAAUUGGCGAGGAGAGUUUGUGAUAAGUUAUAACACAACCAAGGUAUUUAUAGGGUCGUGUUUCCUUAUACCCUUUCCUCUAAUAAAUUUCCCUCCAAGAAAAGGAAAUUUGAUCAUCAAAGAUAUACUUUCCCUCCACAAAUAAUGAUUGCAUGCAUGACUAUACCAACUAUAGAGCUUGAUCUCUGAAUUGCAAAACGACACCUAUAAUCGUCAUUCGGAUGCUUCCCAGAACAAGUGCCAAAUGUUAGACUCAACACACCCAACUGAGUUCCUUAGUGCUUCGAACCUUACUGCAUUAAGAGCCUUAGUAAGAUAUCAACAAGUUGAUUUUCAGUCUUCACAUACUGCAAUUCGAUUAUACCAUUUUUCACAAGUUCACGAAUGAAGUUGUGUUGAAAAUCAAUGUGCUUAGUUAUAGAAUGCAUCAUAGGAUUUUUUGAUAUGUUAAUUGCACUUAAGUUGUCACGGUAGUCAGUGGCCUUUGGUAGUGCCAUUCCAUAGUCUGUCAUCAUUUGUUUCAUCCAAAGCAACUGUGCACAACAACUUCCAACUGCAAUAUAUUUUGCCUCAACUGUUGGCAAGAAUAUGGAAGAUUGCUUCUUAUUAUACCAAGAUACAAGAUUAGAUUGGUAAAAAUAGCCUCCAGAUGUGCUCUUUCGAUCAUCUACAUUGCUUGCCUAAUCUGCAUCACUAUACCUAACCAAGAUCAUUGCACUAUCUUUCGACAUUCAUAUGACAAAAUCAAGUGUAUCAAGAACAUACAUGAUGAUGUGUUUUACAUCCUUUACACGUGCCUCUUUGGGGAUACCACAAACACCCACACUGAAGCUUAAAUGAGGCUUGCUUAUAGUCAGGUACAAUAAACUUCCUAUCAUACUCUAGAAAUAGUGGCACCCCUUUUACAUCUGUUAAUUUUCUUGCUUGGUGACAUAGGGGUCCGUGUUGGCUUAGCUAUUUCUAAUCCAAACUUCUCAAUUGAGUUCCUUGCAUACUUCCUAUAAUUUUUAUAGGUCAUAUUAAAACGAAAGAUUAAUUAGAAAAUAUAUUUACAAAAGCUUUGAAUGAAACUCGAGUUAAUCACAUUUAUGAUAAAGUGGGCAUGAUUAAUAUCUAUACCCUAAUACAGUGAAUAUGAGCUUCACAUACAUACUAAUACAUACCUCACACAACCGCAUUCACUUAUAAAGGAAAAAAAUAGAGAAAAAAAGCAGAAAUAGACAUCGAAUGAUCCCCAUUCAUUAUUUACGUAAUUCCCUACUGACAAUACUAUUUACAGUUAACCAUGUUUGAGAGCUUCUUUAACAAAUCUGUCAAAAUCAAUGUAAGAUAAUCCCCCAACUUCAACAGCUUCUUCCGCUUUCUUCUUCCAUUCCAAUGCCUUCUCUUUCUUUUUCUUUCCUUCCUCACCUUCCAUAAUUUCUUUAACUAAAAACUCUAUGUUCUCUCGCUUUACAUCAUGAUCCACCUCCAUGCCAAUGCCCCAAUGAGUACAAGCAUAUCGAUAAUUGGUUUGUUGAUCAGCAAAAAAUGGCCAACAAAUUACUGGCACGCCUCCUGAUAUGGUUUCCACGGUAGAAUUCCACCCACAAUGCGUCAAAAAAACACCAACUGAAGGAUGUGAAAGAACCUGAUAUUGGUUGCACCAGCUUGUUAUCAACCCUCUAUCUUUAUCUCCUCGAGGAACUCUUCAUCCAGAAUUGCAGAAUCACCCAUCAAGAUAUCUGGUCUAAGGAUCCAUAAAAAUGGUGCUUAGAGUUAGCCAAUCCCCAUGAAAAUUCCUUGAGAUGCUUCUCCGAUAUGACAGUAAUGCUUCCAUAGUUUACAUACGCAACUGAAUUGGGUUCCCUUUUGUUAAGCCAUUCAAUGCAGCUUGUAUCUUCUUUCCAUAGGCUUGAGUUCAUUGACUUGGACGGGUCAUCAUGUAUGUGCCUAGCAAGCAGAUGAAGUGGUCCUAAUGUAUAAACUCCAUGGAAUUUGGCAGCGAUUGCUUUUAACACUUCAUGUUCCAACUCUUCAAAUGUGUUGAAGAUGAUUGCUGGAGCAUUUAGGCAAUUUGUGCUUCAGAGCUCAAGAAAUCAAACAUGAUAUCAUUUGGAUUGUUGGCUCCUAUAAAGCUGGGGAGAUCUCUGAAGUUAAUGUUACUCAUUCCAGGGACCUAAUCGAUAGGUUUAUCAAGAGUUCCAUCACUGAGAAAAGUUUCAUCUGACAUAUACAGAAAAGAAGGGUCAAAAUUUUAGUUAUUUUUAGACCAUGUCAAUAAGGACCUACCCUACAAGAGGUGUUAAACAUGCCAAUACUUUGAACACUAUUAGUGUUUUGAUGGUGAGGAGUACUAUUAGAAGGUUGAGGGAGUAAAGUGAAAGCUGAUCCAACAACAUUGGCAUAUUUAAUUUUAGUAGGAUGUUUUUGUAUGUUUUAGCUAAAGAUUUAUUGAAAUCUUAUUUUGACAAUAUAUCAAAAAAAAAAAAAAGAGAGAGAGAGAGAAAAAAUAAUAGAAAAUAAACAUAAUAUGUAGAGCAUAUAUUAUGUAGAUAAUUAAAUUUGUAUAUUGAAAAUGAAAUUAAAAAAAAAAUACUUUCAAAUAAUCAUUGAAGUACUAGAGAAAAUAAAUUGAAGUAGAAUGUGUUAGAAACAAGAAGGCAAGUAAGAAGAAGGAAGGAGGCUACAACUUCUUAUUUUAUUUUAUUUUAAUAGAUUAAUACCCAAACCAAAAUAAAUUUAGACUAAUUUUGUCUAAAUCUUUUUUUUGAACAUUUUCAUAUACAUGAAAAAAUAUCUUUCCCACUAAAUCACAUUGUCAUAUUUAUGAGAAAGUAAUUCUCUAACACAAAAUUAAAUUCCAAAGAAGGUAAAUAAAUUUUGAAAAACAAAGAAUUAGAAUAAAAUUUCAAGUGAUUAAAAUCUCAAGAAAGUACUCACUAUCCAUCGUACCAAAUUCUACUUAGGUGUGCUUGGUAAAGAAGAUGAAAAAAUCGAAAGAAAAAAUAUUCAGUGCUUAGGUAGAGUUGAAAAAUGAGAAAGAAGAAAAUAAUUUUUUUUUGAAAAACACAUAAUUUUGAAGUAAUAUAUAUAUAUUUCAUUUUCUCUCCUCUUACCAUUUCAACUUGGAAUUAUUUGUUUUUAUGCAUUGGGGUAAAAAAUGACCAUUUCUCUUAUAAUUUAUUUCUCUCGUUUUUCUUACUUACCAAGCACUCAAAAUUCACUCUCUUUUUUUCACUUUUUAAUUCUCCUUUACUCUUAUUUUUCCACUUAGCCAAGUGAAUCCUAAGGCUUUGCUUGGUAGAGUUGAAAGAAAAUGGAGAGGAAAGAAAAUUGGAGAGGUAGAAUUUUUUUUUCUUUGUUUGGUAGAGUUGAAAAAGGAAAGAAGAAAAUAAAACAUUUGAAAAAUGUAUAAUUUUGAAUUAAUAUAUGAGGAAGGAUUCUAUGGAACUGUAAUUCCAUGCCAUCCCUAUCUUUUUUAAAUAAGAGAAUGACAAAUUAGAUUUUUCCUUAUGAUAUUUAGCAUUUUUAGUUUGAUUUGAAUUUUUAAGGAGAAAAAAGCUGAUUUGUCAUUCUCCUAUUGGAAUCCCUUCUCUUAAUAUACAUCUCUCUCAUUCUCAUUUUCACUUCUCUCAUCAUUCUUAUUUGAAAUGAUUGAUUUUUAUAUAUUAUAAUAUAAAGUGACCUUUUUCUAAUUUCUUUCCUACUAAGCAUUCUCAACUUUUAUUUUCUUUUCCAUUUUUUCACUUCCUACUUUCACCCCUUUAUAUUCUCACUCAAGCAUACUCUAAGUUCUAAGGAGAGAGGAUUCCAAGCGUGGUUGAUUGAUCGAGACUGGAAAAAAGUACUUAGUUUGGAAUGGAAAAAUGCCUCAUUUAAGCAGUUCACUGAAUUGAAUGUAUCCAAUGAAACUACAAGCUGAGGCAGUCCAAAACUAAACUUCUGGUAUACCAAGUAAUUCAGCAGCCUUAAUAGCAAAGCUCAUAACUCCAUCUGAAAUUAUGCAAGUAACAGUGGGCACAUGGGGUGAGGAGUUUAACUUAGCUAGUAGCUCUAAAAAUGGUGCCAAGCAAUUCUUUCGUACUGAAUCAUUUAGAACUGAAACAUCCUGUGUUGCAUCGCGAUCGGACGGUGUUAGCCCGUCUGGGAUUGUUUCAAACUGAAAAUUAGGGAGACCCAUGACUGUAACACCCCAAACCCGGCCUAGAUGUUAUGACCACAUUCGGAGAUGUCUCAAAGAAGGGUUUUUGAAAAUUGAGUUGUUUCGAUAAAUCAUUCAAGUUUUGCAACUCUUAUUUGUUUAUAACCAUUAUCGAAAGCAUUGUUUAAUUAAUUUGUUUGCCAAAACAUAAAUUAUAGCGAAAGUCACGAAAACGUUAUAUUUGGAAAUCCCGUUCGUAUUUUUCAGAAAACUUUUAUUUUAGUAAAAAUGAUGUGUUUAGCUAAUCGUCUCAAAUAAAGUGUUAAAUAAAAAAUUCCAAACCUUAAAAUUAAAUCAAACCGUCCAGAGAGUCUAAUUAUUACAAAACUCCCAGAAAUAAACCUUAAAUUAAAUAAAAAUUAAAAUCUUAAACAGUUACGAACACGUGGUCACCGUGAGGCUCCAUCACACCGAUCCACUUAAGUCCGUGGAUUACCUGAACAGAACAGACAAAUAGAUUUGAGUUUUCGUAAACUCAGUGUGUAACCCAACAAAAAUAGACAUGCCAUUCAUACAGAUAUCACAUACACAGUUAAAUUCAGAUUCAGAUUCAAAUUUGGACUUAAGUCCUUUUCAGAUACAGAUAACAUAAUCAAAUAUGCAGAAUAGAUAUACAGAAUCCUAGCCACAUCCUCUACACACCAACUCUGACCAUCCCAUCAUACCUUGUGGGGUUAAAAAAACACCCACCCAUCUCUACACACCAUAUCGUAUCAUGACAACACAUAUCAGAUAAUAUGCAACCAAGCUGCCAUAAUAUAGGUGAAGGUCGCCAUACAGAUCACUUCCUCCACAUAAUCAAUUCCCACCCCAAACGUAUAUACAGAAUACAGAUACAUAAAUAUCAUGCUUGCAUGCUAAUAUACAAAUAACAUAUAAAUAUAUACAUAACAUAUUAGCUAGGCAUGCAUAACAGUGUCCUACUCAAAGUAGACUAUCGGAAAAUCAGAUCACGUAAUUUAGGGUUUGAUUAGCCCUUAUUGACCCUACGGUAGGCCCACAGUUAAUUGGAGCGACCCGUGCGAACCUAGGGAAAAUUUUAGAAAUAUAGGCCCAUAUGCCCGUGUGUCCCACACAUCUAGAUUAACCUUGUCCUUAUGGCCCACAUGGCUUGGCUCAAGACUUACACGUCCGUGUGGGCCACACACCUAACUUGGCCUUGCCCGUGUGGCCCACAUGGCCACACUCACACCACCACACGGCCGUCUCUUGCGCACGACCAUGCCCUUGUCAAACACACCAGCACCUAAAAUCAGAAUAGCCAACUCCUUUUAGCAGCCAAUAUCGAGUUCACAAAAACUAAAUUGAUCAACACCCAAAAAAAACUUACCACCGCAAAAAUGGCUACAUGUAGUAAGCUAAACCGUUGGAGUGACAACCACUGCCUCAUUGCCUUCUCCUGCACAACAGAAUUAAUUGAUUACUCACCAUUUAUCGACUAUCAUAACAUUGCCCAUAAUUCCAAAAGUUAAUCGUUAACAAAAAACAAAACUUCACUUACCAAGCCGAUUAACGAACCCAAAAAAAUCACAGUAGCAACAAUUAAACGAGAAAAACAACAGUAAUCAGAAGAAGGAAACAAAAAAUUGAAAGUGGAGGACAAGGAAGGAGAGAAAAAACGUUAGGAAAGGAAGUUUUGGGAAAAAGAAAACAAAAAUUAAAAAAAAUAGAAAUCUGAUAACCUCCUUAAUUUUUCCCCUACUAACCCACUAACUCACAACCACAUCAGAAUUGUAGCUCUACCGAAACUCUAUCAGUCAACCGAACAAAAAUUAACACCCUCACUCACGCAAGGAUUCAAACACAUGACCUCUAACACAAUAACGCUUUACCACUUGAACCAGCAGGCUCGUUCUAAUAUGGGUUAACAGACAAUUUAUAUAAGCCCAUUCAAUAAUGAUAAGGCUAGGAUUAGAAAAUUCACAAAAUUUGCAAAUGUGGGACUUGAACUCAAGACCUCAUACACACACCCAAAACACUUAACCACUAAAUUAAAUACACACUUGUGUCAUGUAUUUACAGAAACAAAAUAAUUAAGCGGGGCGUUACAGCUCUACCCCUAAAAGAAAUUUUGACCUCAAAAUUUACCUGAUCCGAAUAGAUGAAGAUACUACUGACGCAUCAAGUCCUUAGGUUUCCACGUGGCUUCCUCAGUGCCAUGAUUCCGCCACAAAACCUUUACUAAUGGAAUAGACUUUCUCCUCAGAACCUUUACAGCACAAUCUAAAAUCUAAACUAGUUCCUCCUCAAAAGUCAAAUCCGGUCUAACCUUGAUCUCCUCAACAGACACAAUGUGAGGUGGAUCAGACAGAUACUGCCUCAACAUUAAGGCAUGAAACUCGUAAUGGAUACGGUCCAACUCUGGAGGUAGCUUCAACUGAUAAGUGACCGGUUCCACACGCUUCAAAAUUCGAUAAGGCCCAAUGAACCUAGGGCUCAACUUGCCCUUACGAUCGUACCUCAGAACUUUCUUCCACGGUGAAACCUUAAGAAAAAUGAAGUCACCCAUAGAGUACUCAAUAUAUCUCCUCUUUAGAUCUGCAUAAGACUUCUUUUUAUCAAAAGCUGCUUUUAGAUAAUCCUGAAUCAGUCUAACCUUAUUUUCGGUCUUAGAAACCAACUUAGGACCCAAAAUCUGUUGCUCACCCAACUCAGUCCAACAUAGCGGAGUACGACAGUUACGACCAUACAAAGCCUCGUAAGGUGCUAUAUGGAUGUUAGACUGGAAACUGUUAUUGUAGGCGAACUCAGCUAACGGCAGAAAAUCCUCCCAACUACCUCGAAAAUCUAUCACAAAACUCUGAAGCAUAUCCUUCAAUAUCUAAAUCACCCUCUCAGGUUGACCAUAGUACUGAAGUCCAAUAUCGAACCCAGAGCCUCAUGUAGUUUCUUCCAAAACUGAGAAGUGAAGCGAUAAUCUUUAUAAAAAAUUAUCGAAACAGGUACCCUGUAAUAGGCCAAUUUUGGCCUGGCCCAAUAUUAACCAAAUUAAAAAAAACCAAUAAAAAUAAUAAAAUAACAGUCCAUUUAUAAAAUCCAAUAAUAUGUCCAGAUUACAAAAGCCCAAAAUAAUAAAAACCAAUACAAUCCUAGACCCAACUAAAGCCCAGUUUGCAGCCCACAACACUAAAAAACAAACAGAAACCCUAGCCUUCAACCUUCAACCGCCGCUCCUGCCCUUCACGUGCACCAGCCUCUUGCCUCAGGCGCACGUGCGUCUCCACUCCAGCUGGCCUCGCACCUGCAACAAACAAGCAGAAAAGAGCACACUAGAAAGCCAUAACAGAAUACAGCAAAUAAGAUCUGUAAACGGAUUCACGAAUUAAUAGAAAAAUAGAAAAAUAUUUAAUAUCACAAGCAGAGAUCUUAGAAUACAAAAAAGAUAGAUUUAAGGUAGAUAUUUGGUUUUUUUUUCUCUUCUUCUUUGUUUCGAUUCAUUUAAAAAAAUAUAUAGUAAGAAUUAAGAAAAAGAAAAGGGAAGCCUUACCUUGCAACGCCUUCAGAACCGUGCGAAAAUGAGCUAAAAAGCCCUUUAUGGUGCAGCUCCAACCACCGUUCACAGUGGAAUCGCGACGGAGGCAUGGAGGAUUAGCCUCAAUUUAGGAAACCCUAGCAGAGGAAAAAAAUAAGGUUGAUAGUUUUUUUUUUAAAUAAAUGGCAUAAAGUGAUUUAAAUUUUUUGUUUAUUUUAUAAUAGGUACGAAACGGUGUCGUUUAGGGCCUAUUUCAGUAGCCUCAAAACGGUGCCAUAUAAGGCAUGACUCGCGCGGUGACCAGACCCACAGGGAGGAUCCGCGUGCUUUUGAUUAAGGGGCAAUUUGCGCAUCUGGCCCCUCCGCAUUUUUAAUUAUUUUAAUUUAGUUUUUUUAGUUUCUUUAAUUGAUACUUUAGAUUUUAUUUGGUUUCUGAUUUGGACCUGGUGAAACGGCGCGUCUUAAAGGGUGGGGAUAUUUCCCCAUUCGGUCCCUUUGAGUUAUUUGCACCUUUCAAUUGGGUCUUUUAUUUUAUUUUAUUUAUGUUUUUUCCCUCUAAUUUUGUUUUAAAUCCAAUUUAAUCCUUAUUAGUUUAGUUUAAUGUUUUUAAUUUAUUUAAAUGUAUAUUCUUUCAUUUUUUUAAAUAUAUUUAAUUUUAAAUCUAAUUUAAUGAUUAAGCUCAAUUAUUAUUUUAAAUUUAUUAUUAACAUUGUUUAAAUUUAUCAUAUAUUAUUACUUUAAUUUCCAUCUAUUAUUUUAUAUAUUCUUUUAUGUAAUUUUCAAUAUAAUUUUUAUUUUUUUAAUGGUUUUAUUUUAUAAUACAUUUUUUAAGAUUCACUUAUAUAUAUAUAUAUUUCUUUGCUUUAAAGAUUUAUACGAUAAUAUUCUUACAUAAUAUAAUUUUAUACAUAUAUACACAAUUUAUAUUAAACUAUUUUUAUUAUACAUAUAUACAUACAUAAUAUAUUAUUGAUUUCAUAUUAUUAUUAUUAUUUAUCUAUUUCCAUAUAUAUAAUUUAUUUCUUUUAAAGACCCUAUUUUAUUAUAUUUUACUUAUUUCAACUUUUUGCAUAUAUUAUUAUAUAUAUUAUUAUCUAUUUUGAGUUUUUCAUUCCAUAUGUAUUACUUAUUUAGAUUAAUAUAUAUACUACUUUGUAUAUUAUUUAUUUUUGAUUUUCUUCUUAUUUAAUACUCACUUUAAAAUUCGUUUAUAUAUUACUAUUACAUAUAGUAUUUAUUUUUAACUCUAUUUUUUAUUUAUUUCAAACUUUCGUAUAUAUCAUUUAUUUUAAAAUUUUUGUACGUAUACUUUAUUGAUUUAUCAUUUCCCUUCUUUCAUGCCAUUCGUUUCUUUAGUUUUUUUAAAACUUGUACAUUUUGUUUGUGUUUGUGUUUGUGUUAACUUGUGUGGUGUCUUUCUUUUAAUUAGUUUUUUUAACUAGCUUUUAAAUAUUAAUGUUAGUAUUUACAUAAUUAUAUGAUGUGAGAUUAUUGCUAUUAUGUGUAUUAUAUUACUUAUUUAUAUUUAUUGAUUAUUUGUCGUUCAUUAGAGUACUUUUUGGUUUAAGAAUUAUCACUCCGCGUUGUACAUUAUCAUUCUAUCGCAUUUUAUUUGCUUAAAAGGUUAUGUUUAAUAUCAUUUAAGUAUCGAAAUCAUUUUAUUCAAAAGCUUUCAAGAUAACGCAAUACUCGAUAUUUGGGAUCUUCGAGAAGAUUGAGCCCUAACUUAUUGGGUUCCAAUUUUCCUCGUUGAAUCUAAGUAAUCGAGUAUCCUUUUUUAAUCAAAACAUAUAAAUAAAAAGCUUAUUCUCAGGAAUUCGAUACGUGGUGUCCUAACUCAUUGGAUAUGACAUGUUGUUCUCUUGAGAUGAGGAUUAAAAAAAAAGACAAUAUUCUAUGUUUGGAAUUUUAAGAAAUUGUGCCCUAACUUACUAGGCUUCGAUUUUCAACUGAAACAAUUGAAUAUCCUUUUUAAACUUCAUUGCAUGAGUUUAAAAAAAAUCAAAAGACAAGCUCAUUUUCGAGGAUGUGAAACUCAUUGGGCGUGACAUUCUAUCUCCCGAAAUAAGAGGGUCUUAGCAUGCAUUUUGAUUUAUACAAGUAUCUUUUUAAAUAAAAGGAUCGCAUUUUUAAUCUUUUCAAGUGUUCGACAUUCGACAUUAAGACAUUAAUUAAUCAAUUAGGUACCAAUUUUGGGUGUUACGAGGGUGCUAACCCUUCCUCGUGUGUAAUUGACUCCCGAACCCGUUUUCUCAAAUUUCGUAGACCAAAAUCGUUUUCAAGAUGAUCCGAUCACAUCUUAAUAAAAGAUCGGUGGCAACUCCUAUUUUGUUAUUUUAUUUUAAAAGUCAACCCCUUUUAUCAAAAAAGUGGUUUCAACAAACCCCAUGCAGUCUUACAAUCUUGGAGAUAUAGAGCUUCACUAACUUCUACAGAGAGUAGUCCGUCCGAACCGGAAUAAAAUGAGCAGACUUGGCUAAUUGAUCCACAGUGACCCAAACAGAAUCCUUCUUUGUGGGUGUCAAGGGCAACCCACUAACGAAGUCCAUUGUCACUUAUUCCUAUUUCCAUAAAGGAACCUUAACAGGUGGGAGCAAACCCGAAGACAACUGGUGCUUAGCCUUAACCUACUGGCACGUCAGACAAUGAACAAUAAAAUCCAUAACCUCACGUUUAAAACUCGACCACCAGUACAGUUCACAGAGAUCCCGAUACAUCUUAUUACCACCGGGAUGCAUAGUAUAAGGGCUACUAUGCGCCUCUAUCAAAACCGACUGUCUCAGAUCAGAAUCAUUCGAUACGCAAACUUGACCUCAAAAACACAAAACCCCAUCUUUUUUCAGCCCAAAAUCUGAAGUACUGCCACUCUCAACCUGUCGAAAUUGCUGAACCAAGGACUCAUCCGCCAACUGCUUCUCUCGAUUCUGCCCAAUCCAAGUUGGCUUAACUUGUAACACGGCUAACAGACCCCCAUAAUCAAACAAGCUAAGACGAACGAAGAUCGCUUUACGACUAAAGGCAUUGGCCACCGCAUUGGCCUUAUCAGGAUGAUACUUUAUUAUGCAGUCAUAAUCUUUGAGCAGCUCAAUCCACUGAUGUUGUCUAAGAUUCAACUCCUUCUGAGUAAGGAGGUAUUUGAGGCUCUUAUGAUCAAUAUAGAUAAUACACCUCUCACCGUACAGAUAGUGCCUCCAGAUUUUUAACGCAAAAACUACAGCAACCAAGUCGAGAUCAUGCGUUGGUUAACUCACGCAACCAGAACUCACACGAUCUAUUUUUCUCGGAGUAUCUGAAGCACUACUCUAAGAUGCUCAUCAUGCUCGUCCUCAGUCUUAGAGUAAACCAGAAUAUCAUCGAUGAAAAAUACAACGAAUUAAUCUAGAUACGGCUGAAAAAAUCAGUUUAUCAAAUCUAUAAAUGUAGCCGGUGUAUUCGUCAAACCAAAUGGUAUAACUAGAAACUCGUAAUGCCCAUAACGAGUCCUAAAUGCAGUCUUAUGAACAUCAACUUCCUUAACUCUAAGCUAAUGAUGCCCAGAUCAGAGAUCUAUUUUUGAGAACACAGAAGCCCAUCGGAACUGGUCAAACAAAUCGUCGAUCCUCGAAAGUGGGUACUUGUUCUUCACAGUCAGUUUAUUCAAUUGUCGACAAUGAAUAUACAUCAUCAUGGUCCCAUCAUUCUUUUUUACAAACAGAACUGGUGCCCCCCACGAAGACACACUAGGGCAGAUAAAACCAUGAUCCAGAAGCUCUUGAAGUUGAGCCUUAAGCUCUGUAAGCUCCUUCGAUGCCAUACGGUAGGGAGCGAUAGACACCGGAGCUAUACCCGAUAGAAGCUCAAUGCCAAACUCAACUUCUUGACUUGGAGGUAAACCCGUUAACUCCUUAGGAAAGACAUUCGAAAAAUCUCUCACCUUUUUUAUAUCCCCGAUAGAAGAGUCCUAGAAACUGAAACACUGACGAAAGCCAUAUAUGUCUCACACCCUUUUCGAACCAAUUUCUCAGAUACAAGAGCAGAGAUCACAUUGGACAAAUAAUCUCGACGCUCUCCAAUCACAACUACCUCCUUAUCAUCCUCGGUCCUUAGAACAACCCUCUUGGUUGGCAAUCUAAGCUAAUUCUGUGCUCAACUAACAAGUCCAUACCUAAAAUUACAGCCCCUUACGCUUCUAAUGAAACAUUUCUAUAAAGUUUAUUAACCCAAACAGACUGCCCUAACGGACGUAGUACAGUAAUCUCACUAGAAGUACUCUCAACAAAAAUCCCCAGGUUUUUAGAAACAGUACUAGCUACAUAGGAAUGUGUAGAUCCUAUGUCUAUCAGAGUAGUAUAAGAAACAUCAAAAAUAAAGAAUACCGGUGAUAACAUUAGGAGUGUUUCUAUCCACUCAGCGUCGAGCAACAUAAACCAGUGCCGGCUGCCUUGCCUCAGCUUGACGAGCACCUCUGCCCAGUGCUCUCUACUAUCGGCCCAAACCAUUACCAUCCCUAACUGAUCCACGACCCCUAGGUGGCUGCUGAACUACCCUCUAAGGCUGUACAGAACCCAGUCUCAACAUUUGUAUCUGAUCCGUACACUGUGGACACUCUCGAAUCUGAUGCUCCAAAGACCCACACCUCAGACAAGCCUCUAAUCUCCUCCAAUACUCGCCCGGGUGACAAACUCUCGCUUCCUCUGUGGAGUAAUCAAUACCCUCAGAUUAUCCCUCAAGCCAUCCUCAAAACGGACGCAUUUCUCAUACUCAGACGCCACUAUUCCUCGAGCAUAGCAACUCAACCUUAGAAACUCAGCCACAGAUCUAUCACCUUGUGUGAGAUUCAUGACCUCACGCCUAUGAGUAUGUACAUAGCUCGAUUUCACAUACUUCCCCUAAAAAGCAGUAUUGAAUAAGUCCCACUACAGACAAUCUAACUGAGUACCCUCCUCAACUGAUAACCACCACUGAUAUGGCUCAACCGAUAACCUUAAGUUUCUACUCAGAAGUAUAGCCAAUAUCGUUCAUGGUCCUCUUGAUGGCCUCCAACCAAUACUCAUUCAUAGUAGGGGUGACUCCAGUGACACCCGUAAAUAGCUCAACUCCAGUGGACAGGAGUCGUUCAGUUAUCAACCCACGGCCUCCAAAUCCAGAAUGGGGUCUAGCGACUCUAUCCAACACCCUCAACAUGGCUUGGGAUAGUGCGUCAUCCCCAGCUGAGCGGUUUUCGGACCCAGUCUCGGUAGCAGGUGAAAUCGGUGUCUCACUCAUGUCUAAAUUUGGCACACUGCCCAAAGAGAAAGACUCAGCUCAAGCCCCCUACGGCCUCUACCACGCCCACAAAUACCAUGACCGUGAGUUCUACAAGCACUCAUUAUAUAUUUUAAAUUUUAUCUACAUUAUAAAAUUUUAUGUAUCAGUUCUAGUAUUUAUUAGCAGAUAUUUUAUGCGUAAAUUAUUAGAAGUUUAGAAAUGUUUUCAGAGGUUUUAGUCUCUAACUAACUCAGUACAGUUUCAGAAAGUACUAACUAUAAUGUUGUUAAAAUAUUUUAUCUAAGUUCAGAAAUACUUACAAGAUCGGCGCCGGAGACUCGGUGUACCACAUACUUUCUCAUAUUAUCCAAAUUAUUUGAAAAUAAAUUCUUUUGGAAACACAAUUUUAGAACCCAAAAUUCACAGCACGAGCUUUACAACCUGGCUUUAAUACCACUAAAUGUAACACCCCAAACCUGACCUAGACGUUAUGGCCAUAUCCAAAGAUGUCACAAAAAAAGGGUUUUUUGAAUACUGAGUCGUUUCGAUAAAUCAUUCAAGUUUUGUAACUCUUAUUCGUUUAUAACCAUUAUCGAAAGUGUUGUUUAAUUAAUUUAUUUGUCAAAACAUAAAUUAUAGUUAAAGUCAUGAAAACGUUAUAUUUGGAAAUCCCAUUCGUAUUUUUAGAAAACGUUUGUUUUAGUAAAAAUUAUGUUUUUAGCUAAUCGUCUCAAAUAAAGUGUUAAAUUGAAAAUCCCAAACCCCAAAAUUAAGCCAAACCGUCCGGAGAGUCCAAUUAUUACAAAAAUCCCAAAAAUAAACCUUAAAUUAAAUAAAAAUCAAAAUCUUAAACAGUUACAAACUCGUGGUCACUGUGAGGCUCCAUCACACCGAUCCACCUAAAUCCAUAGAUUACUUGAACAGAACAGACAAACAUAUUUGAGUUUUUGUAAAUUUAGUGUGUAACCCAACAAAAAUAGACAUGCCAUUCAUACAUAUAUCACAUACACAGUCAAAUUUAGAUUCAGAUUUAGAUUCAGACUUAAGUCCUUUUCAGAUAUAUAUAACAGAAUCAGAUAUGCAAAACAGAUAUACAAAAUCCUACCCCCAUCCUCUACCCAAAAAAACUUACCACCGAAAAAAUGACCACACACUGUAAGCUAAAUUGUUGGAGUGACAACCACCGCCACAUCGUCUUUUCCUACACAACAAAAUUCAUGAAUUACUCACCAUUUAUCGGCUAUCAUAACAUUGCCCACAAUUCCACAAACCAAUCAUUAACAAAAAACAAAAAUUCACUUACAAAUUUGAUUAACGAACCCAAAAAAAAUCACAAUAGCAACAAUUAAAUGAGAAAAAUAACAGUAAUCAGAAGAAGGAAACAAAAAAUUGAAAGUGGAGGACAAGGGAGGAGAGAAAAAAAGUUAGCAAAAGAAAUUUUGGGAAAAAGAAAAGAAAAAUGAAAAAAAUCAGAAAUCUGAUAACCUCCCUAAUUUUUCUCCCACUAGCCCACUAAAUCACAACCACCUUAUAAUUUUAGCUCUAUCGAAACUCUAUCGGUCAACUGAACAAAAAUUAACACCCUUGCUCACUCAGGGAUUCGAGCACAAGACCUCCUACACAACAGGCUUAUUUUGAUAUGGAUUAAUAAAUAAUUUAUAUAAGCCCAUUCAACAAGGAUAAGGCUAGGAUUAGAAAAAUAACAAAAUUUGCAAAUGUGGGACAUGAACCCAAGACCUCACACACACACUCAGAACACUUAACCACUGAAGCAGAUACACACUUGUGUCAAGUAUUUAUAGAAACAUAAAUAAAUUAAGCGGGGCGUUAUGUUGACAGAAUGUAAGUGCUUAGCCAGUUACAUCAUGGGGCUAACAUGGCCUUGUGAUGGAUAUGGAACGCAUACAGUAUGGGGUUUUGUGGUUUCAACGGAACUCAUCUGAACAAAGUAAUAAAAAAAUUAGAAAAUUAAGGUCAGGGAAAAGCUUUCCUUGUUUGCUAGCUUCAAUGAAGCUUGAGGAUUACGUAGGCAUAUUUAUAUAUCUUUAUAUAUAUAUGCUGAAAAAAAUUGAAAAAAUGUGUACUUUUUUUUAAAUUUACCGAUUUAGAUAUGCUUUUUGAGAGAAAGAAAAAUGCAUCCUAUAGGACAUGUUUUUAUUGAAAAUUAAUAACUCAGAUAUUUUGAUCAGAUGGUUAAAUGUUGGUAUUUUUGUCUUUUAGUCUUAGGUUUGAUUCCUUUCUUACUCACAUCUGUAUUUUUUUAUUUGAUGUUGUUUUUGUUAUGAAUAUCUUAUUAAGUGAAUGUCUAUCAUGAUCAAGAUAAAGUUUUGAUGAACUUUAAAUUCUAAUAGUUAUUAGAAUUAGAUCUCUACUUCUUUUAUACUUUUUAUGCCUAUAAAUAGAGACUUUGAUUAAGCAUUGUAAUCAUCCCUUUGAUUAAUAAAGUACAUUCUCCAUUGCUUUCAUAUUUUCUUUGUCCUUUAUUCUCUCCAUCUUUCUUUAUUUUAUAACAUGUUAUCAGCACGAUGACUUUCUAUUUUUUAAAAAUCUUUUGAAGUCGUCCCACAAAUCAAAUUUAUUUUCACCUUAAACUUUCUCCCUUACAACUUCAUCUUUAAGAUGUUGAAAGAUUUAAUCUCAGAAUGGGUUGUGGUUCUUAUUCCCAAUCUUUGAUUUAUCAUUAUACAAGCAUGGGGAAAGAAUAGAUUUGUGCUCAUGACAAUAGUUAGGGUGAUGACGAUGAUGUUAAAAAUCUUCAGGUAUAUUUUACUAUGUUUUAUUUAUUAUAUCAUGUUUAUUAUAAUUGGAGACUAAUCAUGAUAAUAUGAAUAGGUAGAUUUUGAUAUAAAAUCUCACUUAUGUUUGCAAUGGUGAUUAUGAAAUAAAGAUUCUGUUGGGAUGUUUAUAAGUUCAUCCUGCUAGAUUUGUUGCAUUCCCCGAAGUGAAUGUAAACAUAAAGAAAAUAAAAGAUAUACUCAUGGACCACUAAAAGUGGGAACAUAGUAAUAAAUAAGAAAACAAUGAGAGUUCUCAAGAAAAAUUUUCAAAGCAUAAAGAUAACUUAUGUUAUCAAUGUGAAAUGAAAGAUUAUUGGUCACAUAUGUGGUGUAUGCCCAAAUAUUUUGUCUCUGUUAAUAUUCUUUAAGGAAGGAUAUGAGGAUGUAGUAAUGAAUUUUAUCAUUACAGAUAGAAAAUAUUUAUCUUAUUUGGUACUGAAAUAAACAAAUAUAUUCCAAUAUUUGAUAGUACAAAAUUAGUUGAAAGCUCCAGAAGAGCAAAUAUAUCAAUAUCUAAAAAGCACAAAGUUUGUAAUGGUUAAUGCAUUAGUUUUAAAAGAUAUUCAUAAUGGAUAUCAUAUUGAGAUUGUGAAUGAGAAAAAUAUUAUAUUUCAUAUGAAUCAAAAGAGGAUUGUGUUAUUUAUAUUUUGAAUCGAACUCGGGACCUCUUGCACUUUAAGUGAGAAUCAUACCACUAGACUAAAUGCUUUAUAUUUGAAGAUUUUGACAUAUUACCUUAAGCGAAUAUUACAUAUAAUUCACUACAGUAAAAUAGGAUUUUAGCGGCAUUUUUUAUGCCUAUAGCGCCGCUAAAACUACCGUUCUUUAGCGGCGUUUUACAAAAAACCCCACUAACUUUGGCAGAUUUCAAACAUCCAAUUUUCAUCCAUAGGCAACCCUUCCUGUAACAUGGAAACCAACCAAAAACAACAAAUCUGAUACUUCAAAUUCAACGAAUGAUAUAUGAUAUAAAUUGAUAAAUGAAGUAUAAUUCAAAUUAUUCUUACAGUAAUGUUAAAAUUUAAAAUGUUAAAAAUAUUCAUACAAUAGUUUAAGAUGGCGGAUUUUUCGAUUGCUGAAACAUCUUCAUCAUAUUCUAAAGCUGUAGUUAGAGUGCGUCCUACUUUUUGCUCUGUUCUGCUUCCCUCGCUGCUGCCUCUGCUUUAAGUUGUAGCUGGAGUUCUUCAUAUUUGCUUUGAACCUAAGCUUCUCUCGAUGCUGCCUCCGCUUUAAGUUGAGUAAUUUGCUCAACUGUUGUCGCUUGCAUCUGAGCCAUCUAGUCUCUUAACCUCUGAACUUCAACUUGAGCCUGACUCCCCGAAGGCAUGUAUUGUUGCGAGUUGGAUCCAAAAUAUUGGGUUGGGUUAACAAAAGAUCCUUGAAAUCGAACCCGACCAUAUCUUUUAGGACCAAAAAAUUCAGUAAUAAUCCGAUUAUCAAUGUCGUCAACAUUAACAGAACUAUCACUUGAAGCAAUCGCUUCAUACUCCACCUUUUUAUCCUUUAGUUUCUCCUAAUAAAUUAAUCAAAGAGUUAGAAAUGAAAUAUAUAAUAAAAACAAAUGCAACAUAACUUAACAUUAUUUGCAUUAGAAACGACGAAUUAAACCAUUAUAAUUAAACACUAUAAAUAUUUAAAAUAAUUCAAAUUUUAUUAACUAAACAUACCAUAAUUUCUGCAGCUUCAGAAGUCAUAGGAGAUCCAUCUUUCUUCCUAUGUGUAAUGUUAAAAAGCUAAAGGCGUCCAAUUUUUAACCAGACGGUAGUUCCUACAAUAUAGUAGUAAAAAUAUUAUUUAAUGGAAAGUAAUAAAUAUUUAACACUAUUAAUAAAUUCAAAAUACCUCAGCCUCAGCUACACAAGCAAAACUUUUCGACCCAGCUGUGUGAGUGAACUUUUGUUUUUGCCUGCUGCUUGUUCCAACUCGUUCACGAUCCUACAUUAUGAAAUUAUUAUUACGUAUAUAGUAAAUACUAUAAACUGAAAUAAUUAUAAGAGUUUGGAAGUACGUAAUACCUCUCCUUUAUUUGAAUUCCAAAAUCUAACCGCAUCUUCCCAUUGGAACCUUAGUAUUCCCGGUGGGACAUUUCGCAAUUUCUCUUCGAGGGUUGUUUUUGUCUUAAAAUAUUCUUUCUUUAAAGUACUUUUAUGGUCUCUCCAUCUUUUUCCCAAUUCCUUCUUGACGUAAUUAUCUGAGACCUCUAAAGCAAACCUUGCCUACAAAAAACGCAAGUUUAUAAAGUAAAUAUAAGUGAAACUUAAACCAAAGUAUUAUAAAUUACAUUAACGUUUUGUUACCUUAAUAUUAUCGAUAGCUUGAUUUUGUUACUAUUAGGCAUUUGAUGCCAUGACUCGUAGUUGAUAGGCAACAUAUUGGCAUUUCGUGCUAUAAUGCCCAAAUAUCCUGCUAAAAAUCGAGCUUCUGAUCCAACAGACUGACCAAAACUGUUUCUACAUACUUUGACACGCUCGACAAGAUCUAACUUGUAUAAAUCUUUAAGUACCGUACGUCAUCGUUCUCUGCACAUCCCACCACUUUCAGCUGAAAAAUGGUAUAUUACAAUAUAAGAAUUUGAAAAAGAAAUCAAUAAUAAAAGUCAACACUCAUGCAAAUUAAAUUUAACACUAUUUUGAUUUUCUGCAGGUUCUUCAGGUGUAUUUGGAACAUUCGAAGAUCCAAUAGCAGUCUGUUGUUCACUAUUUGUUUCUUCCGAGUUUAGAGUAUUUUGAACAAUACUUAGAUCUCGCAAUCUUCUUCUAGGAAUUUUAUCUGCAAUACACAUAAAAUAGUUAAAAUUUUAGUAACUAAUUAUAACAAUAACAACACAUAUAAAAUAGUUAAAAUAUUUAAUAAGACCAAGAUUUAAAUUAUGGUAUUACAUAUAAUUAAAAAAUCGUAAAAUCUUACUACAUCAUUAUUUGUAAAUAUCUUCAUCAACAUCCUGGCGAACCCAUUGAAAUUGUGUCCUAGUACUAGGGAUAUUUUCGUUUAAGUUUUGUUUUAGAAAAGGAAAAGUUUCUGAUCUGUCAUCGAUGUCAUCUCUACUUCCAUUGCCCAUGUCAAACAAGUCUCUAGGGAUGUUACAAAGUACAACGUACCAACCCUCAUCAGUUGGAUCUUUUGAGUAAAAAACUUGUUUCACUUGAGAAAAAAAUACAUACGGCUUAUCUAUCAAUUGUUGUCCAGUGUGAAUCAAUCGACAGAAGUUCACCAUUGUAAAACCAAAUUGAUCUUGUUUAAUUCCACGAGCAGUAUUAACAUCAGCCCAGUCACAUCGAAAUAAGACAACUUUCCAUUUAACAUAGUAAUCCAACUUAAUAAUGUCAGUAAGAAGUCUGUAAUACUCCACAGUUCCCUCAACAGGAUUAUUGUCCCUAGCACUAGCAUAACUUGUAAUUGAAGAAUUAAAAACUAUUCCACAAUUUUGAGUUCUCCUCAAUAUCUCCCGAUAUUUUGUACGAAACCUGAAUCCAUUGAUGAGGAAUACACUAUAUCUUUUUACUACUCUAUUCAGACCUUGGGAAAGCAAUUUAACUUCGUCAUUGACGUCCUUCCCACUCCAAACCUGUUGAACCGAAAGUAAAUUGAGUAAUUAUAAAUGUUAUGAGAAAACAUUAUUAUUUUUCAAUGAAAGCUUCAACUACAUACCAUUUGGCUUAACCAUUCAUGAAAAGAUUUUGUGAAUAACUUAUUAAUCUCUCGAUGUUGUAAUAUUCGGGAGCGUGAACGAGAUCUCAAGAUUUGUUUGUACUCACUAUGUUAAAAAGAGGUUUACUUUGUUAGAAGAUAAACAAAUUAUAAUUGAUGAAUAUUUAUCAAAUUCCAGAACUUACUUGUGUAAUGGUUCUAUUAAGUCGUGGUGAAAAAGAACAUAUCGAUGUGCUUGUACCCACGAUCUAUCAUCUAAUUCUGAAAUUUCAACUUUGCCGAUUGGUUCUCCAUAACUUUGAAAUAAAUAUGUUUCGGCCAAGUUAUGAUCAGUGAGCCAAGCAUUUCUACUUGGUCUUUUCAUUCUUGUUUCAACAUCUUCUAAAUAUCUAGAACAGAAAGUCAUACAUUCCUCAGCCAAGUAGCCUUCAGCAAUUGAGCCUUCGGGAUAACGCUUGUUACUCCAAUAAGACUUCAAUUUCGAUAGGAACCUAAACACGAUAUACAACAUUAUCAAAAGUUGUAACUAAAGGCAUAGAGGUGAAUGAACGAAUAAUUUACAAAUAAAUUAACACCUUUCUAUGGGAUACAUCCAUCGAUAGAAAAUGGGUCCACCAAGUAUUGCUUCAUGAGGGACAUGAAUUAGCAAGUGCACCAUAAUAGUGAAGAAGGAAGGUGGGAAGAUCUUCUCCAAAUUGCAUAAAGUCAAUGUGGCUCGAUCUUGUAGCGUCUCAAGUUCUUGAACAUCCAAAACUUUGCCACAAAUGGCUUUCAUUAUAUUGGAUAGUUCAAUUAUACAAGACGUUACCUUUUUUGACAUACAACACCGCAUAGCAACUGGUAGUAAAUCUUGCAUCAAGAUGUCAUAGUCAUGUGAUUUUAAGGCAUAUAGUCUUCGAUCUUUAAGACUCACACAUCGAGAUAUAUUUGAUACAUACGCAUUCGGGACCUUUAUAUCCUUCAACAUCGUGCAGAACACUUUUUUUUCGUCUUCGACAUUGAAAAAAUAGAAGGUUGCAACUGAUAUUUCCCAUUCAAAAGUGCUUGGGGAUGAAGAUCACGCCGAAUUCCCAUGUGGACUAAAUCAAGUCGACUUUGAAGAUUGUCUUUUGACUUUCCAUCGACAUUGAAAAUUGUCCUAAUGAUGUUCUCACAAACAUUUUUCUCAAUAUGCAUGACAUCAAGAUUGUGUCGUAAAAUGUGAUGCUCCCAAUAAGGUAACUAAAAAAAUACUUCUUUUUCUCCACAAGUCCGCCUCAUUAGGAUCAUCUUUUUCAUCAUCAAAUUUAUCCAUUGAUCUUCUAUUUCUUUGCGUGUGGGGUGGUUGAUUCAUCUUCCCAUAACUGAAAUUCAUAUCUUUCAACAUGAACAAGAUUUCAGAUCCACCGGUCUACGAAGGAGCUUCUCUGAACUCUUUAGUACCGUCAAACGGAGUACUCUGAAGUCUACAUCUAUGAUUUCCCAGUAACCAUCGUCGGUGCCCCAUGUAAGAGAACUUCUUCCCAUUAUAUAACCAUUGCGAACAUGUUUGCACGAUACAACAAGGACAAGCAUAACGUCCCUUGGUACUCCAACCAGAUAAAUUGGCAUAAGUCGGGAAGUCAUUAAUAGUCCACAUCAAAGCUGUAUGUAAAUUAAAGUUCUCCUUUCUCAGUACAUCAUAUGUCUUAGCACCAACCCAUAAUUGUUUUAACUCUUCAAUAAGUGGCUACAAAUAAAUGUCAAUAUCAUUUCCGGGACCUUUCUCUCUAGGGAUAAUCAUAGAUAAGAGAAAGGAAGAUUGUUUCAUUCAAAUCCAUUGAGGUAAAUUGUAAAGAACAAGCACUACAGGCCAAGCACUAUACGCAGUGCUCAUGAUUUUGUAAGGAUUAAAUUCAUCAGAUGCUAGCCCAAGCCUCACACUCCUAGGAUCGCUUGUAAAGCUUGGAAAUUUACUAUCAAAUGAUUUCCAAGCUAUAGAAUCCGUAGGAUGCCUUAACAAUCCAUUAUCGGUUCGUUCAUCAUGGUGCCACAUCAUAGACUCGGCUAUCUUCGAUGACAUGAAAAGCCUUUGAAGCAUUGGUAUUAGCAAAAAAUAUUGCAAAAUCUUAAUUGGAUUCUUCCUUGACUGUGCAUCAUUUUCAUCCUAGUUACCAUAUUUUGUAUUUCUAUUCAUCCAACGGGAUUGACCGCAUACAUGACAGCACUGUUUGUUUUUUCGGUCGCCCCAAUACAACAUGCAGUCAUUUGGACAACUCUGAAUUUUGUGGUACCCAAGGCCUAAACCUUUUAUCAGUUUCUUCAUAUCUUUGCAUGAAUGAGGGAUUUUUGCAAACGGAAACAUCUCUCUCAAAAACUCUAACAGCAUUGUCAAAGAGUUUCUGGUCCACCCUCCCAAACACUUUAACUGAAAAAGACGAAUAUAGAAUGACGUUUUUGAAAAUUUUGAUCCCUCAUAAAGUUCUUCAUUCAUUUCAUUAAGCAGCAUGUAGAAAUUUGCCGCUUCUCCAUUUGGCUCUUCAUCAGGUAUACUUCUUCCCGUUUCGGUAAAAUUAUUUCCACCGAUAUUACAAUCAUCAGAUGCAACAAAGUCGGGUGGAAACGAUUGCAAACCAUGACUGUGCAUAUUAAAUGCAUCCCGCAACAUACCUUCCAUGUCAUGUUCUCUAACAGACUGAUGGUAAGCACUACAAGGAUAAGUCGGAUUAAUCGUUGAAGAGGAAGUACUAGGUGUGCAUUCUCCAUGGAAAAUCCAUUUUUUAUACCCCCGAAUAAACCUAUCGACAAUUAGAUGCUCGUAGACAACUUCACGAAAAUGCCAAUUGAUGUUGCCACACUUCUUACACGGGCAAAGAAUCAUAUUCUCUUGGCUUGCAUUUUGAAAUGCAAAAUUUAGAAAAGUUUGUACUCCAUUUCGAUAGUCGUUGCUUACCCUUGACAAAUUCAUCCAAGACCGGUCCAUUUCGUUGUUCUUGAAGUCUAAAGUUGACAAUAAAUUACAUGGGUAAUCAUGGCUAUUUAUAAGUAUAAUUAAGUUAUGUAACUUAUGAUAUGAUAUAUAUUUAUGUAUUAUGCAAGUUAUGUAAGUUAUGUGAGUAUGCAAAUUAUGUAAGUUAUGAUAUAUAUUUUGUAAGUUUUAAAAACAUUUAAAAAUAUUAAAUAUUAACAUCAACUCAAUAAAACACUAAAAUAAUAGUAUAUAGAUACAAAUAUUAUAAUAUAGAUAUUUCCGUUCUAAUGUUUAAAUUUAUUCUUUUUUAAUUUAAAUCAAAGCUCAAGACAUCAACUUAAUUGACUUGUAACAUAAUAAGAAUAUUUAACGCUAAUGAGUUGACAUUAUAUCAUUUCACAAAUUCUAAAAUUUUUAAUUUUUUUAUAUAUAUUGGAGGUGAUUAAAGUAUCAUAAUCAAUAUUAACCAAGCUAAAAAAUCUCAACAACAUAACAUUUACCUAUUUUUUAAUGAUAGUAAGAAUUUCAUCAUACUUUGCUGAUUGAAAUCAAUUUAAUUAAAUCCUAAUAAAAAAGAGUUGUUUUUGCGGCAAUUUUAAAAUGAAAAUUAAUUGUUUUUGCUGCAAUUUUAAGAUGGAAAUUAAAAAAAUUUGACAAGUGUAUUUAUCGUAUAUCUUUACAAAACAUGUCAUACACUAAAUUUAGAGUAGAUCGAUUUUUUAAAAAUUCUCAUAAUUAUUCAGAAAAAUAGUUUUUAUAGCAACCAUUUUCAUUAAGCAUAAUCCUUUAAGUCCUUCCAGAAAUUUGAUGUUGAUGGACUAUAUAUAGCUGUAGUUUUGUCUUUAUUCAGACAUAAUCUUUUAGGUUUUCGUGAGCAAUAACACAUUAUGUUUUGUAAACUUAUGCAUUAUUUAUUCAUUUGAAAAUAUAUAAUUACAACGAACCCAAAUCAAAUCUGAACCUGAAACAAAUUCAAUUCAUAAAAACUUUAAAUCAAUUCAUUUCACAAGUUGAUAAACCAAAAUUAUCCAAAAAAAAAUUAAAAAUUAAAAACUUUCACAGUGGGAAAAUAAAAACUUCAUAUUUAAAUGAGUGAAAGUAACUUUAAUAUAAAAAAAAAACAGUUUUAAAGAAAUUAUGUAUUUAUCGAUGAACCAAACCGAUUCAAACCAGUGAAAGGUUCGGUUCAAUUUGAUUUCAAUUUGGAUCUUUAAAAACCAAAAUACUGUAUAAUAAUUGCAAAUAUAUUCCAUAACCGAUCUUAACAUACAACACUUAGUAGAAAAUGGAGCAAAAAAGAACUUGCAACAACAUUAACCAGAACAUUAACCAGAACUUGCAACAAAAAAGAACUUGCAGCAACAUUAACCAAAUUCCUAAAUAAAACAGUCCCAAAUACAAAUAUACCAAAUUCAAACAUAAAUUUAAAAAAUGAAAAAAAAUAAAGAAAAUAAAGGAUUAACUAACCUUCUGGUUAUCUAGGCUUUCUGUGUAUUGCUUCAAACCAGUGAGAGCUACCAAAUUUGUCGACUAAAUUGCUAAAACUAAAUUGCUACAAUCAAAAUGGAAAGAAAAAAACUACUACUCUGCCUCUGCCUGACUAAAUUGCUAAAACUGCAUGAGAAAGCAGCCAAUAAUGCACUAACGAUAUAUUUUAAAAUAAAUAUACAAAAAAAUCUAUGCUUUCAAAUAGAUUUUAAAUUCGAAAAUUAGAAUAUGCACUAACGAUAUAUUUUGGUGGAUCCAAGUCUGGAAUUAGAAAUAGUUAGAAUAUGCUUACAAAUCGAUUUUAAAUUCGAAAAUUACUUUUACCAGAAACAAAUUAAAAAUAUAUUUCAAUACAAAAUAGAUUUAGGCAUUCGAAAGCAUACAUUUUAUUGUCCAAAUGUAACAGUAAAUGGUUAAAACCCUAAAUAGACUAAAUUGCUAAAACUAGAAUUAAGAGAGAAGAAAACAAUACCUUUAGGAAGAUGAAGAGAAAUUAAAUCACUUCGGAACAGAUUCCACAAGUAAAAGUGUGAAAUGCGAACGUUUUUAGGGAUCAGAAACCCUAAAACCAAAGACAAAUUGACUGGAUUUUAGGGUUAAUAACUUUGAAAUAAACAAAAAAUUCACACAAACAAGAAUAACCCAAACCUUAAACACGCAAAAAAAAAAGGAAAUGAAACUGGUUCAAGCUUACCCAAAAAACAGAAUGUCGUUUACUCUGUCUUCGUCUAAAUGUUGUGAAGAAAUCAAAACAAAUACUCCUAAUAAGUAAAAAAAUGAAAUGAAGAAUCGAAGAAACAAAAAUAAAACCAAUGCUAGUUUUGUAGGUUCGUCUCUGUGAAUGAGUGGAAUUAGGGAUUUCGAAAGGGAAUUAGGGGCUGGGUACGGGAAAGGGGAAAACUGUUAUGUGGAAGAAAAUGACGACGUUCUGAAAAAUUUUAAUUUCCUAAAAAGAAACGGCGUUGUUCUGAACAAUUUUUAAUACAUUGUUGCGGCGUUUUUAGACAAAACGCCACUGAUGCUUACCUUUUGCGGCGAUUCUGAGAAAAUGCUACUAAAAAGUUAAAAUCUUGUAAGCAAACGACGCUGUUUUUGUACACUUUUUAAUACAUUGUUGCGGCGUUUUUAUAACAAAUGCCGCUAUUGCAUACCUUUUGCGGCGUUGUGGAGAAAAAUGCCACUAAAAAUCAAAUUCCUGUAACCAAACAGCGCCGUAUUGUACAAUUUUUAAGACAUUGUUGUGACGUUUUUGGUCCAAACGACACUACUAUUAAAAAAUUUUCAAAUAUUUAAUAGUUUUAUAAAAUUAAAAUUUGAUACAUUAAUAUGACAUUAUUUAAUUGUUCCAUUUUAAAAUUGAAUAUAAUGAUGGAAGAUAAUUCUUCCUCUACUAUUAAAAAAUAAUUUAAUUUGGGUAUCUUAAAAUUUUAAUAAUUCUAUUAAUUAUUUUAAAAUUAGUUUUUUAAAGUACAAAGAUUAAAUUCUAAUGAAUUAAAGUAAAAACCUUAACUUUUUUUCCAUAAAAUAGAAGGAUGAAAUUCAUAAUUAGACCAAAAAAACCCUAAACCUAAGACCCUAAACACCUGAAAACACCUAAAUCCUAAAACCCCUAAACCAUAAAAUUUAAACCCUAAUCUCUAUACCCUAAACCCUUAAACCCUAAUCCCUAAAUUACCAUAAACCCUAAACCUUAAACUAUAAACCUCCACCAUAUUAACUAAACGUUAAACCUUAAACCCUAAACCCUAAACCUUAAACCCCAAACCAUAAACAUACAUCCUAAACCCUAAAUAUAGAUAUUACAGGGGACAAAAGUAAUUAAAAAGAAAUCUUAAAUACUAAACCCUAAACCCUAAACCCCAAACCCCAGACUCUAAACCAUAAAUGCAAAACUCAAAAUUUUAAUCCGAAAAUAAUAAACAUUAUAUCAUAAACCUUAAACCUUAAACCAUAAACGUUAAACCUUAAAUACUAACCCUUAAACCCUAAACCUUAAACCUUAAAACCAUAAAGUGUAAAAUAAAAAGAUUUUUUUUGCGGCGUUUCUUCAAAAGUGCCGCUAAUGCUGAACAAAAAAACAAAAUCGUUUUACUCAUUUUUUUGCGGCGUUUCCCAAAAAGUGUAGCUAAUACUUGUUCUAUAGCAGUGUUUCACAAAAGCGCCGCUAAUUCUCGAUCUAUUGCGGUGUUUGUUAAAAUGUGCCGCUAAUACCACUAAAUCUCAAAAUAGAAAAUGAUGUCAUUUUCUCAACUUUUUUGCGGCAUUUUUCGUAAAGCGCUGCUAAUGUUUGACCUUUAGUGGCAUUUUACAGAAUGCCUCACUAAUUCUCGAACUUUUGCGGCGUUUGUAAAAGAGUGCCGCUAAUUCUAGAUUUUUUACGGCGUUUGUUAAUUAUCGCCGCUAAUUGAAAAAGCAAACGGCGUCGUUUUUCCCAAGUUUUUUGCGGCAUUUUUCUAUAAGUGCCCCUAAUGCUUGAUCAUUUGCUGCGUUUUAGAAAAAGCGCCGCUAUUGCUUACAUAUUGUGGCGUUUGUUAGAAUUCGCCGCUAAUGCUCGAUUUUUUGCGGCGCUUUUCGUUCAAACGCCGCUAUAAACACUGCUAAAAACUUGUUUUGUUGUAGUGAUUGUUUGAAAAUUAUAUUUAUUUAUUGACUUAGUGGGAUUAUAGACUUCACAUUGAUUUAGACAUUUCUAGUAGUAAAUGUCACAAUAGUAUUUACAUGUGGAUACAAAAUAAAAAGAAUGACAAUAAAAUUAUCAAUUGUCAAAAUUUAUAUUUACAUUAUUAGUACAAUUGAAAAAAAUGUUAAAGUAAGCCAGAAGUUUUAUCUUGGAUUACAAAUCAAGCAUUUAAAAGAUGAAAUUCAUGUUCAUUAAUCAACUUAUAUGGAAAAUAUAUUAAAGAAAUUUUACAUGGAUAAAGCACACCUAGCUAUUAAGUACUCUGAUGGUUGUACGAUCGUUAGAUGUGAAUAAAGAUUAAUUUCCUCCUUGCAAGAAUAAUGAAGAGUUUCUUCGUUCUAAAGUACCAUAUCUAAGUGGCAUAGGGGUAUUGAUGUAUCUUGCAAACAACACAAGACCUGAUAUAACUUUCACUGUAAAUUUGUUAACAAGAUUUAGUUCUUCUCCAGCACAGAGACAUUAGAAUAGAAUUAAACAUGUAUUUAGAUAUUUCAGAGGGACCAUUGAUAUGGGGUUAUUUUAUUCAAAUGAUUCAAAAUCUCUAUUAGUUGGCUAUGCUGAUGCUAGAUACUUAUCAGAUUCACAUAAAGGUCGAUCUCAAAUAAGAUAUUUAUUUACAUGUGGGGUUACUGUCAUAUCAUGGCGUUCAACAAAGUAAACAUUACUUGCCACUUCUUCAAAUCAUGCAGAAAUAAUUGCAAUGCAUGAGGCAAGUCAAGAGUGUGUUUGGCUAAGGUUAUUGACCCAACAUAUCCAAAAGAUAUGUAAUUUGCCUUUAUAGAAAGAGAUGUCAACUAUCUUAUAUGAAGAUAACACAAAAUGUAUAGGAAGAGAAGUCAACUAUCUUAUUUGAAGAUAAUGCAGCAUGUAUAGCUCAGUUGAAGGGUGAUUACAUCAAAGGAGAUAGAACAAAACAUAUUUCACCAAAAUUAUUCUUCACCCGUGAUUUUGAGAAAAGAAGUGAUAUAAAUGUUCAACAAAUUCGUUCUAGUGAUAAUUUAUCAGAUCUUUUUGUAAGGCAUUGCCAACUUCAACAUUUGAAAGACUACUACAUAAGAUUGGAAUGCGUCAACUAAAAAAUGUAAUGUAGUGUUGCCAUUAGUGGGAGUUCAAAAUAAGUUGUACUCUUUUCCUUUAACUAAGGUUUUGUCUCAUUGGGUUUUCCUGGUAAAGGUUUUUAAUGAGGCAGCUUCUAAUAAAAGAUUGUGUACUCUUUUUCCUUCAUUAAUUUUUAUCCACAUGGUUUUUUCUAAUAAGGUUUUAACGAGGCAUAUUAUCUACAAAUGGACAUCCAAGGGGGAGUGUUAUGAAUAUCUUAUUAAGUGGAUGUCCAUCAUGAUCAAAAUAAUGUUUUGAUGUACUUUAAAUUCUAAUAGUUAUUAGAAUUAGAUCUCUACUUCUUUUAUACUUCUUAUGCAUAUAAAUAGAGACUUUGACGAAGCAUUGUAAUUAUCCAUUUGAUUAAUAAAGUACAUUAUUUAUUGCUUUCAUAUUUUCAUAUUUUCUUUUUUCUCUCCAUUUUUCUUUAUUUUAUAACAGUUUUAAGUUUAUUUUUUAUUUUUAAUUAUCAUUUUUUACACAUAAACUCUUUUGGUUAGAUGGUUAGAUAAUUGGGAUUUCAUCAUUGAGCUUUAAGUUUAAUUCCUCUUAUAAGCAUUUUAAUAUGUAUUUUUUAUUUCAUGUUGUUUCAAACUUUUUUUUUAUUUUUAAUUAAUGUUUAUAAUUAAUAUGUAUAUUGUUUUCAAGUUUUUUAAUUCAUCUCGCUUUUAUUUAUAAAAUCAUUUAAUAAAGUGAAUUUGUUUACAAAAAUUAACUAGUCUUUAGAUAUAUUUUUCUUUUUAUAUAAGAUUUAUAUGUCAAAUAUUUAUUUUCUCCACCUAUAUUGUGGGGUAUGGUGAUUUCUAAUAUUAUAAAAUCAAAUAAUUAUUUCAAAUAUCAUUGUUUUUUCAUCUACAUUGUGGGUAUGAUAUUUCAAAUAUUUUUAUAUGUGAAAUAUUUCAAAUAUAAUUAUGUUUAUAUGUGAAAUGUUUCAAAUAAUUAUUUCAAAUACACUUACAAAAAUAUAUAAUAUCAUAUAAUAUGCGAAUUCACUACACUUAUGAUGUGGAUUGAAAGAUAAAUAUUACAAAUAUAAAAAUUAUAUUUACUAAAAAUAAUGAUAUUUUCAAUAAUUCUUUAACUUUAUAAAUAAAAGGGUUAUUAAUUAAAAAAUAUGAAUUAAAAAUAAAAAAUUGAAAGUAAUAUAUUUAUUAAUUAUAAACAUUAUGUAAUGCCCUAAAUUUUGAAUAUUUCAUUAGCAAGUAUUUGUUUUAGUGGUUAAGUGUCUUAAUUGUGUGUUUGAGGUUUUGGGUUUAAGUCACAGUUUUUGGGAAAAUUCAAUUAUUUUUUGUUCCUAGGCCUAUCUCUGUUCGUUGGGCUUAAAGGUUAUUUUUAAUCAAUUUAUGUCAGAAUGAGCCUGCUGGUUUAGUGGUAAAAGAUUGCUUACUAUUGGUCUUGUGUUUGAAUUCCCAUGUGAGCAAAAGAGCAAUAUUUUUGCAAUUUACUGUCUAGGGUGCGCAUGGGAUGAAAUUGGUUUGAAAAUCAAAUUCUAGGAAGUUGGCUGGUUGUUGCAUACCAAAGUUUGUGAAAUUUUAUGAACAAUGGUGUUAGUGGGUAGGUUAAUUUGUUUUAAAAUUGCAUUUUGGUUAGGAUUGUUUUAUUUAAAAUAUAUGGACACUUUUGCUCUCGCACGUUCCCUUCUCUCCUUCCCUUUCUUGCUUCAUUUAUCCUUUUUCUUAUUUCUUUCUUUGUUCAAAUGGGUGGGGUCCCAAGCUGAUCUUUUUUUUUUCUUAAUCUUUGUUGUUUCAAUUCUUCUUGUUUGGCCAAUCAAGGUUAGUAAUAAGUGUUGACUGCGACUUGAAUUGUUCAUAAGUAUUGGUAUUCUUUUCCUUUUCGUUUAAGAAUUUGUUGUCGUUGUUUCUCAUUUUGUUGGAGUGUGUUGGUGGAGUUAAUCAUGGUUAGUUGUUUGGUUAGGUUUAGGGGAAACACAAGAAACGAUUCAUCCGUCAGUGACUUAGGAUUGUGGAGACCCUGUUCGUCCAUAGGUAAGGGUUUUAUGCCAAAUUGGGCUCGUUAUGGUUGUUAAGUUAAUCGGAUGUGGGUUGGUUUAGUAUUUUAGAGAAAUUAAAGAUUUUAGUCACUUAAUCGUUGCACUAUUGUGGGCUAAUUUGCUUAAUGUUUGAUGCAUUUAGGUGCUGGAAUACUAAAUUUGUGGAUUCGCAUUGAAAUCAGUCAAUGUGUGUAAUGAAAACUUGAGAAAACAACGAACAACGAAAGCCAAAAAAGUGAGUUGUCGACACUACAUGAAUGUGUGUCAGGCCAUGUGUUGGAGCGUGUGGGACACACGGUCUGGGCUAAUUGGGUUGUGUGGGCAACACGGGCAUGUGUGAAACUGUGUAGGCCCAAAAUUUAGAAUUUUCCCUAAGACCGUAAACAUCGUUCUGGUCAAACGUAGGCCUUUCGUAGGGUCCAUAUGACAUUAAUUAAGCUUUAAAAUAUGAUUUCUGAUGUUCUGUUAGCAUAAAAAUAUUGAUAUGAGUUGUAUGACAAAUAUGAUGUAUGCAAAACACGAACUGUAUUUCUGGUAAGUCUGAUAUGUAUUUGUUAUGAGAGCAUGUAUGACAUGUAUGUUCUAUUAUAUGUUAAUUUUUGUAUGUGCAUUGGGUGUGGGACUGUGUAUAUGGAGGAAGUGUGGGUAGAUAUACCUCUGCCAUAUCUGGUGGCACAACUACACAUAUUUCUGUAAAUGGCAAUAAAUCGCCUAAUGAUCAGGCAGCUAAGGUACGAAUAUUCUAAAAAGUGUCAUAUAUUGACACUAAGUGGUGUGUAGGUUUGGAUGGGUACUCUAAUACCAGAUAUGGUAUGUUGGGAUGGUCGAAGAUGGUGUGUAACGGAUGAGGGUAGGUUCUUAAAUUUGCAUCUGAUAUGAUUUUAUACGAAUUUUUUUCUAUUAUAUGUCUAAUUAUUAUUUGUUGAUAUUCUAUUAUGUUACACAUUGAGCUUAUAAGCUCACUAUCAGUUUGACUAUUUACUUUUAGGUAACCCUUAGACUUAGGAUUGGUUGGUGCAGCGGGAGCUCGGUUGAACAUUUCUGUUAAUCAUGCUAUUCUUUGUUAUUUUACUAUUUUGGUUUUAAUGGACUAUUUGAACAUUUUUGGGACUGUUUUAAUGUUUGGACUUUAUUUUUUUUAUUUUAUUUUAAUUGAUUAAAUGUUUUUGGUGGGUAGAAAAUUGAUUUGCUAAAUGAUGGAUUUUAUAACAAAAAAAUUGUGUUUUCAAACUGGAUUUGACUAAGUUUUCCACUGUAGACAAAUGUGUUUUACGAGUAAAUAAUUAACAAACUUAUCAAAAGAGCUAAGAAAGAUAAAUUUCCUAAAUAAACUCAAAUUUUACUAAAUAAGUGCAAGUAUCGUUUUAUAAAAUGAACGGAUUCUAUAUUUUUUUGAAUGUAUCAUAAUAACAUCUCUAGAUUUGGCCAUAACAUCAAGGCCGGGUUUGGGGUGUUACAUUUGGUGGUAUCAAAGCCAGAUUGCAAAACUCGGGCUGUGAAUUUUGGGUUCAAAAUUUUGUGAAAAUUGUAUUUUAAAAAAUUUUCUUUCUGUUUAAAUCUGAAAAGUGAGUUUACAGAAUACCGAAUCUCCGAUGCUGGUCCUGCAAGUACUUCUAACUUAGUUAAACUUUUAGUUUAGAAAAACUCUUAAAUGAUUAUAAGUGCUCUGCGAUAGUUAGAGACUGCAACAACUCUGUAAAUUUUUUUGAUAACUUUCUGAGAAUAAAAUAUAUGUCAAUAAACAUCGAAAUUGAUACAUAAAACUCUGUAAUGUAGAAAACAUACUAUGAGUGCACGUGGAACUCGUGGACACGGUAAUCGUGGGCGCGACGGAAACCAAAAAGGGCUCGAGUUGAGCCGUCCUCGAUGGACAAUAUGCCCAAUUUAGAUACAAGUGAAACAUUGGGUAUGCCUGCUACUAAGAUUGGAUCUUGGACUUAGACGGUUGGGGACGACGCAUUGUCCCAAGCCAUGUUUAGGGUGCUUGAGAGGGUCGUUGGGACUUAUUCUAGAUCUGAGAGUCAAAGGUUGGUAACUGAAUGACUCCGGUCUAACGGUCCGAAACUGUUUAGGGGCGUCACUAAAGCUGCCCCAACUGCGGCAAAAUAUUGGUUGGAGGCUAUAGAGAGGAUUAUGAAUCAUAUCAAUUGCACCCCUGAGCAGAAAUUAAAGGGUACAGUAUAUUUGCUUAGCGAUGAAGCUUAUCAGUAGGGGCUGACCAUUGAGGAGGGUACUCAACAUGAUGAGAUUUCUUGAGAGUACUUUAAGAAUGACUUCUAGAGAAAAUAUGUGGGGGCUCGUUAUGUGGAGGCUCAUAGACGGAGUUUAUGGGCUUUACUUAGGGGGAUAAGAUCGUGGUUGAGUAUGAGGCCGAGUUUUUGAGGUUUAGCAGAUAUGCUCGUGGGCCUUUGUCAACUGACUAUAACAAAAGCAUUCGGUUUGAGGAAGGGCUAAGGUAUGACCUCAAAGUUCUGAUAGCUCCUCAAAGGGAGUGAGUUUUUGCCAUCUUGGUGGACAAUACGAAGAUUGCUGAGGAGGUUAAGUGCAUUGAGAAUGAAAAUAAGGAUAUAGAGAGAGGUAAGGCUAAGAGGGAUUCAGAUCCCUCUAGUUCUAUUUAGCGGCUUAAGAAACGAGCCAGAUUUGAAGGGCCUCCGAGGGUUAAGGCAAAUGUUUCUCCUACUGUGGUUCAGACAUGUAGAGAUUAUGGUAGGCAUUAUCCAGGUGAAUAUUAGAGGACGUUGGAAGCUUGCUUGCGAUGUGGCUUGAUGAAGCACCGCAUCCGGGAUUGUCCGCGCUGCUCUAGUUAGGUGCAAGCUCCAGUUUCGCGUUUAGUUCAACCUCAAUGAGUAGUUCAACAACCACCUAGGGGUCAUGGUCAGGCCCAAAGUGGUAAUGGAUUGGGUAAUGGUUAGAGAGGAUUGGGAAAAUGUGUUAAUUAGACUAAGGCUAGGUAAUCUACUUUGGUAUAUGCAACAAGACACCGUGAGGAUAGAGACACCGCAGACGUUAUCGUCGCCACGUUCUUUAUUAAUUCUAUAUCGUACUUUGCACUGAUAGAUAUAGGUUCAACACACUCCUACAUAGCUAGCUUUGUUUCUGUAAACUUGGGUAUUUUUGUUUAAAGCACUUUUGGUGAGGUUUUAUUGAUCAGUUCACUAGGUCAAUCAGUUCGGGUUGAUAAGGUUUAUAAGAGAGUAUAGCUGGAGAUACAAGGUGUAGUGUUUCCAACUAAUUUGAUAGAGUUACCAUUUGGAGAAUUUGAUUUGAUAUUGGGUAUAGACUAGCUCGUGGAGUAACGAGUCAACUUGGACUAUGUCACUAAGAGGGUAACUCUAAGGUCUAAAGAUGAUUUAGAGAUUUUCGUGAUUUAUGAGCGUCGAGAUUACCUCUCCAGUGUAAUCUCUGCUUUUAUGGUUGAAACAUUAGUUCAGAAAGGCUGUGAGGCAUUUUUGGCCUUUGUGCUUAACAUUAGUCCAGUGUAAUCUAUGCUUUUCAAAAAACGCCGCUAACGACUCGAAAAAUCAAAAAAUGACAUCGUUGUGCUUGGAUUUUUUGCGGCGCUUUCUGGAAAACGCCGCUAAUGCUCAUUUUUAAUACUGGAUCUUUAGCGGCGUUUUUCCUAAAGCACCACUAAUGCUUGAUUUUUAGCGGCGUUUUUUAUCCAAACGCCACUAAAAACGCCGCUAAAAGCCUGUUUUGGUGUAGUGUAUGAGAGUGUAACAGUGAUGUCGAACCAUCAUUUAGAAGAAUUUCCUUGGGGACUUGCAAAUAGUAAAUACCCGUUUUUAUGGGUAGUUAGGCCUGACGUUGUGAUGGGAGAAUCGGCUGUUUUUCCAAGAGAAUUCAUGGAGGCAAUAAAAGGAAGGGGCCUCAUAAUAAGCUGAUGUCCCCAACAACAAGUGUUGUCCCACCCAGCUGUUGGCGUUUUCUUGACACCCUGCGGAUGGAAUUCUUUGUUGGAAGCUGUAUCCGAAGGUGUGCCUUUAAUUUGUUGGCCUUUCUUUGGUGAUCAACAAACGAAUUGUCGAUAUUCGUGCACCACAUGGGGCAAUGGAAUGGAAAUCAACCCUGACGUAAAGCGUAAGGAUGUGGAGGCUCUUGUUAAAGAGAUAAUGGAAGGAGAUAAUGGGCAAAGGAUAAGGCAAAAGGCAUUGGAAUGGAAGAGAAAAGCUAAAUCUGCCAUUAGUGUUGGAGGAUCUUCUGUUACCAACUUUGAUAGAAUGAUCAAGGAGGCCUUACGUCAAGGUUGAACAUUAAAAUAAGAAAAAUUGUUGUGUUGAAUGUUGUGUAUGUACUUUUUUUUUAUUUUUAUAAUACACUAUUAAUAAAUUGGUUAAUAUUGUGUAAUUGGUAAUAUACUCUCUUUUUUUAAUUCCAUAAGUAAACUUAAAAAAUUGUUAUGUAUCUAAUUAAUUUUAUAAAUUUAUUUUUAAUAUUUUAUUAUAUUUUUAUAGAACACUUAUAAUCACUCUAACCCUACUUUGUAAAUUGUAGAUCAUAUAAUCGAAUUUGCCUUAUUAUCUCACCUGUAACUUUUAUUGCCUCGCCUUUAUUUUUAAUUUUUCUUUUUUUCUUAGUUUUUCUUUUGGUUCAAAGAAGAAACCAAACAUCAUAUAGUUCCCCAUGUAGAAAGGGAAACAGAUACAAUAUAAAUUAACACAUGAACUUACUUAAAUAUGAUUCUAAGAUUAAUCUAUAAUUUUUUUCUGCUUUUAUAUUCUGAUUGAUUUAAUUCUUGAUCCAUAUAAUUUACAAUGGGAAAAUUUUCAUUUAGGCUAUUUAUAAUUUAUAAAAUUUUAAAUUAGUAAUGAUAAAAUUACACUUUGGCCCCCUUAAAAAUGAUAAAAAUUUGAUUAAUUAUUUGAAAAUUAUGAAGAUAUAGACUAUUAAAAUGGUGAAAUUACAUUUUUACCAUCAUAAAAUAUACAAUUUAAUUCCGCCCUGAAAAACUUUUCUAUUUCCACCACUGCUUUAUAUUUAAAUUAAAUACUUCCUUUUAAGAGCUUGAAUUACAAUGUCACAUUAUUCUCUCUCUAUAUAUAUUUUUACUUUUAGAUUUAUAAUAUUUUAUAUUUAAUAGUAUAUUUUAUUUCAAAUGUUUCAUAUUUAUACUCAAAGUCAUUUAAAUUUUGGGUUUGUUUCAUAAAAUUUUAAGAAAAAAAUAAAAAUAUAAAACAUAAAACUUUUAUAAUUUAAAAUUUACAUUUAUCAAACAAUCUAUUUAUAUUUAAUAAUUAAUUUUAAGUAAUAUAUCAAAUAAAAUUUAUAAUUUAAAUUCAAUAUAUGUAAUUUUUUAACACUUAAUUUUUAAUUUAUUUUUUAUAGAAACAUUUUAAUUUUUUAUCCAUAUUCAAAUAAAUGUGUAAUUGGAUUUAUGAACUUUGAAACUUGAAUUGCACUUCAUAUGUAUACAUAAAGCUUUGAUUGUAUACAUUUAAAGAAAUGAAUACAUACAUUUAUUUUCAUAUUGGAUUAAUAUUGUUUUUUUGUGCAUGCAAUAUAUCAACAUAAAAUUGUGUUAAUUCGAUAAUAUUAGUCUAUGGUUUGUGAAUUUUGAAUUAAAUUAAAAUUUCAUGUAUAAAAUUGUACAAAAUAAAAGCUCAUGUAUGACAUUGCACAUUGGACCAAAAUUCAUGUAAAGCUUUGAUAGUUUUCCGUAAAAAUUAUUAAUUAUUGUAAGUAGUAAUAUUAAAUAUUGUAACAGUAAUAUUAGUUACUAUAGCGGUGAUGAUAUAUAUGUUCGGAUUUAAUCAUAGUAGUGAAAGUGGGGUAAAAUAUAAUAAGAAGAAAAAAUGAUUAUUAAACACAUAAUAUUAAAAUUUAUAUGUAAUAGAAUUUUUGAAACUAUUUGAUAUUUGUAAAGUUAAUAAUUAUAAAUUAUUAAGUUUUUUAUAUAAAUAUUUUAAUGAAUAUAAAAUAUUAAGAUGGAUGGUAUGUUCAAAUAAUUUUUUUCAUCAUUUUUAUAUAGUUAUUUAAUUUAAUAAACUUAUAUUAAUUAUAUAAAUAAAUAUAGUUUUGUUAGUCUUAUCAUAUAAAAGUAUAUUUGUAUAGACUUUUUUUUAAAUAUUUACUUAUUAUAUAAUUAUUAACUGAAAUAAAGUAAUGAAAAAAAUUAAUAUCACAAGAUAUAUUAUAAAUACUUUUGUCUUAAAAUAUUUUCUUAAAAAAGUAAAAAUGAUAAAAAGACAAAAAACUGAAAGGACGUGAUUGGAAAAACGGAGGCAUGCAAUGGAGAUGAAAAUUUUUAAUCUUAGCUCACUAGUGAUCCCAAGGAGCCUAAAUUAAUUUUAAGUAAAUUAUUCAUAUAGUCACUCUAAAACUAUUUCUUUUUGUCAAUUAAUUUUUUAUCAAUGAAAGCUAAUUAAGAUGUCAUGCAUUGUUGACUGUCAUACAAAUUGUGUAUAUAAUUAAAUAUUUCAAAAAUUAAUUAUAAAUCCUAUUAUCAUUCCUAAAUUGGAAAUCAACCCUUAACUCCUAAAUCAUUUAACUUUAAAUCUCAUUACCAUCACUGACUUCGAAAUCUAAUUCUAAAUCUCAAAAUCAUUAAACCCUAAACCUCCUUUAUCAUCACUUACUAACGACAAUGUUAUAUUUGACAAAAAAAAUUAGAAUAAUCAAAAUGGGAAUAAAGUAAUUUUAAAGUGACUAUUUGAGUAAUUUACCGUUAAUUUUACGGUGUCAUGGAAUCACUGAAUCUUAGGUACCAACAAAGAAAUAGCCAUAACGGUCAUUGUUUGUACCCACAAUAUGUAGGUAUCCAUCAUAUGAAUACUUAGUUUGAGCUCGAUUUAACUGUUAUUAUUAAAUUUGAAUUCAGUUCAAGAUAUAAUCAAACUAAUUGAACUUGAAUUCGAUUAAAUUAAACAUAUUUAAGCUUGACUUGAUAAUAAGCUUAAGGAAUUAAUAAUAUAUAUUAAGGGUAAUAAUGUAAUUUAAUACUAUACAAAUAUUUAAAAUUUAUCAAAAAUAAAAAGCUCAACAAGGUUAGCGGGCCAUUAGACCCAAGUAUUAUUAAGCUCAAAUUCGGUUCGUCCGAUAGUUCAAGUUUCUCGAACUAAAGCUCGACUCGAUAAUUAUCAAAUCGAGUUUGUAUUUCUUUAGAAUCAAACUUAAAUAACUUGCCAGCUGCCUAAACUUAUUUUAGGUCACUAUAAUCUCCAAAACCCCAAUUUUAACAUUUCAACUAAAUCUUCAUUUCUUCUUCACAAACUACCAUAAUCUAGUUUCUAUUAAUAUGGCUCUAAUAAUCUCGGAAAUCAAAGACCAAGCUUAUUUAUACAAGCAACUCUCUUUUUAACUGUUCCAACUCACCAAAGCAAAAUACAAAAGCAAUACUAAAUAUGAGCUUCACAUGCAUACCUCACACGACUGCAUUCACUUAUAAAGGAAAAAAAAAAAAGAAGAAGCAGAAAUAGAGACAUUGAAUGAUCCCCAUUCAUUAUUUAAGUAAUUCCCCACUGACAAUAGUAUUUCCAGGUAACCAUGUUUGAGAGCUUUCUUAACAAAUCUGUCGAAAUCAAUAUAAGAUGAUCCCCCAACUUCAACCGCUUCUUCCGCUUUCUUCUUCCAUUCCAAUGCCUUCUCUUUCUUUUUCUUUCCUUCCCCACCUUCCAUCAUUUCCUUAACUAAAAACUCUAUGUUCUCUCGCUUCACAUCAUGAUCCACCUCCAUGCCAAUGCCCCAAUGAGUGCAAGCAUAUCGACAAUUGGUUUGUUGAUCAGCAAAAAAUGGCCAACAAACUACUGGCACACCUCCUGAUAUGGUUUCCACGGUAGAAUUCCACCCACAGUGUGUCAAAAAAACACCGACUGAAGGAUGUGAAAGGACCUCAUAUUGGUUGCACCAGCUUGUUAUCAGCCCUCUUUCCUUAAUCUCCUUCAGGAACUCUAGAUCCAGAAUUGCAGAAUCACCCAUCACGACAUCUGGUCUAACGAUCCAUAAAAAUGGGUGUUUAGAGUUAGCUAACCCCCAUGCAAAUUCUUUGAGAUGCUUCGCCGACAUGACAGUAAUGCUUCCAUAGUUCACAUACACAACUGAAUUGGGUUCCCUUUUGUUAAGCCAUUCAAUGCAGCUUGUAUCUUCCUUCCAUAGGCUUGAGUUCAUUGACUUGGAGGGAUCGGCAUGUAGGUGCCUGGCAAGCAAAUGAAGUGGUCCUAUUGUAUAAAUUCGAGGAAAUUUGGCAGCGAUGGUGUCUAACACUUCAUGUUCGAACUCUUCAAAUGCGUUGAAGAUUAUUGCUGAAGCUUUGAGGCAAUUUUGAGCUUCGGAUCCGAAAU